CAUACCAGCACUAAUGCACCAGAUCCCAUCAGAACUCCGCAGUUAAGCGUGCUUGGGCGAGAGUAGUACUAGGAUAGGGGACCAACCAGAAAGUCCUCGUGGUGCAUCCCACUUUUUCUUUCGGUUUUUCUCUAUUUUGUUUUGUUAAAAAUGUAUGACUCUAUAACGUUUAGACCGUGAGGCAAAACUUGGAAUGUGAUACCUUUUCGGAAAGCCCAAAGAGAGCUCUCCGAUAAAUGAGGAAGGAAAAUGGAAUUCUUCUAUUGGUUUUUUAUUCUACUCCAAAUUUUGACCUUAAUGUACUUUUUUGGUCUUUUUGGUGAUCUUUGCUAUAUGACAGGGCGAAAAUUAUAUGAUCGGACAUUGUUUUCGAAUAUUUUGCAUGUAUCAAAGCUCUUAUAAACAAGAUAGGGUAUUCCUACAUAGCUGGUGGGAGCCACGGCAAAUGGAUCUUAAAGUCUUCAAAAAAAGAAUAGAUACGAUUGCAUUGGAUGUAGUAAACGGAUGCGAUCAUACCAGCACUAAUGCAACGGAUCCCAUCAAAACUCCGCAGUUAAGCGUGCUUGGGCGAGAGUAGUACUAGGCUGGGUGACCUCCCGGACAGUCCUCGUGUUGCAUCCCUCUUUUCUUUUUCGGUUUUUCUCUAUUUUGUUUUGUUAAAAUUGUAUGACUCUAUAACUUUUAGACCGUGACGCCAAACUUCGCAUGUGAUACCUUUUCGGAAAGCCCAAAGAGAGCUCUCCGAUGAAUGAGGAAGGAAAAUGGAAUUCUUCUAUUGGUUUUUUUGCUAUUCCAAAUUUUGACCUUAAUGUACUUUUUUGGUCCUUUUCGUGAUAUUUGCUAUAUUACAGGGCAAAAAUUAUAUGAUCGGACAUUGUUUUCGAAUAUUUUGCAUGUAUCAAAGCUCUUAUAAACAAGAUAUGGUAUUCCUACAUGGCUGGUGUGACCCACGACAAAUGGAUCAUAAAGUCUUAAAAAAAAAGAUAGAUACGAUUGCAUUGCAUGUAGUAAACGGAUGCGAUCAUACCAGCACUAAUGCACCGGAUCCCAUCAAAACUACGCAGUUAAGCGUGCUUGGGCGAGAGUAGUACUAGGCUGGGUGACCUCCCGGAUAGUCCUCGUGUUGCAUCCCUCUUUUCUUUUUCGGUUUUUCUCUAUUUUGUUUUGUUAAAAUUGUAUGACUCUAUAACUUUUAGACCGUGAGGCCAAACUUUGCAUGUGAUACCUUUUCGGAAAGCCCAAAGAGAGCUCUCCGAUGAAUGAGGAAGGAAAAUGGAAUUCUUCUAUUGUUUGUUUUUUCUAUUCCAAAUUUUGACCUUAAUGUACUUUUUCGGGCUUUUUCGUGAUCUUUGCCAUAUUACGGGGCGAAAUUAUAUGUUCGGACAUUGGUUUUGAAUAUUUUGUAUGUAUCAAAGCUCUUAUAAACAAGAUAUGGUAUUCCUACAUGGCUGGCGUGACCCACAGCAAAUGGAUCAUAAAGUCUUCAAAAAAAGAAUAUAUACGAUUGCAUUGCAUGUAGUAACGGAUGCGAUCACACCAGCACUAAUGCACCAGAUCCAAUUAAAACUCCGCAGUUGAGCAUACUUGGGCGAGAGUAGUACUAGGAUGGGUGACCUCCCGGAAAGUCCUCGUGUUGCAUCCCUCUUUUCUUUUUUUUGUUAAAAAUGUACGACUUUAUAACUUUUAGACCAUGAGGCCAAACUUGGAAUGUGAUACCUUUUCGGAAAGCCCAAAGAGAGCUCUCCUAUGAAUGAGGAAAGAAAAUGGAAUUCUUCUAUUGGUUUUUUAUUCUACUCCAAAUUUUGACCUUAAUGUACUUUUUUGGUCUUUUUCGUGAUCUUUGCUAUAUGACAGGGCGAAAAUUAUAUGAUCGGACAUUGUUUUCGAAUAUGUUGCAUGUAUCAAAGCUCUUAUAAACAAGAUAGGGUAUUCCUACAUAGCUGGUGGGAGCCACGGCAAAUGGAUCUUAAAGUCUUCCAAAAAAGAAUAGAUACGAUUGCAUUGCAUGUAGUUAACGGAUGCGAUCAUACCAGCACUAAUGCAACGGAUCCCAUCAAAACUCCGCAGUUAAGCGUACUUGGGCAAGAGUAGUACUAGGAUGGGGGACCUACCAGAAAGUCCCCGUGGUGCAUCCGACUUUUUCUUUCGGUUUUUCUCUAUUUUGUUUUGCUAAAAAUGUAUGAUUCUAUAACGUUUAGACCGUCAGGCCAAACUUGGCAUGUGAUACCUUUUCGGAAGCCCAAAGAGAGCUCUCCGAUGAAUGAGGAAGCAAAAUGGAAUUCUUCUAUUGUUUUUUUUUUCUAUUCCAAAUUUUGAGCUUAAUGUACUUUUUCGGGCCUUUUCGUGAUCUUUGCUAUAUUACGGGGCGAAAAUUAUAUGUUUGGACAUUGUUUUCGAAUAUUUUGCAUGUAUCAAAGCUCAGAUAAACAAGAUAGGGUAUUCCUACAUACCUGGUGGGACCCACGGCAAAUGGAUAGUAAAAUCUUCAAAAAAGAAUAGAUACUAUUGCAUUGCAUGUAGUAAUGGAUGCGAUCAUAUCAGCACUAACGCACCGGAUCCCAUCAAAACUCCACAGUUAAGCGUGUUUGGGCGAGAGUAGUACUAGGAUGGGGGACCUACCAAAAAGUCCUCGUGGUGCAUCCCACUUUUUCUUUCGGUUUUUCUCUAUUUUGUUUUGUUAAAAAUGUAUGACUCUAUAACGUUUAGACCGUCAGGCCAAACUUGGCAUGUGAUACCUUUUCGGAAAGCCCAAAGAGAGCUCUCCGAUGAAUGAGGAAGCAAAAUGAAAUUCUUCUAUUGUUUUUUUUUCUAUUCCAAAUUUUGACCUUAAUGUAGUUUUUCGGGCCUUUUCGUGAUCUUUGCUAUGUUCGGACAUUGUUUUCGAAUAUUUUUCAUGUAUCAAAGCUCUUAUAAACAAGAUAUCGUAUUCCUACAUGGCUGGUGUGACCCACGACAAAUGGAUCAUAAAGUUUUCAAAAAAGAAUAGAUACGAUUGCAUUGCAUGUAGUAAACGGAUGCGAUCAUACCAGCACUAAUGCACCGGAUCCCAUCAAAACUCUACACUUAAGCGUGCUUGGGAGAGAGUAGUACUAGGAUGGGUGACCUCCAAGAAAGUCCUCGUGUUGCAUCCCUCUUUUCUUUUUUCGGUUUUUCUCUAUGUUUUUUUGUUAAAAUUGUAUGACUCUUUAACUUUUAGACCGUGAGGCCAAACUUCGCAUGUGAUACCUUUUCAGAAAGCCCAAAGAGAGCUCUCCGGUGAAUGAGGAAGGAAAAUUGAAUUUUUCUAUUGGUUUUUUUUUCUACUCCAAAUUUUGACGUUAAUGUACUUUUUGGGGCCUUUUCGUGAUCUUUGCUAUAUUACGGAGCGAAAAUUAUAUGUUUGGACAUUGUUUUCGAAUAUUUUGCAUGUAUCAAAGCUCUGAUAAACAAGAUAGGGUAUUCCUACAUAGCUGGUGGGACCCACGGCAAAUGGAUCGUAAAGUCUUCGAAAAAGAAUAGAUACGAUUGCAUUGCAUGUAGUAACGGAUGCGAUCAUACCAGCACUAACGCACCGGAUCCCAUCAAAACUGUGCAGUUAAGCGUGUUUGGGCGAGACUAGUACUAGGAUGGGUGACCUCACGGAAAGUCCUCGUGUUGGAUCCCUCUUUUCUUUUUUCGAUUUUUGUCCUCUUUUUUUUGUUAAGAAUGUAUGACUCUAUUACUUUUAGACAGUGAGGCCAAACUUCGCAUGUGAUACCUUUUCGGAAAGCCCAAAAAGAGCUCUCUGAUGAAUGAGGAAGGAAAAUUGAAUUCUUCUAUUCUUUUUUUUUCUACUCCAAAUUUUGACGUUAAGGUACUUUUUAAGGCCUUUUCGUGAUCUUUGCUAUAUUACGGAGCGAAAAUUAUAUGUUUGGACAUUGUUUUCGAAUAUUUUGCAUGUAUCAAAGCUCUCAUAAACAAGAUAGGGUAUUCCUACAUAGCUGGUGGGACCCACGACAAAUGGAUAGUAAAGUCUUCAUAAAAGAAUAGAUACUAUUGCAUUGCAUGUAGUAACGGAUGCGAUCAUAUCAGCACUAACGCACCGGAUCUCAUCAAAACUCCGCAGUUAAGCGUGUUUGGGCGAGAGUAGUACUAGGAUGGGUGACCUCCCGGAAAGUCCUCCUGUUGCAUCCCUCUUUUCUUUUUUCGGUGUUUCUCUAUUUUUUUUUGUUAGAAAUGUAUGACUCUAUAAGGUUUAGACAGUGACGCCAAACUUCGCAUGUGAUACCUUUUCAGAAAGCCCAAAGAGAGCUCUCCGAUGAAUGAGGAAGGAAAAUUGAAUUUUUCUAUUGGUUUUUUUUCUACUCCAAAUUUUGACGUUAAUGUACUUUUUUGGGCCUUUUCGUGAUCUUUACUAUAUUACGGAGCGAAAAUUAUAUGUUCGGACAUUGUUUUCGAAUAUUUUGCAUGUAUCAAAGGUCUUAUAAACAAGAUAGGAUAUUCCUACAUAGUUGGUGGGACCCAUGGCAAAUGGAUCGUAAAGUCUUCAAAAAAGAAUAGAUACGAUUGCAUUGCAUGUAGUAACGGAUGCGAUCAUACCAGCACUAAUGCACCUGAUCCCAUCAAAACUCCGUAGUUAAGCGUGCUUGGGGCGACAGUAGUACUAGGAUGGGUGACCUCCCGGAAAGUCCUCGUGUUGCAUCCCUCUUUUCUUUUUUCGGUUUUUCUUUUUCUUUUUUUGUUAAAAAUGUAUGACUCUAUAACUUUUAGACAGUGAGGCAAAACUUCGCAUGUGAUACCAUUUUGGAAAGCCCAAAGAGAGCUCUCCGAUGAAUGAGGAAGGAAAACUGAAUUCUUCUAUUGUUUUUUUUUCCAACUCCAAAUUUUGACGUUAAUGUACUUUUUUGGGCCUUUUCGUGAUCUUUGCUAUAUUGCGGAGCAAAAGUUAUAUAUUCGGACAUUGUUUUCGAAUAAUUUGCAUGUAUCAAAGCUCUUAUAAACAAGAUAGGGUAUUCCUACAUAGCUGGUGGGACCCACGGCAAAUGGAUCGUAAAGUCUUCAAAAAAGAAUAGAUACGAUUGCAUUGCAUGUAGUAACAGAUGCGAUCAUACCAGCACUAACGCACCAGAUCCCAUCAAAACUGUGCAGUUAAGCGUGCUUGGACGAGAGUAGUACUAGGAUGGGUGACCUCCCGGAAAGUCCUCGUGUUGGAUCCCUCUUUUCUUUUUUCGGUUUUUGUCCUCUUUUUUUUGUUAAGAAUGUAUGACUCUAUUACUUUUAGACAGUGAGGCCAAACUUCGGAUGUGAUACCUUUUCGGAAAGCCCAAAAAGAGCUCUCUGAUGAAUAAGGAAGGAAAAUGGAAUUCUUCUAUUGGUUUUUUUUUCUACUCCAAAUUUUGACGUUAAUGUACUUUUUUGGGCCUUUUCGUGAUCUUUGCUAUAUACGGAGCGAAAAUUAUAUGUUCGGACAGUGUUUUCGAAUAUUUUGCAUGUAUCAAAGCUCUUAUAAACAAGAUAGGGUAUUCCUACAUAGCUGGUGGGACCCAUGGCAAAUGGAUCGUAAAGUCUUCAAAAAAGAAUAGAUACGAUUGCAUUGCAUGUAGUAGCGGAUGCGAUCAUACCAGCACUAACGCACCGGAUCCCAUCAAAACUGUGCAGUUAAGCGUGUUUGGGCGAGAGUAGUACUAGGAUGGGUGACCUCCCGGAAAGUCCUCGUGUUGGAUCCCUCUUUUCUUUUUUCGGUUUUUGUCCUCUUUUUUUUGUUAAGAAUGUAUGACUCUAUUACUUUUAGACAGUGAGGCCAAACUUCGGAUGUGAUACCUUUUCGGAAAGCCCAAAAAGAGCUCUCUGAUGAAUAAGGAAGGAAAAUGGAAUUCUUCUAUUGGUUUUUUUUUCUACUCCAAAUUUUGACGUUAAUGUACUUUUUUGGGCCUUUUCGUGAUCUUUGCUAUAUACGGAGCGAAAAUUAUAUGUUCGGACAGUGUUUUCGAAUAUUUUGCAUGUAUCAAAGCUCUUAUAAACAAGAUAGGGUAUUCCUACAUAGCUGGUGGGACCCAYGGCAAAUGGAUCGUAAAGUCUUCAAAAAAGAAUAGAUACGAUUGCAUUGCAUGUAGUARCRGAUGCGAUCAUACCAGCACUAACGCACCRGAUCCCAUCAAAACUGUGCAGUUAAGCGUGUUUGGGCGAGAGUAGUACUAGGAUGGGUGACCUCCCGGAAAGUCCUCGUGUUGGAUCCCUCUUUUCUUUUUUCGGUUUUUGUCCUCUUUUUUUUGUUAAGAAUGUAUGACUCUAUUACUUUUAGACAGUGAGGCCAAACUUCGGAUGUGAUACCUUUUCGGAAAGCCCAAAAAGAGCUCUCUGAUGAAUAAGGAAGGAAAAUGGAAUUCUUCUAUUGGUUUUUUUUUCUACUCCAAAUUUUGACGUUAAUGUACUUUUUUGGGCCUUUUCGUGAUCUUUGCUAUAUACGGAGCGAAAAUUAUAUGUUCGGACAGUGUUUUCGAAUAUUUUGCAUGUAUCAAAGCUCUUAUAAACAAGAUAGGGUAUUCCUACAUAGCUGGUGGGACCCAUGGCAAAUGGAUCGUAAAGUCUUCAAAAAAGAAUAGAUACGAUUGCAUUGCAUGUAGUAGCGGAUGCGAUCAUACCAGCACUAAUGCACCGGAUCCCAUUAAAACUCCGCAGUUAAGCGUGCUUGGGCGAUAAUAGUACUAGGAUGGGUGACCUCCCGGAAAGUCCUCGUGUUGAAUCCCUCUUUUCUUUUUCGGUUUUUCUCUUCUUUUUUUUGUUAAAAAUGUAUGACUCCAUAACUUUUAGAUAGUGAGGCAAAACUUCGCAUGUGAUACCAUUUCGGAAAUCCUAAAGAGAGCUCUCCGAUGAAUGAGGAAGGAAAAUGUAAUUCUUCUAUUGGGUUUUUAUUCUACUCCUAAUUUUGACCUUAAUGUACUUUUUCGGGCCUUUUCGUGAUAUUUGCUAUAUUACAGGGCGAAAAUUAUAUGAUCGGACAUUGUUUUCGAAUAUUUUGCAUGUAUCAAAGCUCUUAUAAACAAGAUAUGGUAUUCCUACAUGGCUGGUAUGACCCACAGCAAAUGGAUCUUAAUUCUAGACUUUUUGUAAUCCCGAUUUCUCUUUAUCUAUUCAGUAUUCAGUAUUCAGCUUUUGUUCUUGAUUUCGUUUACUGUUGUUCAUUCUGUUAUCAUCAUGUUGUUACACUGUUGUUAUCAUGUCUUCCACCUGUUCAACGUUUAUGCUUUCUGUUAUGAUGUCUGAGUAGUGAAUAGGUUUUUGAGGAUGGCUUAGAGUAGUGUAGGAUUCUCAGUAUGCUAGGUGAUUGAGUAUUGAUUGAUAGAUCCCUUCUGGAUUAGUUGUUCUUAAUGCCUAUUGCUUUCUGAUCAACUGGAAUUUGAGCCCAGACAUUUCCGUGCCCAAAAGGUGUUCGAUGAAAUGUUUGAACCACUAAUUCCAGAGAUUCGUGACCCUGUACCAAGGUAUUGGUUGCAAGGAGCGUUUUGGCUUUAACUUGUUGAUUCGUAAUGCCUGUUAGGUUAGCUCUCGUCAAUGGUGAUUGAGUCUGGGACUAGGUUAACUUGAGGGUCUCAGUUGCGGUGGCACUUAGAUUUGGUUAAUGAACUUGUUAUCUAAGGUUAAUUUACUGAGCAUGUCAAUCACCUGUAAACUGAGAAAACGAAACUACUCAAUUACCCCAUCCUCAGGAAUUCUUUAUCUGAUUGAAUUCUUUGUUUACUCUACUGUUGUUUACUGCAUCUUGUUAUCUGUUGCUUAAUUUCUUCAGUUCUUUCUUGUUACUCGACCUCAUACUCGACCACCUAGUUGUUUGGCAACAGACUGUACAGUCGAGUAUCUGUGUUUCAUUUUCUGUCUGUUACUCGACCUGUCACUUGACCUCACCCAGUGUUCUGCAAAGAGCUGUGUUGGUCGAGUGUUUUACUGUUUCUGUUUGAUUUUCUGUUUUCUGCAUGUUCACUUAGAACUGCUAGAACACACCAAAACCUGUUAUUGCUUGGCUUGACUUAGUGACUUCUGAUCACAUCUUGAUUGUUAGCAUCACACCCAUUUGGAUUGACAACCUAAAAUACUACAACGAUAUGAUUGGUGUUUUAGGAUAAUUGACUAAAAAACCUAUUAUCAAUUUGGCGCCGUUGCCAAUUGGGUGUUUGUUUGUUACAUUUGAGAUUUCAGACUUGCUUAGAUCAAGUUCUUUUUCAAUUUUCUUUUCGGUUACUAACUGUGUGUUUUUCUUGUUGUCUUCUUGAUCCAGGUACACCUCUGCUGUAUGCGAAUUCGAUCAACAGGCAAUCAGAACCUCCUUUUCGACGACAACAUCAACCGCAUAGCUCGCGAACUCAGAAAAAGGAGAACCACAGUCACCCCUGUAUCUCAGCAACCACUCGAAAUGGCUGAAGAACAGAAUCAACAAAAUGGCCCUGCCAACAUUGGUGCUGGAGAUGCACCACGUGAUCACCGCCAGAGGAAAGGAAUUGCACCUCCUGCGAUCCAGAACAACAACUUCGAGAUUAAGAGUGGUCUCAUCUCGAUGAUUCAGGGGAACAAAUUCCAUGGUCUGCCAAUGGAGGAUCCACUCGACCACCUUGAUGAAUUCGAUAGGCUCUGCAACCUAACAAAGAUCAAUGGUGUCAGUGAAGACGGAUUCAAGCUCCGUUUGUUCCCAUUCUCCUUGGGCGACAAAGCACACAUCUGGGAGAAGAAUCUGCCCCAUGACUCAAUCACCACCUAGGAUGAUUGCAAGAAGGCUUUUCUAUCAAAGUUCUUCUCCAAUGCCAGAACUGCAAGACUCAGAAAUGAGAUUUCUGGUUUCUCACAGAAGACUGGUGAAAGCUUCUGUGAAGCAUGGGAGCGUUUCAAGGGGUACACCAACCAAUGCCCUCAUCAUGGCUUUACUAAAGCCUCUCUGCUCAGCACUCUUUACAGAGGAGUCCUACCACGCAUCAGAAUGCUUCUGGAUACAGCUAGCAAUGGGAAUUUCCAGAACAAGGAUGUUGAAGAAGGCUGGGAAUUGGUUGAGAACCUCGCUCAAUCAGAUGGCAAUUACAACGUGGACUGUGAUACGUCAGAGGAACAGCUGAUUCUGAUGACAAACACAGGAAGGAGAUCAAAGCGCUGAAUGACAAGCUGGACAUGAUUCUUCUUAGCCAGCAGAAGCAUGUGCACUUCCUUGUUGAUGACGAGCAAUUUCAAGUCCAAGAUGGGGAGGGUAACCAGUUGGAAGAAGUCAGCUACAUAAAACAACCAGGGUGGCUACAAAAGAUACAACAACUAUCGCUUGAAACUCUUUCCAAGAAAACUUAAAUCCAGAUGUUCUGGCCCAUUCUGUAUCACUGAGGUCCGUCCUUAUGGAGCAGUCACUCUAGCUGGUAAGAGUAGAGAUUUUACAGUAAAUGUUCAAAGGCUCAAGAAAUACUUAGCAGACCAAAUCCUUCCAGAGGUGACAUCGGUUCAUCUCCAAGAACCUCUUGAUGAUUAAAGGAGUAAAGGAGUCAAGCUAAUGACUUUAAACAAGCUCACUUGGGAGGAAGUCCCAUGAUUAUCUCUGUAAAUAAAAAAUUUCUUGUCUUGUUAUUUUUGAUUUGUUUUAAUUGUGUUUGUGGUUUUCAGAGAAAAGGGAACAACGUGGAGAUAGAGUAAAAAUUCAAAACUUUUACUCUACAGAAGACCUGGAGAUUGAGUGUAUAACCUGGUGGAGUACAAAAUUUAUAAAGUUUUCUGCUGCGUCUGGAGACACGGAAUUCGAGUACAUCAGUCGAGUAUACGUGAUGUUUAAAAUCCAAAAUUUUAAAAAAACAUCAUUGUACUCGACCAACAGGAGCUACAGAGACUUGCAAGGAUUUCUUGCAGUUUACAGUAGAUCUUCUGCAUAUUUUUUCAGUCAACAGAGUGUGGACCACGCGCUGAGGAUAAGCUGGAGAGAGAAUCUAAAACUCAACCUAGACCACUCAUUUAAAAACAUCACUCGACUUCACAAAAUCCACUCGACCUACCUCUUUUCAUUUCACCACCGACACUCUAAUCUCUCUACACCACGAAUCGCCGUCCAAAGAGAUACUCGAUCCUGACAAUAUCACUCGGCCUCCGAGAGUUACUCGACAUCCGCGCCGCCGUCACCAGAUCAUAUCUUCCGUCACUCGACCUCCGGGAACCACUCGACCUCUGCGCUUCCGUAAUCGAGUACUCCUCCUCGUUCACCGUCGAAGUCUCCGUGACCACUUGAUUACGACCAAGCUACUAGACCACAAACUAUCACUCGACCUCGAGUAUUCACUCGACCUCUGCAGCAGCAACUCGACCUCUUGUUCUUGAAAGCAACAGAGCCCUGAAGAACUGUCAGAGUGUUUACUCGACCUCUAGGCUUCACCGGCUGAACUCAACCUCCACAACUUACUCGAUCUCCUGAAGCAUACCCACUCGAAUCCGGAGACGAUACUCGAUCCAAAUCGUCUAAAGGGAACUCAAGAACAGCUCAGUCUACUCGAGUACAGAAUUGUACUCGACCAAUAGGGUUUAUUUCAUUGCCUAUUGAUAACAAUUUUGGUUUCAUUGCUAUCUUUGAGACUAACCUAUUGACUUUGAGCUUUGAGUUCUAAAUUUUUACAGGAGAAUCAUGAGCAAUUACAGUGGCAGUUCUUCUGUUGAUCCUGACUACAACAUGGAUGAGACAGAGUCAACAUCUUCAAGGCCAGAGAGAGAACAAAGAGAAUAUGAAAGCUUCAGAAGGAAAGCUGAGAUAGCCCGAGGGAAGAGAGCGAUCACUGAGAGGUAUGAGCUUAUAGACGAAGAUCAGGAAGACGAGUACAUGCCUGAACAGACUCGUAGAGCUACCAAACUUCUGCACAAGCCCGACGUAUUGCCUGCUGAGGAAUAUGUUAGGCUUUUCAAGCUGAACGAGUUCUGUAGCACGAGGUAUCCUUACUCGACCUCACUUGCACAACUCGGAUUGUUGGAAGAUGUUCAACACCUGUACCAGAGUUGUCAUCUGGACACUCUGAUGGCUUAUCCGUAUGUAGCGUAUGAAGAUGAGACAAUACAAUUUCUUUCCACGCUGCAAGUAGAGCUCUACCAAGGUAUGACCUCUGAUGAGUUGGAUUGUGAAGGAUUGGGAUUCUUGCAAUUUUCUGUGUAUGGCCAUGAGUAUAGGUUAUCAAUCAAGCGCUUGGAAGGAUUGUUUGGCUUCCCCAGUGGAACGGGAUCUAAGCCCAAGUAUGACAGAGAAGAGUUGAAAGACUUGUGGAUCACCAUUUGCAGCUCUGUACCGCUGAAUGCUUCUAGGUCAAAGAGCAAUCAGAUACGCAGCCCUGUCAUCAGGUACUUCCAGCGUUCUAUAGCCAAUGUACUCUACUCCCGAGAGAUCACAGGGACUGUUACUAACUCUGAUAUGGAGAUGAUCGCAAUGGCCCUCAAGGGAACUCUUCGCCAAACGAAGAAUGGUAUGUCUCUCCAAGGUGAAAUCAAUGACACACCUCUCUCUGUACUUCUUCUGAUCCAUCUGUGUGGAUACAAGAGUUGGGCUGUCAGCAAUAACCGCAAGAGAGCACGAGGCGCUCUGUGCAUAGGUGGUGUUGUGACACCGAUUCUGAUAGCUUGUGGAGUCCCAAUCAUAUCUGCCGGACUCGAGCCGCGAGCAAUGGAUAUCGAGCACCUACGUCACUGCGAAUUCCUAGAGUUUGCAAUGGUUGACGACUUCCACAGGUUCAGGUUUGAGCACUCUACAGACAGGAGAGCUAACAUCCUUCUCCCUAGCCCUGAGGUUACACGGAUAAUAGAGGGAGAUAAUAUUGAUUUUUGGCCUGAGGUUGGACGCCUCUACUAUGAGAACGCUCCGCCAUUCAAUGAGGAGGAUCUUCUAGAAGAAGCUGUUUCGGAUGGGAUGGAUGACGAUUGCGCAGUGGAGUUCGACACUAGCAUGUAUCACUUUGGUGAAGAUGUACCUCCAGCGAGGCAGAGCAAGAGCUUGACCGAAGCUCAUAAGAACAAAAGUAAAUUGCAGAAGUGGUGCAAGAAGCAGGACAAGUUGCUCGCCAAGUGUUUCAAGGCUAUCAAGCUUCUGACAGAUAAGCUGAGUUGUUCCUCCUCCACCACAGCUAUUCCACAGGUAUUGCCUCCUCUGGAGAUGCCAUCGAGGAGAUUUGAUAAGCCUGCGCACAAGCCUGAGCUUAGCGAGCAGAGAGUCUCUCAUGCCCCGGUUAGGCAUUUGUCAUUCGAGUCCCGGGAGCACAAGAGAAGAAGGAAGGCUACACUCACUUGAUCUAGGAGCAGAUCACACCUCAUUCACUCGAGGAGAUCACUUGACCGCGGUGCCGGCCGUAGCAGAAGGAGAGAGGUCGAGUAUCCUCAGAGCGGUGCUGGCCGCCACAGAGCUAAUGAGGUCGAGUACCCACCUGCUGGAGCUGAUACAGAACAAGGUGGUUCGUCUAUGGCCUGGGAGCAAUCACAGGCAGCCAUUGACGAGCAACUACGUUCAUUCUUCGAUUGAGGUACGCGCCUCACUUCACCAUUGUAUUAUAUCAUCUGUUGUGAUUUGUUUCUUCAUUUCGUUUCUGUGAUUGGAUUUGUCCUGAGUACUCUCUUCCAAGUUUAUUCGCAUAGUGGACUGUGUGAUUUAAGUUUGGGGGAGGGCUCAGGAAGUGUGUGUUAUAUUUUUGAGUCUGCAUUCAUCUAAGGGAUAGAAAAACCAAAAAAAAUUGAAAAAUUUUAGAAAAUGAUUUGACAAAAAAAGAGUGUUCAUGUAGUUGCAUUACAUUUAGGAUCGAGUCUAGAGUGUUUCAUUUAGGAUUGUUGCAUAUGCAUAGGGGAUGAUGAUGAGAUAGCCUUGUAAGCAUUUUGAUUCACAGGAUAAACUCAGUGCCCUCGUUGCUAGUUGUCUGUUGCGUAGUCAAUGAAUUUGAAAUAAAACUGAACCAUGCCUAGAUUGCUCUAUUCGACCACACUAUCAUGAUCUGAUACCAUUCCCUAUCAAUUUGAACCUGAAUCUGAUCUUUAAUUAUCAUGUCUGCAUCAAAUUUGAACUCAUGGAUACCCUAAAAUACUUGGAUUUUCUUAUUCAUUUUGAUCACUCUUGUUAAUCCAAGUAGCUGACUCUCCUUAUUAGAGCAGUUAACCCAAACCCAAACCUAGACUUUCUUUCAAGCCCUAUAUCACUUGUGAGUGUUUGUGAGGUCUUAUUCCGAUUAAGCUUGGUAGAAAGUGUUAGGUUCGUAACGACAGAGAUAGUGUCUCAUGUAGUUCUAGUUCGCAUUUUUUGGACUAGAUAGGACUAGGUGGGCGCUUAUACUUUGGGUUGGGAUGUGUUUAAAAGAAAAAAAAAAGGUUGAUUUAUUGAUAAGAAAAGGUAAAAGACUCUAGGUGAAGUAAGCUAAAGAAGCAGAAAAAGUCUACUAAAGGUUUUGGGAUUUGUAAAGAAAAGAAAGAGUUCUUGUUAGCUAUUGAAGAUGGGCAAAAGCCCUUGGUUUUAAAAUGUUAAAAACAGGAACCUUAGUUGUUAAAGAAAUCCAAAUCCGCUAGAUGUAUCAAAGUGUUGAGAAAGCUUCUCCUAGAGUUAAGAGAAAAGAAAAGAAUGAUUAGAAAAAGGGCUUAAAAGAUUCAUGAAUGCAAAGGGUAGAGUUUAGUUCUUGUAUUGGGAUUGGAGAUGGGAUUACCAUUAGAGCUUCAUUUGAUGUACUCUGGGUAGAUGGGAUCUUAUCUCUGUAUGCAUAGCUUGGGACUUACCUUUAGCAUUCUACUAAAGCUUAAUCAUUUUUUGAGAGAUCCCCUGUUAUUGAAGCCUAUUCUGUAAGGGACCAUCUUUGUCUCUUGACCUUUUACCUUAGCCAAAUGAGUUCUUUGAUGAUGCAUUGCUUGAUUCACGUUCCAGAACUAAUGAAUGUUAAAGGGAUUGGUAGAUUUGAAAACUUGUGUAGGUCGAGCAUAUGAGUCGGAUUGAUUGAUUGAUGAGGCAUAACUAACUUUUUUAAGUAGAAUUCGAUCUUGCAGCUUAGAACUUUCAACUUGGACAUUGAUUUCAUCUGGUCUAUCUGGUGCUUUGGCUCUGAGUCCCCGCUUUCAAACCUCACCUCCAGCUUGUUCUUGAUUGUUUGCUUGAGGCAAGCAAAGACUAAGUUUGGGGGAGUUGAUAAGUUUGUAUUUUGCAUGUUUUGAGCAUCCAUUUGUCAUCAUUUUAGCAUCAUAUCAUCACUGUUUUAUACCAUUUCACAUCAUUUGUCAUCACUUUGCAUGUUUAGGAUAGUUUUGCAUGCAUGUUGCAUAUUUGUGUUGUUUUCAGGUGAUUUGGAGCUGUCGACGAUCUAACUGGAAGAAGCGGACCUGAUCAUGACAAACCACUCGACCAAGAGGUCGAGUAGGAGCUUCAAGAUCUCAAGAGACCACUCGACCCCCAGGUCGAGUAGAAGACACCACCACUCUAUCACAUCACUCGACCCCCAGGUCGAGUGUCUUCAUCUCCAUCUCUUGACCACCACUCGAUCACAUCACUCGACCCCCAGAUGUAGUGACUUCAUCCCAUUGCUAGACCUCUACUCGACCUCAUCACUCUACAUGGAAGUCGAGUAUCACCAUCACACCACUCGAUUGCAUACUCGAUGACAAGCUUCAGAGCCUUCUUCAUUCCGCACUCAACCAGACACUCGAGCACAAGAAAGAAAAGAAGACUCCAGCUAUUCACUCGACCUCCCACUCGACCACAUGGGUCGAGUACAGUUCUUAAUCCGUCCCAAUACUUUGUCGUUUUGAGUAUUAGGGUUUCGGAAUAUUUGGCUAUAAGUAGCAUGUACUUCUCAUUUUCGCAGACAAGAAAUUUUUAUCUAGUUUUAUUCUGCAGACCUUGUGUUCUAGACUUUUUGUAAUCCGGAUUUCUCUUUAUCUAUUCAGUGUUCAGUAUUCAGCUUUUGUUCUUGAUUUCGUUUACUGUUGUUCAUUCUGUUAUCAUCCUACUGUUACACUGUUGUUGUCAUGUCUUCAACCUGUUCAACGUUUCUGCUUUCUAUUAUGAUGUCUGAGUAGUGAAUAGGUUUCUGAGGAUGGGUUAGAGUAGUGUAGAAUUCUCAGUAUGCUAGGUGAUUGAGUAUUGGUUGAUAGAUCCCUUCUGGAUUAGUUGUUCUUAAUGCCUAUUGCUUUCUGAUCAACUAGAAUUUGAGCCCAGACAUUUCCGCGCCCAAAAGGUGUUCGAUGAAAUGUCUGAACCACUAAUUCAAGAGAUUCGUGACCCAGUACCAAGGUAUUGGUUGCAGGGAGCGUUUUGGCUUUAACUUGUUGAUUCGUAAUGCCUGUUAGGUUAGCUCUCGUCAAUGGUGAUUGAAUCUGGAACUAGGUUAACUUGAGGGUCUCUGUUGCGGUGGCACUUAGAUUUGGUUAAUGAACUUGUUGUCUAGGGUUAAUUUACUGAGCAUGUCAAUCACCUGUAAACUGAGAAAACGAAACUACUCAAUUUCCCCAUCCUCGGGAAUUCUUUAUCUGAUUGAAUUCUUUGUUUACUAUAUUGUUGUUUACUGCAUCUUGUUAUCUGUUGCUUAAUUUCUGCAGUUCUUUCUUGUUACUCGACCUCAUACUCGACCACCUAGUUGUAUGGCAACAGACUGUGCAGUCGAGUAUCUGUGUUUCAUUUUUUGUCUGUUACUCGACCUCACCCAGUGCUCUGCAAAGAGCUGUGUUGGUCGAGUGUUUUUUACUGUUUCUGUUUCAUUUUCUGUUUUCUGCAUAUUCACUUAGGACUGCUAGAACACACCAAAACCUGUUAUUGCUUGGCUUGACUUAGUGACUUCUGAUCACAUCUUGAUUGUUAGCAUCACACCCAUUUGGAUUGACAACCUUCAGUACUACAACGAUAUGAUUGGUGUUUUAGGAUAAUUGACUAAAAAAACUAUUAUCAAUGCCCUUUGUGCUGACUAAUGCACCAGCCACCUUCCAAUCAGUGAUGAAUGAGCUGUUUAGACCAUAUAUGCGCCGGUUUGUUUUAGUGUUCUUUGACGACAUUCUGGUAUACAAUCUUGAUGUAGAGACACAUCUCAAACACUUAGAGGUUUUUCUUCAGAUUCGGUUACAGAACAGGUUCUACGCCAAUGAGAAGAAAUGCCACUUUGGUUGCACAAGGAUAUCAUAUUUGGGCCAUAUGAUCACUAGCGAAGGAGAUUCUACAGAUCCCACAAAGAUAGAAGCUAUGGUAAAGUGGCCACAGCCCAAGAAUAUAACAGAGCUGCGCGGGUUUUUAGGCCUUACUGGUUACUACAGAAGGUUUGUGGCAGGUUAUGGGAAGAUAGCAAAGCCACUGACAGAAUUACUCAAGAAAGGGAAAUUUGAAUGGUCUGUUGAAGGUACAAGUACUUUUGAGGCUUUAAAAGAGGCGGUUAUCUGUCUUCCAACGUUAGCAUUACCAGAUUUUGAGAAGCCAUUUGUGAUAGAGACUGAUGCUUUAGGCACGGGUAUAGGAGCAGUUCUAUCUCAGGAUAAGCGUCCCAUUGCGUUCAUUAGCCAAGGAUUCUCCAGUAAAGGCAGAGUUAAAUCAAUAUAUGAGAGGAAACUUUUGGCGAUUGUUUUUGUAGUGGAUAAGUGGAAGCACUACCUCACGGGAGAAAAGUCAUUAUCAGGACUGAUUAGAGAAGCCUGAAACACUUACUCAACCAGAAGGCAGUGUCAGCCAUACAACAAAGGUGGGCUUCGAAAUUAGUUAGCCUGGACUAUGAGAUUGAGUAUAAGCAUGACUCAGAAAAUAGAGUAGCAGACGCGCUAUCUAGACGUCCAGUAACCGAGCAAAUAAUGAACAUGCUGUUUCUAGCUUCGGCGACAGUGAACAAGGAAGAACUGUAGGCACAGGUACAAAAUGAUCCCAGCCUCAAACUCAUACAGGAACAACUGCUUAGAGGAGAGGAAGGGGAGAAAGGAUACAGUCUGGUAGCUAACACCUUAUAUAAGGAUGGCAGAAUUGUUAUGCCAGAAAGCUCUCCUUUUAUCCCAAAAUUGCUGGAACAGUUUCAUACUAGUCCCAUUGGAGGACAUGAAGGAGCGUUUAAGACAUUUAAAAGGUUAUCUAGUGAAGUUUACUGGAAAGGCAUGCGCAAGGACGUGGUGGAGUUCCUCAAGGGUUGUCAAGUUUGUCAACAAAACAAGUAUUCUACAUUGUCUCCAGCCGGCCUCUUGCAACCAUUACCCAUUCCGACUAAGGUAUGGUCCAAUAUCAGCCUUGAUUUCAUUGAAGGGCUUCCAGUUUCAAGUGGAUAUGAUGCGGUACUCGUCGUGGUAGAUCGGCUCAGCAAGUAUGGUCAUUUUAUUCCCCUUAAGCAUCCUUACACAGCUAAAUCAGUAGUAGAAGUGUUUAUUAAAGAGAUUGUUAGACUUCAUGGAUUUCUAGAGAGUAUGGUUUCAGAUCGGGACAAGAUUUUUGUCAGUCACUUUUGGUCUGCUCUUUUCAAGUCCCAAGGAACACAUCUGGCUAAGAGCACAGCAUACCACCCACAGUCGGAUGGCCAAACCGAGGUCCUAAACAGAUGCUUAGAGACUUACCUUCGCUGUUUUGUUAAUGGAAAGCCAAAAUCUUGGGCUCAAUUGUUUUCCUGGGCAGAAUACUGGUCUAACACUUCGUUUCAUUCUGCCAUCAAGAUGACUCCAUUUCAGGCCUUGUACGGAAGAGAACCACCGAAACUGUUACGAUUUGGUGACAUCCCAAAAGCUAACGCGGUGGUAGAGGAGAUGCUACAAGAAAGGGACAGAGUGGUCACGAUGCUGAGAGAAAAUCUGCAGGCAGCUCAAGCCCGAAUGCAAAAAUCAGCUAACAAGCAUAGAAGGGAGCUGGAAUUCAUAGUUGGCGAUUGGGUUUAUCUAAAGUUAAGACCUUACAGGCAGGUAACCGUGGCACAGCGUCGCAAUGAGAAGCUAUCUCCCAGAUUUUUUGGUCCUUAUCAGAUUCUUCAAAAAAUAGGUGCAGUAGCCUACAAACUUCAGUUACCAAGCAGCAUCUCCAUACACCCGGUCUUCCAUAUAUCACAGCUGAAGCAUGCGCAACCAAGUUCAGCCCAAGCUCAACCUCUCCCAGCGAUUAUGACUUCUAACUUGGAGUGGGAACCUGAACCUGAAGAUGUACUAGAGAUAAGGGAAAGCAGCACGGGCGCAGAUACUGAGUUAUUGAUUAAAUGGAGAGGUCUGCCAGAGUGUGAGAAUACAUGGGAGCCAAUGAAAGUCAUCAGGCAGCAGUUCCCAGCAUUUCACCUUGAGGACAAGGUGGCUUCGUUACGGGGGAGUAAUGAUAAGGUGGAGACUAUGGAAGGAGAAGCAAGGAAAGGAGAUAGAGCAACAAGGAAGAGGAUUCAAAGAAGAUCUUUGACCCAAGUGGCUAAAGAGAGUUUAAGAAAGUGCAAGGAAACACUCUGUCGCAUCCAGAGGCUUUGAAGUGUCAAAGAAAUAAGUAUGCUAUAGUUCAUAUUAACUGUAUGUUGUUUAAGUAAGAGUCUGAGAGAGUGUGUGUAGUUUUCCAUAGGGAAACUACUAUAAAUGUUGAACUCUACUUUAGGGUUAAGGUAUCAAAGUAUUAAUCAAACUUCCUAUUAUUACUCUCCUCUAUCCUUUAUCCACUCUAUCUUCUUCUUCUUCUUCAUCCGAUUCUAUCUCUUUCUGUUCUUAAUCUUCUUGAUAGGUUCACCACUUAUCACUCGACUUCCUUGUAGAGUGGUGUGAUCGAGUGAUGGUCAAGUGUGGAGGUGAUGAUACUCGACCAGGUGGUAGAGUGAUCGAGUGAAGGUGAUGAAGGUAGUCGACCAUGUGGUAGAGUAGUGUGAUCGAGUGAUGGUCAGGUGGUGGAGGUUAUGAGACUCGACCAGGGGGUCGAGUGGUGAGGUGAAGUGGUGAAGUCCUCUACUCGACCAGGGGGUCGAGUGGUCUGUUGAGGUCGUGAAGCAUCUACUCGACCUGGGGGUCGAGUGGUUUGACAUGAUCAGGAACGCUUCUUCCAAUUAGCUCGUCAACAGCUCCAAAUCACCUGAAAACAACACAAAUAUGCAACAUGCAUGCAAAACUAUCCUAAACAUGCAAAGUGAUGACAAAUGAUAUAAAACAAUGAUGAUAUGAUGAUAAAGUGAUGACAAAUGGAUGCUCAAAACAGGCAAAAUGCACACUUAUCAACUCCCCCAAACUUAGUCUUUGCUUGCCCUCAAGCAAACAAUUAAGAACAAGUAGGAGGUGAGAGUUGAAGGCGGGGACUUUGAGCCAAAGCACCAGAUAAAUCAGAUGAAAUCAAUGUCCAAGUUGAUAGUUCUAAGCUGCGAUAUGAUUGAAUUCUACUCAAAAACGUUAGCUAUGCCUUGUUAUCAAUCAAUCCGACUCUUAUGCUCAGCCUACACAUGUUUUCAAAUCUACCAAUCCCUUUAACAUUCAUUAGUUAUGGAACGUGAAUCAAGCAAUGCAUCUAUCAAUGAACUCAUUUGGCUAAGGUAAAGGUCAAGUGACAAAGAUGGCCCCUUACAGAAUAGGCUUCAGCAAAAGGGGAUCUCUCAAAAAAUGAUUAAGCUUUAGUAGAAUGCUAAAGGUAAGUCCCAAGCUAUGCAUACAGAGAUAAGAUCCCAUCUACCAAGAGUAUAACCAAUGAAGCUCUAAUGGUAAUCCCAUCUCCAAUCCCAAUAUAAGAACUUAACUCUACCCUUUGCAUUCAUGAAUCUUUUAACCCCUUUUUCUAAUCAUUCUUUUCUUUUCUCUUAACUCUAGGAGAAGCUUUCUCAACACUCUGAUACAUCUAGCGGAUUUGUAUUUCUUUAACAACUAAGGAUCCUCUUUUCAAUUUUUAAAACCGAGGACUUUUGCCCUUCUUCAUUAGCUGACAAGAACCCUUUUCUUUUCUUUACAAAUCCCAAAACCUUUACUAGACUUUUUCUACUUCUUUAGCUUACUUCACCUAGAGCCUUUUACCUUUUCUCAUCAAUGAAUCAACUCUUUUGUUUUUUCUUUUUCUUUUAGACACAUCCCAACCCAAAGUAUAAGCACCCACCUAGUCCUAUCUAGUCCGAAAAAUGCGAACUAGAACUACAUGAGACAUUAUCUCUGUCGUUACAAACCUAACACUUUCUACCAAGCUUAAUCGAAAUAAGACCUCAGAAACACUCACAAGUGAUAUAAGGCUUGAAAGAAAGUCUAGAUUUUGGUUCGGGUUAACUGCUCUAAUAAGGAGAGUCAACUACUUGGAUUAACAAGAGUGAUCAAAAUGAAUAAGAAAAUCCAAGUAUUUUAGGGUAUCCAUGAGUUCAAAUUUGAUGCAGACAUGAUAAUUAAAGAUCAGAUUCAGGUUCAAAUUGAUAGGGAAUGGUAUCAGAUCAUGACAGUGUGGUCGAGUAGAGGAAUCUAGGCAUGGUUCGGUUUUACUUCAAUUUCAUUGACUACGCAAAAGACAACUAGCAACGAGGGCACUGAGUUUAUCCAGUGAACCAAAAUGCUUACAAGGCUAUCUCAUCAUUAUUCCCUAUGCAUAUGCAACAAUCCUAAAUGAAACACUCUAUACUCGAUCCUAAAUGUAAUGCAACUACAUGAACACUCUUUUUUUUUGUGAAAUCAUUUUCUGAAAUUUUUCAAUUUUUUUUUGGUUUUUUUAUGCCUUAGAUGAAUGCAGACUCAAGAGUAUAAACAAUGCAACACACACUUCAUGAGCACUCCCCCAAACUAAUCUUGGAAGAGAGUAACUCAGGACAAAUCCAAUCACAGAAACAAAAUAAAGAACAAAUCACAAAAGAUGAUAUAAUACAAUGGUGAAGUGAGGCGCUUACCUCAAUCAAAGAAUGAACGAAGUUGGUCGUCAAUGGCUGCCUGUGAUUGCUCCCAAGCCAUAGACGAGCCACCCUGUUCUGUAUCAGCUCCAGCAGGUGGGUACUCGACCUCAUCAGCUCUGUGGAUACUCGACCUCUCUUCCUCUGCUGCGGCCAGCACCGUGGUCGAGUGAUCUCCUCGAGUGAAUUAGGCAUGAUCUACUGCUAGAGCGAACGAGUGUAGCCUUCCUUCUUCACUUGUGCUCCCGGGACUCGAAUGACGAAUGCCUAGCAGGGACAUGUGAGACUCUCUGCUCACUAAGCUCAGGUCUGUGCUCAGGCUCAUCAAAUCUCCUCAAUGGCAUAUCUAGAGGAGGCUGUCCCUGUGGAAUAGCUGUAGUAGAAGAGGAACAGCUCAGUUAAUCUAUCAGAAACUUGAUAGUCUUAAAGCACUUGGCGAGCCGCUUGUCCUGCUUCUUGCAACACUUCUGCAGCUUAUUGUUGUUCCUAUGAGCUUCACUCAAGCUCUUGCUCUCCCUCGCCAGAGGUACAUGUUCAUCAAAAUGAUACAUGCUAGUGUCGAACUCCACUGCUCUGUCUUCAUCCAUCCCAUCCUAAGCAGCUUCUUCUAUAAGAUCAUCCUCAUCCAAUGGCGGAGCGUUCUCAUAGUAGAGGUUUCCAAGCUCAGGCCGAAAAUCAAUGUUAUCUCCCUCUAUUAUCCGUGUAACCUUAGGGCUGGGGAGAAGGAUGCUAGCUCUCUUAUCCGUAGAGUGCUUAAACCUAAAACAGUGCAUGUCGCCAACCAUUCCGAACUUCAGGACGUAGGAUGCUAACUCCAGGACUUCGCAGUGACGUAGAUGCUUGAUAUCAAUUGCCCGUGGCUCGAGUCCAUCAGAUGUGAUUGGGACUCCACAAGCAAUCAGAAUCGGUGUCACAACACCGACUAUGCAAAGAGCGCCUCGUGCUCUCUUGUGAUUAUUGCUGACAGCCCAGCUCUUGUAUCCACACAGGUGGAUUAGAAGAAGUACAGAGAAAGGUGUGUCAUUGAUUUCACAGAUAUGUUGUUCUUAGUUUGGUAGAGAGUGCCUUUGAGAGCAUAUAGCGAUCAUCUCCAUAUCAGAAUUGGUAACAGUCCCUGUGAUCUCUCUGGAGUAGAGGACAUUGGCUAUAGAACGCUGGAAGUACCUGAUGACAGGGCUGCGUAUCUGAUUGCUCUUUAACCUGGAAGAAUUUAGCGGUACAGAGCUGCCAAUGGUGAUCCAUAAGUCUUUCAACUCUUCUCUGUCAUACUUGGGCUUAGUACCCGUUCCACUGGGGAAACCAAAAAGUCCUUCCAAGCGUUUGAUUGAUAACCUAUACUCAUGACCAUACACAGAGAAUCUCAAGAAUCCCAAUCCUUCGCAAUCCAACUCAUCAGAGGUCAUACCUUGGUAAAGCUCCACUUGCCGUGUGGAGAGGAAUUGAAUUGUCUCUUCUUCAUAUGCUACAUACGGAUAAGCCAUCAGAGUGUCCACAUGACUACUCUGGUACAGGUGUUGAACAUCUUCCAACAAUCCAAGUUAUGCAAGUGUGGUCGAGCAUGGAUACCUUGUGCUACAGAACUCAUUUAGUUUGAAGAGUCUGAUAUACUCCUCAGCAGGUAAUACAUCUGGUUUGUGAAGAAGCUUUGUGGCUCUACUAGUAUGCUCAAGCAUGUACUCGUCUUCUAGAUCCUCAUCUAUAAGCUCGUACCUCUCUGUCAUUGCUCUCUUCCCUCGAGCUAUCUCAGCUUUUCUUCUGAAGCUAUCAAAUUCUAUCUUUUCUCUCUCUGGCCUUGAAGAUGACGACUAUGUCUCAUCCAUGUUGUAGUCAGGAUCAACUGAAGAAUUGCCACUGUAAUUACUCAUGAUUCUCUUGUAGAAGAUUUAGAACUCAAAACUCCAAUAUCAAUAGGAUAGUCUCAAAGAGAACAAUCAAACCAAAAUUGUUAACAACAGACAAUAUAGACCCAAACGGUCAAGUACAAUCAAAUACUCAAGUAAGCUUAACUUUUUCCAAGUUUCUCUUUCACGGGUUGAAUCGAGUGGCUCAGAUAUAAGAGGUCGAGUAAUGUUGAGGAAGUAGUGUGCAGAUGGUGAAUCAGGUUGGUCGAGUAUACCAUAGGUGAGCCAAAAUUGGCAGGGACGAAACCUCAAAUCGACGAUCGAGUACAGUGGAUGUAAUCGAGUAGCUCUUGAGACGACGACGGUAAACGAGGUGGAGACUCGACUUAGACGGGAAGUGACGGUUAACGGCGAAGUGAAGUGGUUGAGUGAUUCAAGGUGAAACGUAAUCGGUGGUCGAGUGGGACUUUGAACUCGACUGCGGCGGCUGUAAUUCUUUCCAGCUGCGGUCGAGUGGUUUCGGCGAGGUCGAGCGUGGCUUGGUUUCAGAGGUCAAGUUGAUUCUUGCGAUCGAGUGGUGGAAAACUGAAUAGAGGUUGGUCGAGUGAAAUUUCAAAAGCAGUGGUGGAGAUUGAGUUUGAGAUUCUCUCUCCAUCUUAUCCUCAGCGCGUGGUCCACACUCUGUUGAUUGGGAAAACUGCAGGAAAUCUACAGUAAACUUGAUUAACUCCCUGUAAGGCUCUGUAGCUUCUGUUGGUCGAGUAAUAUGAUGAUUUAAAAUUUUUUGGUUUUAAACAUCACUCAUACUCGACCAAUGUACUCGAGUGCAAGGUCUCCAUGUGCAACAGAAAAUUUACAAAAUUUUGCACUCCAACGGGCUAUACACUCGAUCUCCAGGUCUUUUGUAAAGUAAAAGUUUUGAAUUUUUACUCUAUCUCCACCUUGUUCCUUUGUUCCUGAGAACCACAAACACAACUAAGACAAAUCAAAAAUAACAACAAAAGAAAAAUUUAUUUACAGAGAUAGUCAUGGGACCUUCCUCCCAAGUGAGCUUGUUUAAAGUCUCUAGCUUGACUGCUCACACUUAUCAAGAAGAAAAUGAAUGAUAGAGAGGGUCUGCAUAGUCCUCUCGGAUAUCAUCAUCAUACUCAGCGUCCUCCCUGGAGAGGUCUGCAGCAGAACACUCAAUUCCCCUUUCUUCAAAACAGGCUUCUUUCUCUUCUAGAGGGUAAUCUAUCUCUUCAGACCAUCUUGAAGUGAACCUUUUUCUCGGGAUAAUGUCAAUUCCGCCUUUAGGUUGAGCUUUCUUCUGCAUCUGAUUCAGCUUACUCUUAAGCUCCUCAAUAGUGUGGGCUAGCUUCCCUAUAGUUUCAUCUUGCUUAUCAGACCUCUUUUUAAGCUCCCUUACUUUUUCAGUCUCAUACGCUUCUCUUGGGAUCACUCUAUCGUCUCCAGAGGGUUUUUCAUAUUCUUUUGACUCUUCUGGAGUUUUGUUGAUGUCAAAUUGCAACUUGAUGUGCUUUCCAAGGUUGAGACUUAUUUUUUCUUCCCUGACAUCUAUCACUGCUCCCACUGAGGCUAAGAAGGGUCUUCCCAGGAUUAAGGGAUCCUUAUGCUCUUCUUCCAUAUCCAGCACCACGAAGUUUGUAGGCACUUCCACUCCAUUAAUCAUGACUGGUAGAUCUUUCAACAUGUCGGAGGGUUUUCUUGAAGACCUAUCUGCAAGGAUCAAAGUCAGGUCACAAGGCCUGUACUAAAUAAAUUCCAACCUUCUUGCCACAGAGAGUGACAUUAAGGUGACAGAGGCUCCGAGAUCGCACAGGCAAUCGCUGAAAGCUAAUUCCCCAAUUGAACAUGGUAGAGUAGAAUAUCCAGGAUCUUCUAACUUUUCUUGAACAAUCCUCUUAUCAGCAACUCGAGAUGGAGUAGCGUCACUAUCAUCAUCUGAAUCGUGAUACAUCUUAAUCCUUUCCAGUAUCAGAUUUCUCACAUCUUUGUGAGGAUCAGGAAUCAGGUUGAGAACUUCCAUCAGUGGCAUCACUGUUUCAUUCUCGUCUAGCUGUUUCGCUGCAACAGACUUGUAUCUCUCCAUCCAUGCUUUCCUGAAUUUCAUGGAAGAGCAUGUGAGGGUAAUGGAGUAGGUUUGAAUCGUUUUACCAUUCUCUCGAUUAUGGCUGCUUUCUCUUCCGAGGUGGAUUAAAUGAGAUGGUGAGAACCAGCAGAAUGGUUGAAUUCUACAACAGAGACCUCAAUCUUGGUUGAAGGCUCCCCUUCUUGAACAUCACUGUCCCCAGUGAUUAAGUCAGGGACAGGUCGAGUUGGCUGCUCUCGAUCCUGGCAGAUAGUGAUGGCGUGAGCAGUUGCAUACUCCUUUGGAUUUUGUAUUGACUUCCCAGGAAGUCCUGUAACUUUAGGACCAGAGGUAGAUGUUGAUUGUCCUUCCAAGUAUCUGACUUUGGUAUUCAAUGUCUCCACUUUGGCAUUCAGGUCAUUGUAGCUAUAGUCCAGCUUAUGGUGCAAUUCAAAUAACUUCUUAGCAAUUUUCAUGGAGCUAGAUGCUUGUCCCUGUAGCAGCUGUUGUACCAUCUGUUUCAUUUCGGGAUCAGGAGCUGCAAGACCUUGGUUUUGCUGAGGUGCAAACCCAGGUGGUGGUUGCGGCUGGUAGUUCCCCUGAAAUUGUUGGGAACAAAUCCUUGAUUGUAAGGAACAAAAGGUUUGUUCUGACCUUGUUGUUGAUGUGGAGGAUACACCUGAUCCUGAGGAUUCGCAACGUUGGUGCUCCGGUAGGAGAGGUUGGGGUUGUUGGUUUUGAAGUUGUUAUACCCUUUGUAGCCACCCUGGUUGUUGUUGAUGUAGCUGACCUCUUCCAACUGGUUACCCUCCCCAUCUUGGACUUGAUACUGCUCGUCAUCAACAAGGAAGUGCACAUGCUUCUACUGGCUAAGAAGAAUCCUUUCCAGCUUGUCGUUCAGCGCUUUGAUCUCCUUCUUGUGUUUGUCAUCAGAGUCAGCUGUGCUUCUGAUGGUCCUAUCGUAGUCCUCAUUGUAAUUACCAUCUAAUUGAGCUAGGUUCUCAACCAAUUCCCAGCCUUCUUCAACAUCCUUGUUCUGGAAAUUCCCAUUGUUGGCGGUAUCCAGAAGCAUUCUGAUGCGUGGUAAAACGCCUAUCUAUGGAGUGCUUAGCAGAGAGGCUUUCGUGAAGCAAUGAUGAGGGCAUUGGUUGAUGUAACCUCUGAAACGCUCCCAUGCUUCAUAGAAGCUUUCACCCGUCUUCUGUGAAAAAUCAGAAAUCUUAUUUCUGAGUUUUGCAGUUCUGGCGUUGGAGAAGAACUUUGAUAGAAAGUCCUGUGGAGUAAACAAUAAAAUCAAUCAGAUAAAGAAUUCCCGAGGAUGGGGUAAUUGAGUAGUUUCGUUUCCUCAGUUAACAGGUGACUGACAUGCUCAAUAAAUUAUCCCUAGACAACAAGUUCAUUAACCAAAUCUAAGUGCCACCGCAACAAAGACCCUCAAGUUAACCUAGUCCCAGACUCAAUCACCAUUGACGAGAGCUAACCUAACAGGCAUUACGAAUCAACAAGUUAAAGCCAAAACGCUCCCUACAACCAAUACCUUGGUACAGAGCCACAAAUCUCUGGAAUUAGUGGUUCAGACAUUUCAUCGAACACCUUUUGGGCGCAGAAAUGUCUGGGCUCAAAUUCUAGUUGAUUAGAAAGCAAUAGGGAUUAAGAACAACUAAUCCAGAAGGGAUCUAUCAAUCAAUACUCAACCACCUAGCAAACUGAGAAUUCUACACUACUCUAAUCCAUCCUCAGAAACCUAUUCACUACUCAGACAUCAUUAUAGAGAACAUAAACGUUGAACAGGAUGAAAACAUGAUAACAAUAAUAUAAUAGCAAAACGAUAACAGGAUGAACAACAAUAAACGAAAUCAAGAACAAAUACUGAAUACUGAGUAGAUAAAGAGAAAUCCGGAUUACAAAAGGUCUAGAACACAGUGUCUGCGGAAUAAAACUAGAUAAAAACCUCUUCUCGAAAAUGUAAAGUACAUGCUUAUUAUAGCAAAAUAUUCUGAAACUCUAAUACUCAAAAUGACGCAGUAUUGGGACGGAUUAAGAACUGUACUCGACCCUGAUGGUCGAGUGAGAGGUCGAGUGAUAUGCUGGAGUCUUCUAUUCUUCCUUGUGCUCGAGUGUCUAGUUGAGUGCAGAAAUGAAGAAGACUCUGAAGCUCGCCAUAGAGUAUGUAGUCGAGUGGUGGUGGUGAAGACACUCGACCUGGGGGUCGAGUGAUGUGAUCGAGUGACUGGUCAGGUUGUGGAGGUGAAUACACUCGACCAGGUGGUCGAGUGAGGUGAUCAAGUAUCUCUCGUGGUGGUACUCGGCCAGGGGGUCGAGUGAUGAGAUGAAAUUGUGAAGUCCCCUACUCAGCCAGGGGGUCGAGUGGUCUGUUGAGGUCUUGAAGCUUCUACUCGACCUCGGGGUCUAGUGGUUUGACAUGAUCAGGUCCGCUUCUUCCAGUUAGCUCGUCAACAGCUCCAAAUCACCUGAAAUCAACACAAAUAUGCAACAUGCAUGCAAACCUAUCCUAAACAUGCAAAGUGAUGACAAAUGAUGAGAAAUGGUAUUAUACAGUGAUGAUAUGGUGCUUAAGUGAUGACAAAUGGAUGCUCAAAACAUGCAAAAUACACACUUAUUAACUCCCUAAUAAUAUGUUUUUAGUCAAUUAUCCUUAAACACCAAUCAUGUCUUUGUAGUAUUUUAGGUGUCAAUCCAAAUGGGUGUGAUGCAAACAGAUGAGAUGUGAUCAGAAGUCACUAAGUCAAGCCAAGCAAUAACAGUAUUGGGGUUUCUUACAGUCCUAAGUGAACAUGCAGAAAACAGAAACAAUAAUAGAAUUACUAAAAUCACCCGACCACAACAGGCUGAUGCAAGAAGUAGGAUGUGAUCGAGUAAGAGGCAGGAUAUGAAACAAAUAUACUCGAUUGCACAGUCUAUUGCCAGACACUGGGUCUGGUCGAGUAUACAUGUCGAGUAACAGACAGGAAAUGAGACAGCUGUACUCGAUUGCACAGUCUGUUGCCAGACACUGGGUGUGGUCAAGUAAGUUGGUCGAGUAAUUGCAAAAACUAAGAAACAGGCAAUGAAAACGAUUAAGUGAUAACAAUAAAACGGAGAAAUCAGAUAGACGAGAAAUUCCUAAGGAUGGGGUAAUCAAGUAGAGUUGUAUCCUAGCCUAUUCGAAUGGUUAACAAGCGCAAUCAAGCUAUCCCUAGACUGAUCAAUUAACUCCCGUGAUAGAAAUCCUCAAGCAAAGCUAGCCCAGACUAAUUUCUAUUAACGGAAUCUAACUAUGCAGGCAAUAAGAACAGACUGAUAAAGUCAAUAAACGCUCUAAUCGGCCAAUCCCUUGGGAUAGAGACGAAUAUCUCAGGAACUAGUCGAUCGAACAUUCCAUCGAACACCUUCUGGGUGCGGGAAUGCUUUGCUUGAAUUCCAGUUGAUCAGAAAGAAAUAAGCAGUAAACGCAACUAGUCCUGAAGGGAUUCAAUCAAUUCUAAAAUUUAACCAUUCUACAGACUACGGAUUCCACAAAUACUCUAUCCCAUCCCUAAGAAUUCUAAGUCACUACUCAGACAACAUGCUCAAAGACAUAAACGCAGAUAAAUGAUAAUAUUGCAUAAGUAAAGAGAUAAAGAGUAGAGAAACAAGAUGACAGAUGAAAUCAAAUGCGGAAUCUGAAUAACUUGGAAAAAUCUCGAAUUACUGGUUGCAGAAGCAAAAGCGGCACAGCAGAGUAAAACAGAAAAUAAAACUGAAGCAAAAACUCAAUGUCGACUAGAUGUCUCAGGACAGAACCCUAAGACAUCUAUUUAUACAAAACGAAAUAAAAUGAUAGUAGACGGGCCAAUAACCUAAUCGCCCGGCCCAUAGAAUGAUAAUGGGCCGAGAUGGGCUUCGUGAUCCGAUGGAGGUCUAGGCCGCUUCUAAACACUUUGUCUUCUCCUCUUCUCUUCCUUGUGCUCAGCUUGUCUGGUUGAGUGCGGAUUUGAUUAGACUAUAAAGACGUGAUCGAGUGUCCGGUCGAGUGAUGGUGAUGGUGGUGAGUGAUGAUACUCGACCAGGGGGUCGAGUAACUUGGUAGAGUGAAUGGCUGAGUGUGGUCAGGUUGUGUGGCGAAGUGAUAUUCGACCAGGGGGUCGAGUGGCGUCAUCGAGUGGCCUGAGCUGAGGAUACUCGACCAGGGGGUUGAGUAGGUGGGAAGAAUAGCUCCAAAGUUACUCGACUUGGGGGUAGAGUAUAGUGCUGGAUGCACACGACCUGGUGGUCGAGUAUGUCUUCUGGUUCUGGCUCGUUUCUUCAAAUUUGCUCGCAAACAGCUCCAAAUCAUCUGAAAACAACUCAGAAAUGCAAUAUGUAUGCAAAGCUAUCCUAAUCAUGCAAAGUAUGCAAGAAUGAUGAGAAAUGAUAUAAAACAGUGAUGAAUGAUACAAAACUGGACUCAAAACGAUGAUGAAUGGACACUGAAAACAUGCAAAUUAUAGACAUAUCAACUCCCCCAAACUUAGUCUUUGCUUGCCCUCAAGCUAAUAAGAAGACAUAGUUGAAGGAGAGGUUUGAAGGCGGGGACUCAGAACCAAAGCAUAUGAUAGAGCGAAUAAAAUCAAUGUCCAAGUUGGUAGUUCUAAGAUGCGAUAUGAUUGAAUUUUACUCAAAAACGUUAGCCAUGCCUUGUUAUCAAUCAAUCCGUCUCUUAUACUCGACCUACACAUGUUUUCAAAUCUACCAAUCCCUUUAACAUUCAUUAGUUCUGGAACGUGAAUCAAGCAAUGCAUCAUCAAUGAACUCAUUUGGCUAAGGUGAAGGUCAGGAGACAAAGAUGGUCCCUCACAAAAUAGGCUUAAGUACCAAGGGAUCUCUCAAGAAUGAUUGAGCUUUAGUAGAAUGCUUAAGGUAAGUCCCAAGUUAUGCAUAUAGAGAUAAGAUCGCAUCUACCCAGAGUAUAACAAUGAAGCUCUAAUGGUAAUCCCAACUCCAGUCCCAACUUAACUCUACCCUUUGCACUCAUGAAUCUUUCAAACUUUUUUUUUUCUUUUUCAAAUCAUUCUUUUCUUUUCUCUUAACUCUAAGAGAAGCUUUCUCAACACUCUGACACAUCUAGCGGAUUUGGAUUUCUUUAACAACUAAGGUUCCUGUUUUUAAUCUUUAAAACCAAAGGCUUUUAACCCUUCUUCUUUAGCUAACAAGAACCUCAUUCUUUUCUUUAACAUUCCCAAAACCUUUACUAGAUUUUUUUUCUAACUUCUUUUAGCUUACUUCCCCUAGAAUUCUUUCCCUUUCCUUAUCAACAAUGAAUUCACCCUUUUCUUUUAAACACAUCCCAACCCGUGAUAUAAGCGCCCACCUAGUCCUAUCCAGUCCGAAAACGCGAACUAGAACUACAUGAGACACUAUCUCUGUCGUUACGAACCUAACACUUUCUACCAAGCUCAAUUGAAAUAAGACCUCACAAACACUCACAAGUGAUAUAGGGCUCGAAAGAAAGUUUAGGUUUUGGUUCGGGUUAACUGCUCUAAUAAGGAGAGUCAGCUACUUGGACUAACAAGAGUGGUUAAAAUGAGUAAGAAAAUCCAAGUAUUUUAGGGUAUCCAUGAGUUCAAAUUCGAUGCCAAGACAUGAUAAUUCUAAAUCAGAUUCAAGUUCAAAUUGAUAGGGAAUGGUAUCAGAUCCAAACAGUGUGGUCGAGUAGAGCAAUCUAGGCAUGGUGCAGUUUUACUUCAAUUUCAAUGACUACGCAUCAGACAACUAACAACGAGGGCACUGAGCUUAUCUGGUGAACCAAAAUGCUUACAAGGCUAUCUCAUCAUUAUCCCCUAUGCAUAUGCAACAAUCCUAAACGAAACACUCUAGACUCGUUCCUAAAUGCAAUGCAACUACAUGAGCACUCUAUUUUUGUGAAAUCAUUUUCUGAAAUUUUUCAAUUUUUUUGUUUUUUCCUAUGCCUUAGAUGAAUGCAGACUCAAGAUUAUAUACAAUGCAACACACAUUGCCUGAGCCCUCCCCCAAACUUAAAUCACACAGUCCACUGUGUGACCAAAUUUGGAAGAGAGUACUCAGGACAAAACACAUCACAGAAACAAAAUAAAAACAAGAGAUGGUAUAUUACAAUGGUGGAGUGAGGUGCAUACCUCAGUGGAAGAAGGAGCAGAGUUGGUCGUCAAUAGCUGCCUGUGAUUGCUCCCAGGCCAUCGAAGAAUCUCCCAGUUGUGUCUCAGCUUCCCCCUAGGGGUACUCGACCUCUGCUCCUUCGUCGCGGCCCGCACCGCUCUGAUGAUACUCGACCUCUCUUCUUCUGCUGCGGCCAGCACCGUGGUCGAGUGAUUUACUGACAUGGAGAAGUUUUGAUUGCACCACUCGCUAUACUCGAUCACAUCGUCAUUCAGUCCCUGUAGGGUGUGGUCGAGUGAUUUCAUGGGGUGGAGAAACCAGAACAAUGUCGAGUAUCCUUGAUUGCUCUUUGGUCGAGUGUAUUGCUGUUCCCUCAAAGCCAGAAUCUAUUUCCGUCAGCUCUUCAUACUUAUCGCCUGAAAACACUAACAAGAUGCAUCAAAAACAACAAGAAAAAUUAAAGAUAUGUACAAAGAUAGGCAUGGGACUUCCUCCCAAGUGAGCUUGUUUUAGGUCUCUAGCUUGACUCUUCAUACUCAUUAGGCGUUUAUAGGCUCAUCCAAAGGAACAGAAGUUCCUUCUGGAAUAAACUGAUCUAUCAUGUAUUUCUUGAGCCGUUGUCCAUUGACUGUGAAGUCUCCAUUCUUUCCAGCUAGAGUGAUAGCACCAUAAGGUCGGACUGCAGUAACAGAGAAAGGACCAGACCAUCUAGACUUGAGCUUGCCUGGAAAAAGCCUCAAGCGAGAGUUGAACAGCAACACUUGAUCACCAACCUUAAAAUCUCUUGAGACUAUCUUCUUGUCAUGGAAAGACUUGGUUCGCUCCUUGUAGAUUUUGGAACUCUCAUAAGCUUCUAAGCGAAUCUCGUUGAGAUCGUUCAGUUGGAUCAAUCGCUUCUCCUUGGCGGUUUUAAUGCCAAAGUUCAGGAGUUUAACUGCCCACAUGGCUUUAUACUCGAGUUCAACAGGCAAAUGACAGGAUUUUCCAUAGAGGAGGUUGAAAGGAGUCGUUCCAAUAGGGGUCUUGAAGGCUGUUCUGUAAGCCCAUAGUGCGUCAUCGAGCUUAGUAGACCAAUCUUUCCUUGUAAUUCCCAUUGUUUUCUCUAAAAUUGCUUUUAUCUCCCUGUUGGAGAUUUCCACCUGCCCGCUCGUCUGUGGAUGAUAAGGAGUGGCUACCUUGUGCUUUACUCCAUGCUUCUUCAAAAGGUUCUCAAAAACCUUGUUGAUAAAAUGUUUCCCUCCGUCACUGAUCACAACUCUCGGGACUCCAAAUCUAGGGAAGAUAAUUGUCUUGAACAGCUUUAGCACAACUCUAGCAUCAUUGGUGGGGCUGGCUAUGGCUUCCACCCAAUUGAUACAUAGUCUACUACGACCAGUAUGUACUUGUUCCCGUAAGAAAAAGGAAACGGACCCAUAAAAUCAAUUCCCCAAACGUCAAAGAUCUCAACUUCUAAGAUCGGAUUCUGAGGCAUCUCAUUCCUUCUGCUGAUGUUCCCUUUCCUUUGACAUGAGUCACAUUUCGAGAUAAAUUCCUGAGCAUCCUUAAACAUUGUCGUCCACCAAAAACCAGCUUGCAAGAUUUUUGACACUGUCUUGAACGUUGCAAAGUGGCAACCAUAGGCGGACCCAUGGUAGUGCAGUAGGAUGCCUUCGAUUUCGUCUUCUGAAACGCAUCUCCUGUAGAUCUUAUCCUUGCAGAGUGUGUAGAGAUAAGGUUUGUCCCACUAGAAGUGGUUAAUGUCCUUGAAGAACUUCUUCUUCUCAUAGCUCGACAAAUUCGGAGGCUCUUCACCACUAACCAAGUAGUUGACGUGAUCAGCAUACCACAAAAGCUUUUCUUCAAUUGCACAUACUUGAUCGAGUGAUUUCCGAAUUUGAGCACUCUCGUUAAGUUGCUGAAUUGCCAUUAGCUGUUCUUCUGGCAUGGAAUCGUCAAUAGGGACCUCGUCUUCAAUUCUCAUUCUAGUUAGAUGAUCAGCUACACCGUUUUAAAUUCCCUACUUAUCAAUUAUCUCCAUAUCAAACUCUUGGAGCAAUAAGAUCCAUCUCAACAGCCUAGGUUUGGUAUCCUUCUUCGCGUAUAUAUGCCUCAGAGCAGCAUGAUCAGUGUAGACUGUCACCUUAGAGCCGACUAGGUAGCUUCUAAAUUUUUCGAAUGCAAAUACCACAGCUAGCAGUUCCUUCUCUGUAGUGGCAUACCUUACCUGUGCAUCAUCCAUCGUUCUUCUCGCGUAGUAUAUCACAUGCAACGUUUUAUCAAUCCUCUGGCCCAAAACUGCUCCUACUGCAUAAUCUGAAGCAUCGCACAUGAUCUCGAAUGGGAAGUCCCAGUUUGGAGCUUGGACUAUUGGGGCCGUGACCAAAGCUUCCUUGAUUAACUUAAAGGCUGUCAAACAUUCUUCAUCAAAUGUAAACUCGGCUUCCUUGCACAGUAGUCUUGUGAGCGGUCUUGCCAACUUGGAGAAAUCCUUGAUGAAUCUUUUGUAAAACCCUGCAUGUCCAAGAAAACUCCUGAUGUCCUUGACAGUCUUUGGUGGCUAUAACUACAUCAUCACGUCAACCUUAGCCUUAUCAACCUCUAUCCCCUCCUCAGAAAUUUCGUGCCCCAAAACGAUGCCUUCUCUAACCAUGAAAUGGCAUUUCUCCGAGUUCAGCACCAGGUUUGUCUCUGCACAUCUUUUGAGUACCCUUCAUAGGUUCAACAAACACGAGGAGAAGGAAGAGCCAUACACAGAAAAAUCAUCCAUGAAUACCUCUACCAUCUCCUAUAUCAAAUCCGAGAAAAUGGAAGUCAACCACCGCUGAAAAGUAGCAGGUGCAUUACAGAGACCGAAAGGCAUACGCUUGUAAGCAAAGGUCCCAUAAGGACAAGUAAAAGUAGUUUUCUCUUGGUCAUUUGGGUGAAUAGGGAUUUGAAAAAAUCCGCUAUAGCCAUCCAACAAGCAAUAGUAAGGAUGGUUUGCUAAUCUUUCUAGCAUUUGAUCAAUGAAGGGCAAUGGGAAAUGGUCUUUUCUAGAGGCAGCAUUUAACUUCCUAUAGUCAAUACACAUCCUAUGUCGAGUUAUAGUCCUAGUGGGUAUCAGUUCAUCUUUAGCAUUUUUAACAACUGUCAUACCUCCCUUUUUAGGAACGCAGUGAACUGGAGAUACCCAAGUGCUAUCAGAGAUAGGGUAAAUAACCCCAGCAUCUAAUAGUUUAAGUAUCUCCUUUUUCACAACCUCUUUCAAGUUUGGAUUUAAUCUCCUUUGAGGUUCAAUGCUAGAGUAGGAUUCAUUUUCAAGAUGGAUUCUAUGGGUGCACAAGGUGGGUGAAAUCCCCUUAAUAUCAUCUAACGAAUAUCCUAUAGCUUUCCUAUACUUCUUGAGCUCAGUUAUCAGCAGGUUUACUUGAUCAGCAGUUAGCUCAUCAUUCACUAUGACAGGAUAAGUAGAGUUUAGUCCAAGAAAAACGUACCUUAGCCCUUUUGGUAGCGGUUUCAAAUCUACUUUGGGUGCCUUGAGUUCAGACCAGUCAUCGGAUACUAAGUUGGCUUCAGAGGAGGGGUUGUGGUCGAGUAGUUCGGUCGAGUACACUGAAUGGACUGUUAGUCGAGUGAUGUGGUCAAGUAUAUAUUCCUUCCUUGCUCUUUCACCCAAAUCUUCAUAUUCUCCUGGAUUCUCAACUGCUUUGUGUUCAUCUAACAGCUUCUGGUACCCUAGAGUCUCCAAAUGUAAAUCUCCUUCUUAGCUAUCCUUUGUUAGAGCACUCUGUUGAUGAUCUGUUUCUCUUAGCUCUUCUAGCAUUUCGUCAGCUAACAUAUCCAUCUCUUCAAUCCAGAAAACAUUUCCUUCUAUUGUAGGUUUCUUCAUGGUGUUGGUGAUAUCGAAGGUCAUCUUGAGAUCUCUCCCGAGGUUAAGAUCGAUCUUUCCCUUCUUAACAUCAAUGAUAGCUCCGACUGUAGCUAAAAAUGUUCUUCCCAAUAUCAAAGGGUCUUUAGGUUCUUCAUCCAUUUCUAGAACCACAAAGUCUGUAGGUACUUCGACCACGCCUUUCAUGACUGGUAAGUCUUCCAGGAGACCAUGGGGAAUUCUAACAGAUCUGUCAGCCAGGACCAGGGAUAUUUGUUUGUGUGAAACCAGAGAUAUCAUUCCUUAGUCUCGCAGUCCAGGAGUUUGAGAACAACUUAGCCAAGAAGGCUUUCUUGCAGUCAUUCCUGGAGGUGAUAGAGCCUUGAGGAAGCGAUUUUUCCCACUGAUGGGCUUUGUCUCCAAGAGAGAAUGGAAACAAUCUGAGCUUGAAGUCAUCCUCACUAACUCCAUUGAUCUUUGUUAGGCUGCAGAGCCUAUCAAACUCGUCCAGGUGAUCGAGUGGAUCCUCCAUAGGGAGGCCGUGGAAGUUGUUGCUCUGAACCAUGGCAAUGAGACCGCUAUUGAUCUCAAAGUUGUUGUUCUGCACUGGUGGAGGCACGGAUCCAUUACGCUGAUUGUGGUUGCGUGGUGCAUCGCCUGCACCUAUGUUGUUUGGUUGCACUUGCUCAUCUACAACUGUAGCCAUUGUGUCUGUUUCUGUCUGUGUUCUGAGUUGGCGUGCAAUACGGUCGAUAUUAUCGUUGAACAGGAGAUUCUGAUUUCCUCGUGACCGUGUUUGCAUACAACGAGUACCAACUGAUGAAGCUAGUGAUAGAAAUCCUCAAGCAACAGGUUUAACAACAAAUCAAUUCACUCCCGUGAUAGAAAUCCUCAAGCAAAGCUAGCCCAGACUAAUUCCCAUUAACGGAAUUUAACUAUGCAGGCAAUAAGAACAGACUGAUAAAGUCAAUAAACGCUCUAAACGGCCAAUCCCUUGGGAUAGAGACGCAUAUCUCAGGAACUAGUGGAUCAAGCAUUCCAUCGAACACCUUCUAGGUGCGGGAAUGCUUGAGAUCGAAUUCCAGUUGAUCAGAAAGAAAUAAGCAGUAAACGCAACUAGUCCUGAAGGGAUUCAAUCAAUUCUAAAACUUAACCAUUAUACAGACUACGAAUUCCACAACUACUCUAUCCCAUCCCUAAGAAUUCUAAGUCACUACUCAGACAACAUGCUCAAAGACAUAAACGCAGAUAAAUGAUAAUAUUGCAUAAGUAAAGAGAUAAAGAGUAGAGAAACAAGAUGACAGAUGAAAUCAAAUGCGGAAUCUGAAUAACUUGGAAAAAUCUCGAAUUACUGGUUGCAGAAGCAAAAGCGGCGCAGCAGAGUAAAACAGAAAAUAAAACUGAAGCAAAAACUCAAUGUCGACUAGAUGUCUCAGGACAGAACCCUAAGACAUCUAUUUAUACAAAACGAAAUAAAAUGAUAGUAGACAGGCCAAUAACCUAAUCCCCGGCCCAUAGAAUGAUAAUGGGCCGAGAUGGGCUUCGUGAUCCGAUGGAGGUCCAGGCCGCUUCCAAACACUUUGUUUUCUCCUCUUCUCUUCCUUGUGCUCAGCUUGUCUGGUUGAGUGCGGAUUUGAGUAGACUGUGAAGACGUGAUCGAGUGUCCGGUCGAGUGAUGGUGAUGGUGGUGAGUGAUGAUACUCGACCAGGGGGUCGAGUAACUUGGUAGAGUGAAUGGCCGAGUGUGGUCAGGUGGUGUGGCGAAGUGAUACUCGACCAGGGGGUUGAGUGGCAUCAUCGAGUGGCCUGAGCUGAGGAUACUCGACCAGGGGGUCGAGUAGAUGGGAAGAAUGGCUCCAAAGUUACUCGACUUGGGGUCGAGUAUGGUGCUGGAUGCACAGGACCUGGUGGUCGAGUAUGUCUUCUAGGUCUGGCUCGUUUCUUCCAAUUUGCUCGCAAACAGCUCCAAAUCACCUGAAAACAAAUCAGAAAUGCAAUAUGUAUGCAAAGCUAUCCUAAUCAUGCAAAGUAUGCAAGAAUGAUGAGAAAUGAUAUAAAACAGUGAUGAAUGAUACAAAACUGGACUCAAAACGAUGAUGAAUGGACACUGAAAACAUGCAAAUUAUAGACAUAUAACUCCCCUAAACUUAGUCUUUGCUUCCCCUCAAGCAAACAAUUAAGAACAAGCUGGUGGUGAGGUUUGAAAGCGGGGACUUAUAGCCAAAGCACCUGAUAAACCAUAUGAAAUCAAUGUCCAAAUUGAUAGUUCUAAGCUGCAAUAUGAUCGAAUUCUACUCAAAAACGUUAGCCAUGCCUUGUUAUUAAUCAAUCUGACUCAUAUGCUCGACCUACACAUGCUUUCAAAUCUACCAAUCCCUUUAACAUUCAUUAGUUCUGGAACGUGAAUCAAGCAAUGCAUCAUCAAUGAACUCAUUUGGCUAAGGUAAAAGGUCAAGAGACAAAGAUUGUCCCUUACAGAAUAGGCUUCAGUAACAGGGGAUCUCUCAAAAAAUGAUUAAGCUUUAGUAGAUUGCUAAAGGUAAGUCCCAAGCUAUGCAUAUAGAGAUAAGAUCCCAUCUACCCAGAGUAUAUCAAAUGAAGCUCUAAUGGUAAUCCCAUCUCCAAUCCCAAUAUAAAAACCUAACUCUACCCUUUGCAUUCAUGAAUCCUUUAUGCCCUUUUUCUAAUCAUUCUUUUCUUUUCUCUUAACUCUAGGAGAAGAUUUCUCAACACUUUGAUACAUCUAGCGGAUUUGGAUCUCUUUAACAACUAAGGUUCCUGUUUUUAGCAUUUUAAAACCGAGGGCUUUUGCCCAUCUUCAAUAGCUAACAAGAACUCUUUCUUUUCUUUACAAAUCCCAAAACCUUUACUAGAUUUUUUCUGCUUCUUUAGCUUACCUUACCUAGAGUCUUUUACCUUUUCUCAUCAGAAAAUCCAAGUAUUUUAGGGUAUCCAUGAGUUCAAAUUUGAUGCAAACAUGACAAUUAAAGAUCAGAUUCAGGUUCAUAUUGAUAGGGAAUGGUAUCAGAUCAUGACAGUGUGGUCGACUAGAGCAAUCUAGGCAUGGUUCAGUUUUAUUUCUAAUUCAUUGACUACGCAACAGACAACUAGCAAAGAGGGCACUAAGUUUAUCCGGUGAACCAAAAUGCUUACAAGGCUAUCUCAUCAUUAUCCCCUAUGCAUAUGCAAAAAUCCUAAAUGAAACACUCUAGACUCGAUCCUAAAUGUAAUGCAACUACAUAAACAUUCUUUUUUUUGUGAAAUCAUUUCUGAAAUUUUUCAAAAUUUUUUUGGUUUUUCUAUGCCUUAGAUGUAUGCGGACUAAAAAAUAUACACAAUGCAAUACACACUUCCUGAGCCCUCCCCAAAACUUAAAUCACACAGUCCACUGUGUGGAUAAACUUGGAAGAGAGUACCCAGGACAAAUCCAUUCACAGAAACAAAAUAAAGAACAAAUCACAAGAGAUGAUAUAAUACAAUGGUGAAGUGAGGCGCUUACCUCAGUCGAAGAAUGAACGAAGUCGGUCGUCAAUGGCUGCUUGUGAUUGCUCCCUGGCCAUAGACGAACCGCCCUGUUCCGUAUCAGCUCCAGUAGGUGGGUACUCGACCUCCUCAGCUCUGUGGCGGCCAUCACCGCUCUGAGGAUACUCGACCUCUCUUCUUCAUGUAAACUACGAGAAUGCAGAAGUCGUCUACCCUUGUUGUUAGAUUGAGUGAGUGUGGUCCUCCUCUUCCUCCCAGAUUCAUGAGGCUCGAAUGAUGAAUGCCUCGCAGGGACAUGCAGAAUCUCCUGCUCUCUAGGCUCAGGUUUGCGCCGAAUUGGCUCGGGCGCGUCAUAUCUCCUCGAAGGCAUGUCCUGAGGGAGCUGUCCCUGUGGAAUAGCUGUAGUGGAAGUGGAGCAGCUGAUCUUAUCCUUCAGAAACUUGAUAGCCCUGAGGCACUUGGCGAGAAACUUAUCCUGUUUCUUGCACCACUUCUGCAGCUUGAUGUUAUUCCUGUGAGCUUCGCUCAAACUCUUGCUUUCCCUCGCUGGAAGUAUAUGCUCACUGAAAUGAUACAUGCUCGUGUCAAACUCCGCCUAAUCUAUGUCAUCUGUCUCAUCAACAUCUUCUGUUAUAGCUCCUUCGGUGUGACUAAUCUCCUCAGUUGGCAGACUGCCCUCGAAAUAAAGAUCUUCAAGCGCAGGCUUGAAGUCAAUGUUCCUGCCCUCAAGAAUCCUAGUAGCAUCAAUGUAGGGGAGAAGAAUGUUGGCGAUUCUAAUCGAUGAAUGCUCGAACCUGUAGCGGUGAAAGUCGCUAGCCAUGUCAAACUCCAAGAACUCACAUCGGCGCAAGUGAUCCAAGUCCAUCAUUCUCGGUGCUAACCCUGGUUCCUUAAGCGGUACUCCACAAGCUUCCAGAAUUGGCGUCACAACGCCAUCCAUGCAUAGUGCUCCUGUCACCUUAUUCUUGUCGUUCGUCAACGCCCACUUCCUAUAUCCACACAGGUGGAUCAACAGAGGCAUGACUAGUGGUGCGUUGUUGAGAUCGCCUCUCAAGACAUUCUUUCCCUUUGUACAGCAGAGAAUCCCUGUAAGCGCGGAAUCUAUCAUCUCCAUGUCCGUGUUAGACACGGUGCAUGUAGACUCCCUAGAGUAAAAAACGUUGGCAACCGAGCGGUGAAAGUAGCGGAUCACAGGACUCCGGAUUUGGUUGCUUUUGGACCGCGCCAAGUUUAGCGGUAAAUUAUUCCCAAUAGUAGCCCACAAAUCCUUAAGCUCUUCCCUGUCAAACCUGGUUUUGGUUCCCUUUCCACUAGGGAAACAAAACAGUUCUUCCAACUUCUUGAUCGAAAGCUGAUACCACUGUUCAUCCAUUGAGAACGUCAAGAACCCUAACCCUAAACCCUAAACCCUAAACCCUAAACCCUAAACCCUAAACCCUAAACCCUAAACCCUAAACCCUAAACCCUAAACCCUAAACCCUAAACCCUAAACCCUAAACCCUAAACCCUAAACCCUAAACCCUAAACCCUAAACCCUAAACCCUAAACCCUAAACCCUAAACCCUAAACCCUAAACCCUAAACCCUAAACCCUAAACCCUAAACCUUAAACCCUAAACCCUAAACCCUAAACCCUAAACCCUAAACCCUAAACCCUAAACCCUAAACCCUAAACCCUAAACCCUAAACUCAAUGUAUGUGAGUCCCUCAUACAUCUCCACUUGCAGUGUGGAAAGAAACUCGAUUGUCUCCUCCUUAUAGGAAGCGUAAGAGUAAGACAUGAGUGUUUCCAGAUGCCACUUCUCGAACAGAUGCUGCACGUCCUCCAGUAACCCCAGCUGGGCUAAAGUCUCAUAGUAGGGAUACCUCGUUCCCCAUAAAUCAUUCAUCUCAAAGAAUCUGAUAUACUCCUCCACUGUAACCUAUUCGGGUUUGUUCAGUAGCUUCGUCUUCUUGCACCAUGACUUUGGCUCAUACUCAGUUUUGAUGUCCUCAUCAAUCAGCUCAUAUCUACUGGGCAUCGCUCUCUUCCCUCUGGUGAUUUCUGCUCUUCUCUGAUUACGUCGAGCAGAGGAGCGUUGAAAUUCAUCCCUGAAGCUCUCGUAAACAUGUUCCUCUCUCUCCGGUCUAGAGGACCAGGACUCAGCUUCAUCCACAUUAUAAUCAGGAUCCAUAGAGGAUUCUCGACUGUAGUUACUCAUGAUCAAACCUGUAAACAAUUGAAACUCAAAGAUAAACGUUAAUAAGUUAGUCUCAACAAAACCAAAAACACAAACCAACACAGUAAACCGGUCGAGUGAUGUAAUCGAGUAAACCUUCGUUUAAUUUUUUUUUUUUUUUCUUUUCUUUCGGUUGAUCAAGUGAUUUCGUACGACCGAGUGAAGUUCGUUUCGUGGUAAGAGUGAUGCGUAGGUCGAGUGGUGAGCUUGAAGAGGAGGAGAUAUGGUGAUGCGGUUUGAAAGAGGUUAAGUGAAAAUGGAGGAGCGGUGAUUCGAGUGAUUGUGGUGGUUGAGAGGCGAGGUGAGCUGAAUGAUUCCUCGGUUGCGAAUGUGAGAAGAGAAGACGCGAUCGAGUGAAGAGGCGAUGAAGAAGUUUAUUAUGAGGGAUCGAGUGAAGUGGAGCUCACGGAAGAAGAGAAGAUGGUGGUGGCUUUGGUGAAGAGGUGAGUUGCCGCAAUCGAGUGGUUGUGAGCUUGGAGGUCGAGUGAUUAAAACGAACACUUGAAGACUUGAAUUGCAAUGAGCGACGAUGGGAGAUGAGAGAGUUGCGAAAAGUUUGGUGUGUGGAGAAAGAUGUUGAGGUCGAGUAUAUGAAGAGGAUGGUGAGGAGGUCGAGUGGAUGAGAGUAUGAGAGUUGGGUUGUUGGUUGUAAUGAAUGAGGAGGGAUGGGGUCGAGUUAAUAGGUGUGGAGGAGAUAACGAGGUCGAGUAAGUGAUAGGUGUGGGAUGGGGAUGGCGUCGAGGUUGAGUGGAGAUAGGAUAAGGUGAGGGGGUCGAGUGGUUGUGAGAAGAAAGAGUUGGAUUUCUUGUCUGUUGGUUAGGAGCGUGGGAGACAUAGGGUGCAGCAGUGGGUCCCUCGUCUGUCUCCUUAUUCUAAAUUAUUAUUCUUUCUUCACUAGGAAAGUCUCAGGAAAUCCAACAAUCUUCUGUAAACUUAAUAAACUUCCUGUAAGAACUUGUAGCUUCUGUUGGUCGAGUGAAAUGAUGAUUUAAAAGUUUUAGAUUUUAAACACUCAACCAAUGUACUCGGUCCCUAGGCCGUCUGUAGAGUAAAAGUUUUGAAUUUUUACUCUAGCUUUACGUUAUUCCUCUGUUCCUGAGAACCACAAACACAACUAAAAUAAAUCAAAAAUAACAAGAAAGUAAAAAUUAUUUACAAGGAUAAUCAUGGGACUUCCUCCCAAGUGAGUUUGUUUAAAGUCUCUAGCUUGACUCCUCACACUUAUCAAGAAGAAAAUGAAUGAUAGAGAGGGUCUGCAUAGUCCUCUCUAAUAUCAUCAUCAUACUCAGCGUCCUCCCUGGAGAGGUCUACAGCAGAAUACUCAAUUCCCCUCUCUUCAAAAUAUGCUUCUUUCUCUUUUGGAGGGUUAUCUAUCUCUUCAGACCAUCUUGAAGUGAACUUCUUUAUAGGGAUAGUGUCAAUCCCGCCUUUAGGUUGAGCUUCCUUCUGCAACUGAUUCUGCUUACUUCUAAGUUCCUCAACAGUGUGGGCUUGCUUCUCUAUAGUUUCAUCUUGCUUCUCAGACCUCUUUUUAAGUUCCUUUACUCUUUUAGUCUCAUAUCCUUCUCCUGAGAUCGCUCUAUCAUUUCCAAAGGUUUUUCCAUCUUCUGUUGACCCUUGUGGAGUUUUGUUGAUGUCAAACUGCAACUUGAUGUGCUUUCCAAGGUUGAGACUUAUUUUCCCUUCCCUGACAUCUAUCACUGCUCCCACUGAAGCUAAGAAGGAUCUUCCCAGGAUUAAGGACCCUUAUGCUCUACUUCCAUAUCCAGCACCACGAAGUCUGUAGGCACUUCUACUCCAUUAAUCAUGACUGGUAGAUCUUUCAGCAUGUCGUAGGGUUUUCUUAAAGACCUAUCCGCAAGGAUCAAAGUCAGGUCACAAGGUUUAUACUGAAUAAACUCUAACCUUCUUGCCACAGAGAGUGGCAUUAAGCUGACAGAGGCUCCGAGAUCGCACAGACAAUCGCUGAAAGCUAAUUACCCAAUGGAACAUGGUAGAGUGAAAGAUCCAGGAUCUUCUAACUUUUCUUGAACAAUCCUCUUAUCAACAGCUCGAGAUGGAGUGGCAUCACUUUCAUCAUCUGAAUUGUGAUACAUCUUGAUCUUUUCCAGUAUCAAAUUUCUCACAUCUUUGUGAGGAUCGGGAAUCAGGUUGAGAAUUUCCAUCAGUGGCAUCACUUCUUCAAUCUUGUCUACCUGCUUCGCUGCAACAGACUUGUAUCUCUCCAUCCACGCUUUCUUGAAUGUCCACGGAAAAGCACGUGAGGGUAAUGAAGUAUGUUUGAAUCGUUUUACCAUUCUCUCGAUUAUGGCGGACUUCUCUUCUGAGGUGGAUUGAAUGAGAUGGCGAGAACAAGAAGAAUGGUUGAAUUCAAGAACAGAGACUUCAAUCUGAGUGGAAGCCUUCCUUUCUUGAACAUCACUGUCCCUAGUGAUUAAGUCAGGGACAUGUCGAGUUGGCAGCUCUCGAUCAUGGCAGUUAGUGAUGGCGUGAGCAGUUGCAUACUCCUUUGAAUUCUGUAUUGACUUCCUUGGAAGUCCUGUGACUUUAGGUGCAGAGGUAGAUGCUGAUUGUCCUUCUAAAUAUCUGACUUUGGUAUUCAAUGCCUCCACUUUGGCAUUCAGGUCAUUGUAGUUGUAGUCCAGCUUAUGGUGCAAUUCAAAUAAUUUCUUAGCAAUUUCCAUGGAGCUAGAUGCUUGUCCCUGUAGCAGCUGUUGUACCAUCUGUUUCAUUUCAGCAUCAGGAGCAGCAGGAUCUUGGUUUUGCUGAGGUGCAAACCCAGGUGGUGGUUGCGGCUGGUAGUUCCCCUGAAAUUGCUGCUUAGGAACAAAACCUUGAUUGUAAGGAACAAAAGGUUUGUUCUGAUCUUGUUGUUGCUGUGGAGGAUACACUUGAUCUUGAGGAUUAACAACGUUGGUGCUGCGGUAGGAGAGGUUGGGGUUGUUGGUUUUGAAGUUGUUAUACCCUUUGUAGCCGCUCUGGUUGUUGUUGAUGUAGCUGACUUCUUCCAACUGGUUACCCUCCCCACCUUGGACUUGAUACUUCUCGUCAUCAACAAGGAAGUGCACAUGCUUCUGCUGGCUAAGAAGAAUCAUGUCCAGCUUGUCAUUCAGUGCUUUGAUCUCCUUCCUUUGUUUGUCAUCAGAUUCAGUUGUGCCUCUGACGGUCCUAUCACAGUCCUCGUUGUAAUUACCAUCUGAUUGAGCAAGGUUCUCAACAAUUUCCCAGCCUUCUUCAACAUCUUUGUUCUGGAAGUUCCCAUUGCUGGCGGUUUCCAGAAGGAUUCUCAUGCGUGGCAAAACGCCUCUAUAAAGAGUGCUGAGCAGAGAGGCUUUAGUGAAGCCAUGAUGAGGGCAUUGGGUUGUAUAACCCUUAAAACGCUCCCAUUCUUCACAGAAGCUUUCACCAGCCUUCUGUAAAAAGCCAGAGAUCUCAUUUCUGAGUCUUGCAGUUCUGGCGUUGGAGACGAACUUUGAUAGAAAAGCCUUCUUGCAAUCAUCCCAGGUGGUGAUUGAGUCAUGGGACAGAUUCUACUCCCAAAUGUGAGCUUUGUCGCCCAAGGAGAAUGGAAACAAACGGAGCUUGAAUCCGUCUUCACUGACACCAUUGAUUUUUGUUAGGUUGCAGAGCCUAUCGAAUUCAUUAAGGUGGUCGAGUGGAUCCUCAAUUGGCAGACCAUGGAAUUUGUUCCCCUGAAUCAUCGAGAUGAGACCGCUCUUAAUCUCGAAGUUGUUGUUCUAGAUAGCAGGAGGUGCAAUUCCUUUCCGCUAACGGUGAUCACGUGGUGCGUUUCCAGCACCAAUGUUGGCAGGGCCUUUUUGAUGAUUCUGUUCGUCAGCCAUUUCGAGUGGUUGUUGUGGUAUUAGGUUGACUGUGUUUCUCUUUUCUCUGAGUUCGCGAGCUAUGCGGUCGAUGUUGUCGUUGAAAAGGAGGUUCGGAUUGCCUGUUGAUCGAGUUUGCAUACAGCAGAGGUGUACCUAGAACAAGAAGACAACAAGAAAAAUACACAGUUAGCAACCGAAUUGAAAAUUGAAAAAGAACUUGAUCUAAGCAAGUCUGAAAUCUCAAAUGUAACAAAAAAACACCCAAUUGGCAACGGCGUCAAAUUGAUAAUAGAUUUUUUAGUCAGUUAUCUUAAAACACGAAUCAUGUCGUUGUAGUAUUUUAGUGGCUUGCUAGAACACUGCUAGAACACCAAUCAUACAGCAGAGGUGUACCUAGAACAAGAAGACAACAAGAAAAACACACAGUUAGCAACCAAAUUGAAAAUUGAAAAAGAACUUGAUCUAAGCAAGUCUGAAAUCUCAAAUGUAACAAACAAACACCCAAUUGGCAACAGGGACAAAUUGAUAAUAGGUUUUUUAGUCAAUUAUCUUAAAACACCAAUCAUGUCGUUGUAAUAUUUUAGGUUGUCAAUCCAAAUGAGUUUGAUGCUAACAAUAAGGAUGACUUGAUGGCAUGUGUAUGAUUGGUGUUCUAGCAGUGUUCUAGCAAGCCACUAAGUCACUAAGUCACUAAGUCAAGCCAAGUAAUAACAGGUUUUGGUGUGUUCUAGCAGUCCUAAGUGAACAUGCAGAAAACAGAAAAUCAAGCAGAAACAAUAAAACACUUGACCAACACAGCUCGUUGCAGAGCACUGGGUGUGGUCGAGUGACAGUUCGAGUAACAGACAGAAAAUGUAACAGGGAUACUCGAUUGCACAGUCUGUUGCCGGACAACUGGGGGGUCAAGUAACAGGUCGAGUAACAGUAAAGAAUUGCAGAAACUAAGCAACAGAUGAAAAGAUGCAGUAAACAACAGUAGAGUAAACAAUAAAAUCAAUCAGAUAAAGAAUUCCCGAGGAUGGGGUAAUUGAGUAGUUUCGUUUCCUCAAUUUACAGGUGAUUGACAUGCUCAAUAAAUUAUCCCUAGACAACAAGUUCAUUAACCAAAUCUAAGUGCCACCGCAAUAGAGACCCUCAACUUAACCUAGUCCCAGACUCAAUCACCAUUGACGAGAGCUAACCUUAUAGGCAUUACGAAUCAACAAGUUAAAGCCAAAACACUCCCUGCAACCAAUACCUUGGUACUGAGCCACGAAUCUCUGGAAUUAGUGGUUCAGACAUUUCAUCGAACACCUUUUGGGCGCGGAAAUGUCUGGGCUCAAAUUCCAGUUGAUCAAAAAGCAAUAGGGAUUAAGAACAACUAAUCCAGAAGGGAUCUAUCAAUCAAUACUCAACCACCUAGCAUACUGAGAAUUCUACACUACUCUAACCCAUCCUCAGAAACCUAUUCACUACUCAGACAUCAUUGAAGAGAACAUAAACGUUGAACAGGAUGAAAACAUGAUAACAACAGUGUAAUAGCAAAACAAUAACAGGAUGAACAACAAUAAACAAAAUCAAGAACAAAUACUGAAUACUGAAUAGAUAAAGAGAAAUCCAGAUUACAAAAGGUCUAGAACACAAUGUCUGCGAAAUAAAACUAGAUAAAAACCUCUUCUCGAAAAUGUAAAGUACAUGCUACUUAUAGCAAAAUAUUCGAAAACCCUAAUACUCAAAACGAUGCAGUAUUGGGACAUAUUAAGAACUAUACUCAACCCAGAUGGUCGAGUGAGAGGUCGAGUGAUAUGCUAGAGUCUUCUUUUCUUCCUUGUGCUCGAGUGUCUAGUUGAGUGCGGAAUGAAGAAGACUCUAAAGCUUGCCAUAGAGUAUGUAGUCGAGUGGUGGUGGUGAAGACACUCAACCUGGGGGUUGAAUGAUGUGAUCGAGUGACUGGUCAGGUGGUGGAGGUGAAUACACUCGACCAGGUGGUCGAGUGAGGUGAUCGAGUAUCUCUCGUGGUGGUACUCGGCCAGAGGGUCGAGUGAUGAGAUGAAAUUGUGAACUCCCCUACUCGACCAGGGGGUCGAGUGGUCUGUUGAGGUCUUGAAGCUUCUACUCGACCUCGGGGUCGAGUGGUUUGACAUGAUCAGGUCCGCUUCUUCCAGUUAGCUCGUCAACAGCUCUAAAUCACCUGAAAUCAACACAAAUAUGCAACAUGCAUGCAAACCUAUCCUAAACAUGCAAAGUGAUGACAAAUGAUGAGAAUGGUAUAAAACACUGAUGAUAAGGUGCUAAAGUGAUGACAAAUGGUAUGCUCAAACUUGCAAAAUACACACUUAUCAACAUGAUAGCAACAAAGUAAUAGCAGGAUGAUAAUAGGAUGAACAACUUGGUAAACCAAAUCAAAAGCAAAUACUGAAUACUGAAUAGAUUAAGAGAAAUCCGGAUUACAAAAACGUCAAGAACACAGUGUCUGCGGAAAAUAAAACUUAGGUAAACGAAAAUGUAAAAUACAUGGUACUGAUAGCGAAAUAUUAUGAAACCCUAAUACUCAAAACGACACAAUAUUGGGACGGAUUAAGAACGGUACUCGACCCAGGUUGUCGAGUAAUUUGUCGAGUGAUAAGCUGGAGUCUUCUUCUCUUCCUUGUGCUUGAGUGUUGGUUGAGUACGGAAUGGAGAAGACUCUAAAGCUGGAAGUCGAGUAAGAAGUCGAGUGAUUGAGAUGGUGGUACUCGGCUUGGUGUUAAAGUGAUCGUAGAGUGUGUGAUGAUGGUGGGACUCGGUCGUGUAAUCGAGUGAGUGAUCGAGUGAUUGUGAUGGGGAUGCUCGACCAGGGGGUCGAGUGGUGUGAUCGAGUGAUUGUCAGGUGGUGUGUUGAAGUCGUUAAGCCAUGUACUCGACUAGGUAGGUCGAGUGGUUUGAUAUGAUCAGGUCCGCUUCUUCCAAUUAACUCGCCAAUAGCUCCAAAUAUCCUGAAAGCAACACAAAUAUGCAACAUGCAUGCAAAACUAUCCUAAACAUGCAAAGUGAUGACAAAUGAUGAGAAAUAAUAUAAAAAAAUGGUAAUAUGAUGCAAUAGUGAUAACAAAUGGAUGCUCAAAACAUGUAAAAUGCACACUUAUCAAGUAGAAGAGCUAGAACCGCAACCGGAUUUUGAAAACCCAAGUAGUGUUUCCUUGUUAGAAGAUACAAAGCCCAAGACUCAUACGGACUUCGGUUACACCAUUAAAGCUUUGAGAAGCAAGAAGAAGUUUGGUUUGUGUUUUUCAGUCAAAUAUGACCAGAUGUCAUUUGUAUGAUUGAGUAUAAGAACUCAAACCACAGCCGGAUCUUGAAAGCCCAAAUAGUGUUUCCUUGAUAGAAGAUACAAAGCCAAAUUCUCAUACGAACGUCGGCUACACCAUCAAUGCUUUGAGAAGCAAGAAGAAGCUUGGUUAGUGUUUUGGAGUCAAAUAUGACUUUAUGUCAUGUGUAUGUUUAAGUAUUAGAACUUAAACUACAAACGGAUCCCAAAAGCAAAAUUAGUUUUUCCAUGCUAGAAGAUACAAAGCAAAAUAUUCAUACUGACUUCGACAUCACCAUUAAAGCCUUAGGGAGCAUGAAGAAGCUUGGUUGGUGUUUUGAAGUCAAAUAUGACUUGAUGGCAUGUGUAUGAUUGAGUAUAGGAACUCAACCACAACCGGAUCUUGAAAGCCCAAGUAGUGUUUCCUUUUUAGAAGGUACAAAGACAAAGACUCAUACGGACUUUGGGUACACCAUCAAAACUUUGAGAAGCAAGAAGAAGCUUGGUUAAUGUUUUGGAAUCAAAUAUGACUUGAUGUCAUGUGUAUGAUGGAGUAUAAGGACGAGAAUUGCAACCGGAUCUUAAAAGCCUAAGUAGUGUUUCCUUGUUAGAAGAUACAAAGCCAAUGAAUCAUACGGACUUUCGCUACACCAUCAAAGCUUUGUGAAGCAAGAAGAAGCUUAGUUAGUAUUUUAGAGUCAAAUAUGACUUGAUGUCAUGUGUAUGAUUGAGUAUACGAACUAGAACCUUAACUGGAUCUUAAAACCCAAAGUAGUGUUUCCUUGUUAGAAGAUACAAAGCAAAAGACGCAUGUGGACUUUGGUAACACUAUUAAAGCAUUGAGAAUCAAGAAGAAGCUUGGUUAGUAUUUUGGUGUCAAAUAUGACUAGAUUUCAUGUGUAUGAUUUGAGUAUAAGAACUAGAACUGCAACCCGAUCUUUAAAGCCUAAGUAGUGUUUCCUUGUUAGAAGAUACAAAGCCAAAGACUCAUACGGACUUCAGCUACACCAACAAAGUUUCGAGAAGCAAGAAGAAGCUUGGUUAGUGUUUUGGAGUCAAAUAUGACUUGAUGUCAUGUGUAUGAUUGGGUAUAAGAAUUAUAACCGCAACCGGAUCUUAAAACCUAAGUAGUAUUUAUUUUUUAGAAGAUACAAAGCCAAACAUUCAUACGGGCUUUGGUUACACCAUUAAAGCUUUGAGAAGCAAGAAGAAGCUUGAUUAUUGUUUUAGAGUCAAAUAUGCCUAGAUGGCAUGUGUAUGAUUGAGUACAAGAACUCGAACCACAACUGGAUCUUGAAAGCCAAAGUAGUGUUUCCUUGUUAGAAGAUGCAACGCCAAUUACUCAUACGGACUUCGGCUACACCGUCAAAGCUUUGAGAAGCAAGAAGAAUCUUGGUUUGUGUUUUGGAGUUAAAUAUAAAGUGAUGUGAUGUCUAUGGUUGAAUAUUAGAACUUGAACCGCAAACGGAUCCAAAAAGGAAAAGUAGUGUUUCCAUGCCAGAAAAUACAAAGCCAAAGACUCAUACGGACUUCGACAUCACCAUCAAAGCCUUAGGAAGCCAGAAGAGGCUUGGUUAGUUUUUUGGAGUCAAAUAUGACUAUGAUUGAGUAUAAGAAUUCAAACUGCAACCGGAUCUUGAAUGCCGAAGUAGUGUUUCUUUUUUAGAAGAUACAAAGCCAAAUACUCAUACGGACUUUGGCUACACCAUCGAGAAGCAAGAAGAAGCUUGGUUAGUGUUUUGGAGUCAAAUAUGAAUUGAUGUCCUGUGUAUGAUUAAGUAUAAGACCUAGAUUGGCAACCAGAUCUUGAAAGCCUAAAUAGUGUUUCCUUGUUAGAACAUACAAAGCCAAUGAUUCAUACGGACUUCAUCUACACUAUCAAAGCUUUGGGAAGUAAGAAGAGGCUUAGUUAGUGUUUUAGAGUCAAAUAUGACUUGAUGUAAUGUAUAUGAUUGAGUAUAAGAACUAGAACCACUACCAGAUCUUAAAAGCCUAAGUAGUGUUUCCUUGUUAGAAGAUACAAACCAAAGACUCAUACAGAUUUUGAUUACACCAUUAAAACUUUAAGAAGCAAGAAGAAUCUUGGUUAGUGUUUUGGAGUCAAAUAUGUCCAGACGACAUGUGUAUGAUUUAGUAUAAGAACUCGAACUACAACCUAAUCUUGAAAGCCCAAAUAGUGUUUCCUUGUUAGAACAUACAAAGCCAAUGACUCAUACGAAUUUCAGCUACACUAUCAAAGCUUUGAGAAGCAAGAAGAGGCUUAGUUAGUGUUUUAGAGUCAAAUAUGACUUGAUGUCAUGUGUAUGGUUAAGUAUUUGGACUAGAAAUGGAAACUGAUAUGUCUAUAAUUUGCAUGUUUUCAGUGUCCAUUCAUCAUCGUUUUGAGUCCAGUUUCGUAUCAUUCAUCACUGUUUUAUAUCAUUUCUUAUCAUUCUUGCAUACUUUGCAUGAUUAGGAUAGCUUUGCAUACAUAUUGCAUUUAUGAGUUGUUUUAGGUGAUUUGGAGCUGUUUGCGAGCAAAUUGGAAGAAACGAGCCGGAACCAGAAGACAUACUCGACCCCCAGGUCGAGUGACUUCGGAGCCAUUCUUCCCACCUACUCGACCACUUGACAACACUCGACCGUUCACUCUACCACAUCACUCGACCCCAUGGUCGAGUAUCACUUCGCCACACCACCUUACAACACUCGACCGUUCACUCUACCACAUCACUCGACCCCAUGGUCGAGUAUCACUUCGCCACACCAUCACCAUCACUCGACCGGACACUCGAUCACGUCUUCACAGUCUACUCAAAUCCGCACUCAACCAGACAAGCUGAGCACAAGGAAGAGAAGAGGAGAAGACAAAGUGUUUGGAAGCGGCCUGGACCUCCAUCGGAUCACGAAGCCCGUCUCGGCCCAUUAUCUUUCUAUGGGCCGGGUAAUUAGGUUAUUGGCCCGUUUACCAUCAUUUUAUUUUGUUUUGUAUAAAUAGAUGUCUUAGGGUUCUGUCCUGAGACAUCCAGUCGACAUUGAGUUUUUGCUUCAGUUUUAUUUUCUGUUUUACUCUGCUGCGCCGCUUUUGCUUCUGCAACCUGUAAUUCGAGAUUUUUCCAAGUUAUUCAGAUUCCGCAUUUGAUUUCAUCUGUCAUCUUGUUUCUAUACUCUUUAUCUCUUUACUUAUGCAAUAUUAUCGUUUACCUGCGUUUAUGUCUUUAAGCAUUUUGUCUGAGUAGUGACUUAGAAUUCUUAGGGAUGGGAUAGAGUAGUUGUGGAAUCCGUAGUCUGUAGAAUGGUUAAGUUUUAGAAUUGAUUGAAUCCCUUCAGGACUAGUUGCGUUUACUGCUUAUUUCUUUAUGAUCAACUGGAAUUCAACCCAAGCAUUCCCGCACCCAGAAGGUGUUCGAUGGAAUGUUCGAUCGACUAGUUCCUGAGAUAUUCGUCUCUAUCCCAAGGGAUUGGCCGAUUAGAGCGUUUAUUGACUUUAUAAGUCUGUUCUUAUUGCCUGCAUAGUUAGAUUCCGUUAAUGGGAAUUAGUCUGGGCUAGCUUUGCUUGAGGAUUUCUAUCACGGGAGUGAAUUAAUCUGUUGUUGAACCUGUUGUCUAGGGAUAGCUUGAUUGCGCUUGUUAACCAUUCGAAUAGGCUAGGAUACCACUCUACUCGAUUACCCUAUCCUUAGGAAUUUCUCGUCUAUCUUAUUUCUCUGUUUUAUUGUUAUCGCUUAAUCGUUGUCAUUGCCUGUUUCUUAGUUUUUGCAAUUACUCGACCAACUUACUCGACCACACCCAGUGUCUGGCAACAGACUGUGCAGUCGAGUGCAGUUGUUUCAUUUCCUGUCUGUUACUCGACCAGUAUACUCGACCACACCCAGUGUCUAGCAACAGACUGUGCAGUCGAGUAUAUCUGUUUCAUAUCCUGCCUGUUACUCGACCACAUCCUACUCCUGGCAUUAGCCUGUUGUGGUCGAGUGAUUUUAGUAAUUCUGUUAUUCUUUCUGUUUUCUGCAUGUUCACUUAGGACUGUUAGAAACCCCAAAACUGUUAUUGCUUGGCUUGACUUAGUGACUUCUGAUCACAUCUCAUUUGUCUGCAUCACACCCAUUUGGAUUGACACCUAAAAUACUACAAUGACAUGAUAGGUGUUUUAGGAUAAUUGACCAUAAAAACCUAUUAUCAAUUUGGCGCUGUUAUCUUUUUCAUUUUUUCUGAAAGUUACUAACUUUGUGUUUUUUCUGUUUGUCUGUUUUGAUUUAGGUACUACGAUACCAGCUUUACAAGUUGGUACUCGUUGUAUGCAAAUACGGUCACGAGGAAAUCAGAAUCUCCUGUUCAACGAUAACAUCGACCGUAUUGCACGCCAACUCAGAACACAGACAGAAACAGAGACAAUGGCUGCAGUUGUUGAUGAGCAGGUGCAACCAAACAACAUAGGUGCAGGCGAUGCACCACGCAACCAGAAUCAGCGUAAUGGCAUCGUGCCUCCACCUGUGCAGAACAACAACUUUGAGAUCAAGAGCGGUCUCAUUGCCAUGGUUCAGAGCAACAAGUUCCACGGCCUCCCUAUGGAGGAUCCACUCGAUCACCUGGACGAGUUUGAUAGGCUCUACAGCCUAACAAAGAUCAAUGGAGUUAGUGAGGAUGGUUUCAAGCUCAGAUUGUUUCCAUUCUCUCUUGGAGACAAAGCACAUCAGUGGGAAAAGUCACUUCCUCAAGGCUCUAUCACCUCCUGGAAUGACUGCAAGAAAGCCUUCUUGGCUAAGUUUUUCUCAAACUCCAGGACUGCGAGACUAAGGAAUGAUAUCUCCAGUUUCACUCAAACGAAUAAUGAGACUUUCUGUGAAGCAUGGGAGCGCUUCAAAGGUUAUCAGACGCAAUGUCCUCAUCAUGGUUUCUCCAAAGCUUCACUUCUCAGCACUCUCUAUAGAGGUGUCCUUCCCAAGAUCAGAAUGCUUCUUGAUACCGCUUCCAACGGGAACUUCCUCAACAAAGACGUUGAAGAAGGAUGAGAGCUGGUAGAGAACUUAGCUCAGUCGGAUGGCAACUAUAAUGAAGAUUAUGACAGAAGCAUCCGCACCAGCUCUGAUUCUGAUGAGAAGCACCGCAGGGAAAUGAAAGCCAUGAAUGACAAACUGGACAAGCUACUCCUUGUGCAACAAAAGCACAUUCAUUUUCUGGGUGAUGAUGAGACAGUCCAAGUGCAGAACCAAGGAGGUCAGCUAUGUGCAGAACCAAGGAGGUUACAACAAAGGUUUCAACAACUUCAAGCAGAGCCAUCCAAAUCUGUCUUACAGGAGUACAAAUGUUGCAAACCCGCAUGACCAAGUCUACCCUUCACAGCAGCAAAAUCAACCCAAGCCCUUUGUUCAUACAACCAAGGUCAGGGGUAUGUUCCUAAGCCGCAGUAUCAGGGCAACUAUCAGCAGCAACUUCCACCACCUAGGUUCACACACCAGCAACAACAACUAGCUUCAACAACUCCAGAUUCAGACUUGAAGAACAUGUUACAGCAGAUUCUCUAGGGACAAGCUGCAGGUGCAAUGGAUCUUGCCAAAAAGAUGGCAAAAAUCCACAACAAGGUUGAUUGUACUUUCAAUGAUCUGAAUAUCAAACUUGAGGCACUUACCUCUAAGGUCAGAUACAUGGAAGGACAAACAGCGUCAACUUCUGCUCCAAAAGUAACAGGACUUCCAGGAAAGUCAAUACAGAACCCGAAGGAAUACGCCACCGCUCACGCUAUCACCAUCUGUCAUGAUCGAGAGCUGCCUACUCGACAUGUUUCCACAUCAAUCACCGAGGACAGUGAUGUUCAGGACGGGGAGGCUUCUACUCAGAUUGAAAUUUCAGUGGUUGGACUCGACCAUUCAGCUGGAUCCCGUUUUCAAACCGAGUCCAACCUAGACGAGAAAGCAGCCAUCAUUGAGAGGAUGGUAAAACGAUUCAAGCCAGCACCAUUACCUUCACGUGCUCUUCCAUAGAAAAUUCAGGAAAGCAUGUAUAGAAAGAUACAAUUCUCUUGCAGAGAAGCAGCUUGAUGAGAUGGAAACGGCUUGAUGAGAUGGAAGCGGUGAUGCCUCUAAUAGAAGUUCUCAACCUAAUCCCGGAUCCUCACAAAGAUGUGAGAAAGUCAAUUCUGGAAAGGAUCAAGAUUCAUCAAGAUUCAGAAGACGAAUGUGAUGCUAUUCCGUUUAGGACCACUGCUAAGAGGAGUGUUCAAGAAAAACAGGAAGAUCCAGGAACUUUCACUCUACCAUGUUUCAUUGGUCAAUUGGUUUUCAGCCAUUGUCUUUGUGAUUUGGGAGCUUCAGUAAGCUUAAUGCCACUCUCCGUGGCAAGGAAGCUGGAAUUCACUCAGUACAGGCCUUGCGACCUGACUUUGAUCCUUGCUGAUAGGUCUUCAAGAAAACCCUUUGACCUUCUACAAGAUCUGCCAGUAAUGAUUAAUGGAGUGGAAGUGCCUACGGAUUUCGUUGUUCUUGAUAUGGAAGCAGAACCUAAGGAUCCUCUAAUCCUAGGAAGACCUUUCUUAGCCUCAGUGGAAGCGAUGAUAGAUGUCAGAGAUGGGAGAAUAAGUCUUAACCUUGGGAAGCACAUCAAGAUGCAGUUUGACAUCAACGAAACUUCGCAAAGGUCAGCUGUAGAAGAAAAGAUCAGGGCUCAACCUCAACGUUCGAAUUCAAUCACCAGACCAAGCACAGCCUCUACACCUAACUUGCGAGAUCUCAAAAAGAAAUCUGAUGAGCAAGAAGAGACCAUAGAGAAGCUAGCUCAGACAGUUGAGGAACUUAAGAGUAAACUGGAUCAUAUGCAAGAGAUAGCUCAAUCCAAAUGCGGGAAUAACACUAUCCCGAGAAAAAAGAUUACUUCAAGAUGGUCUAAGGAGAUAGAUUAUCCACCAGAAGAGAAAGAGGCCUAUUUCGAGGAAAGAAGAAUUGAGUAUUCUGCUACUCAUCUCUCAAGAGAGGAUGCUGAAUAUGAUGAUGAGAUCAGAGAGGACUAUGAAGAUCCUCUCUAUCACCCAUUUUCUUCUUAAUGAGUGUGAGGAGUCAAGCUAGAGACUUUAAACAAGCUCACUUGGGAGGAAUUCCCAAGACUGUUUCUGUAAAUAAAACUUUUAUUUUCUUGUUAUUUUUGAUUUGUUUUUGGUUGUGUUUGUGAUUCUCAGGAACAGAGAAACAGCGUGGAGGUAGAGUAAAAAUUUAAAAAUUUUACUCUACAGAGCAACAGGAGAACGAGUAUGUCAGAAAUUCAAGAGUUUGAAAAACUUUUGUUGCACUAAGAGGCCAUGAGGUCGAGUAAGUUUGGUCGAGUAUUAGUGAUGAUUUUAAAAAAACCCAAAAUUUUUAAAUCAUAUCUAUACUCGACCAACAGAAGCUACAGAGACUUGCAGGGAGUUUAACAAGUUUACAGAGGAUUACAGAAGGUUCUAGUCAACAGAGAACAGCGCUUCAGGACAAACAGACAGAGCGUGGCCAACCACCUCUCACCUUUGUUCCCCCACGCGUUUUUAGAGAUAACAAAAUCUCUUCCCUCUUUCCCAACCACUCGAUCUCACUCUAUCCCUAUCCUCUCCCACCGACAUCAUCUCUCUCCCUCUCCAAACACUCGACCAAGAAGAUUCACUCUACCUCACGUUUCUCACUCGACCAAACCUCACCAUCUCUCUUCCUCUCCAAGCACUUGACCGCACCAUCACACUCGACCUCACCGUUCACUCGAUCUCUCCCCUCCGGCUUCACCAUCUCUCGCUGCUUUGUCACCCUCUCACUCGACCAAACCUCACUCGUCAUCUCUCGCACCGCCUCCCAUUUACUCGAUUGCAACGCCCUCCUCUCCAUCCGCCGCUUUCUCGACCUCGUCGUCCCAGCUCUCACUGCUCACGCCUCCGCCCUCUCUCUCUCAUUCACUCGACGACGGGACAGGUUUCAUCUUCACUCAACCGCUACUCGACUUCUUUCACUCGACCGCAUCGCAAUUUGGACAAAGAGGCUCUUCAUUCGAUUUUCGAUAAACGGCCAGAGUUUCUCUCUCUCGUUCUCGCAAGCUAACUCGACUUCGCCGGAGCUUCUCGUCGUUCACUCGACCACUCCGCCCUUCACUCCGCCGGACUCUCACCGUCGCCUCCUUUUCACUCGAUCUCGCCGCUCCAACUUCAACAUUCCUCACUCGAUCUCGCCUCCCAUUCACUCGACCGCAAGAGCACCUCAGCCUCUACUUCGAUCUCUUUCUCUCAACUCUCCGUUCUCACCGUUCACUCGACCUCGCCAUUCACUUCGCCUCCGUUCAUCUCUUCACUCGACCGCUCCUCAAACCGCCACCGUCUUCUCUCCAUUCGACAUUUACUCGGCCACACAGUCACCGUUUCUCAUUCUCUUCCACUCGACCACAAAAUUUGAACACACAAUUUGACUAUACUCGACCGGUUACUCGACCGUGAACUUGAUUGGUUUAGUGUUUGUGUUUAUUUGGACUAACAUAUUGAUAUUUGGUUUUAAGUUACAUUAUUUUUCAGGAAAUCAAUAUGAGUAACUACAGUGGCGAAUCCUCCAUGGAUGCAGAUUACAACGUCGAUGAAGCUGAAUCUUGGUCAACUGGACCAGAGAGAGAGCGACAGGCUUAUGAGAGCUUUAGAGCUGAGACCCAACGCUCAGUAGCUCGACGCAAUGAGAAGAGAGCUGAGAUUGCUAGAGAAAGAGAGCAAUGACCAGCAGAUAUGAGUUGAUCGACGAAGAUAUUGACGUCGAGUAUGAGCCUGAGUCAUGGCACAGAGAAACGAAGCUGUUGAACAAGCCUGAUGAACGACUUCUGGGGAACGAGGUACCCCUGUUAUGAGACUUUAGCAUAGCUGGGGCUACUGGAGGACGUACAUCACUUAUUCGAGAAGUGCCAUCUGGAGACGCUGAUGUCUUACCCGUACGUCGCUUACAAGAAGGAAACAAUAGAGUUUCUCUUCACUCUGCAAGUGGAGAUGUAUCAGGGACUUACAGCAGAUGAGCUGGAGAGUGAAGGGUUGGGGUUCUUGACUUUUUCAGUGAACGAGCAGCGUUACCAGCUAUCUAUCAAGAGCUUGGAAGGAUUAUUUGGUUUUCCCAGUGGAAAGGGAACUAAACCCAAGUUCGAGAGGGAAGAGUUGAAGGAUUUGUGGUUAACCAUUGGGAACGAUUUGGCGCUCAACUUUGCAAGGUCUAAGAGCAACCAGAUUCGUAGCCCUGUGAUCCGCUACUAUCAGCGCUCAGUAGCGAAUGUUCUGUACCCCAGGGAAUCUACAGGCACCGUGUUUAACACAGACAUGGAGAUGAUUGAUUCUCCACUCAAGGGCAUUCUCCGGAGAACAAAGGGGAAGAAGGUCCUAAAGGGCGACCUUAAUGAUGCACCACCGGUUAUGCUUCUGUUGAUCCACCUAUGUGGAUACAGGAAGUGGGCGCACACCAACGGGAAGAAGAAGGUGCGAGGAGCCCUUUGUGUAGGUGGCGUUGUGACACCGAUUCUGAUUGCAUGUGGUGUACCUCUCACGUCUCCAAGGUUUGAUCCGAGGAUGAUGGAUUUAGAUCACUUGCGUUGUUGUGAGUUUCUGGAGUAUGAUAUGGUUGGCGAUUUCUAUCGCUACAAAUUCGAGCACUCCCUGAUCCGAACAGCCAACAUUUUGCUUCCCUGCAUCGAGGCCACGACCAUACUUCAGGGUAGGAACAUUGACUUCAAACCUGCACGUGAUUACCUCUACUUUGAGAGCGCUCCACCGACUGAUGAUAAUGUCCCUACGACGGAAGCUAUAGAGGAUGAUAUUGCUGAGACGGAUGAGGAUAGGGAGGAGGAGUACGAUACGAGCAUGUAUCAUUUCAGAGAGCACGUACCUCCAGCGCGGGAGAGCAAGAGCUUGAGUGAAGCUCACAGAAACAACAGUAAGUUGCAGAGGUGGUGCAAGAAACAAGAUAGGCUACUCAUCAAGUGCUUCAAAGCCAUCACGUUUCUGACAGACAAGCUUAGCUGCUUCUCUUCUACCACAGCUAUUCCGCAGGGAGAGCGUCCUCAGGACAUGCCUUCGAGGAGAUAUGACGCGCCAGGGCCAAGUCAUCACAGGCCUGAGCCAAGUCACCACAAGCCUGAGCCUAGUGACCGAGUAGUCCCACCAGUCCCUGCAAGGCAUUCAUCAUUCGAGCCUCGGGAGCUCGGGAGAAAGAAGAAGGCUGCACUCGCUCGGUCUGGCAGCAGGAGUACACGACUUCUCCAGUCCCGUAGCUUACGCGACCGCGGUGCUGGCCGCAGCAGAAGAAGAGAGGUCGAGUAUCAUCAGAGCGGUGCUGGCCGCGACGAAGGAGCAGAGGUCGAGUACCCCCAGGGGGAAGCUGAGACACAGCAGGGAGAUUCUUCGAUGGCCUGGGAGCAAUCACAGGCAGCUAUUGGCGACCAACUUCGCUCCUUCUUCCACUGAGGUAUGCACCUCACUCCACCAUUGUAAUAUACCAUCUCUUGUUUUUAUUUUGUUUUUGUGAUGUGUUUUGUCCUAAGUACUCUCUUCCAAAUUUGGUCACACAGUGGACUGUGUGAUUUAAGUUUGGGGGAGGGCUCAGAAAGUGUGUAUUGCAUUGUAUAUAAUCUUGAGUCUGCAUUCAUCUAAGGCAUAGAAAAGAACCAAAAAAAUUGAAAAAUUUCAGAAAAUGAUUUCACAAAAAUAGAGUGUUCAUGUAGUUGCAUUGCAUUUAGGAUCGAGUCUAGAGUGUUUCGUUUAGGAUUGUUGCAUAUGCAUAGGGGAUAAUGAUGAGAUAGCCUUGUAAGCAUUUUGGUUCACCAGAUAAGCUCAGUGCCCUCGUUGUUAGUUGUUUGAUGCGUUGUCAUUGAAAUUGAAGUAAAACUGCACCAUGCCUAGAUUGCUCUACUCGACCACACUGUUAGGAUCUGAUAUCAUUCCCUAUCAAUUUGAACUUGAAUCUGAUUUAGAAUUAUCAUGUCUUGGCAUCGAAUUUGAACUCAUGGAUACCCUAAAAUACUUGGAUUUUCUUACUCCUUUUAACCACUCUUGUUGAUCCAAAUAGCUGACUCUCCUUAUUAGAGCAGUUAACCCGAACCCAAACAUGAACUUUCUUUCAAGCCCUAUAUCACUUGUGAGUGUUUGUGAGGUCUUAUUUCGAUUGAGCUUGGUAAAAAGUGUUAGCUUCGUAACGACAGAGAUAGUGUCUCAUGUAGUUCUAGUUCGCGUUCUUCGGACUGGAUAGGACUAGGUGGGCGCUUAUAUCAUGGGUUGGGAUGUCUUUAAAAGAAAAGGGUGAAUUUAUUGUUGAUAAGGAAAGGGAAAGAAUUCUAGGGGAAGUAAGCUAAAGAAGUUAGAAAAAAAUCUAGUAAAGGUUUUGGGAAUGUUAAAGAAAAGAAUGAGGUUCUUGUUAGCUAAAGAAGAAGGGUUAAAAGCCUUUGGUUUUAAAGAUUUAAAACAGGAACCUUAGUUGUUAAAGAAAUCCAAAUCCGCUAGAUGUAUCAGAGUGUUGAGAAAGCUUCUCCUAGAGUUAAGAGAAAAUAAAAGAAUGAUAUGAAAAAGAGUUUGAAAGAUUCAUGAGUGCAAAUGGUAGAGUUAAGUUGGGACAGGAGUUGGGAUUACCAUUAGAACUUCAUUGCUAUACUCUGGGUAGAUGGGAUCUUAUCUCUGUAUGCAUAACUUGGGACUUACCUUUAGCAUUCUACUAAAGCUCAAUCAUUCUUGAGGGAUCCCCUGUUACUUAAGCCUAUUCUGUAAGGGACCAUCUUUGUCUCUUGACCUUCACCUUAGCCAAAUGAGUUCAUUGAUGAUGCAUUGCUUGAUUCACGUUCCAGAACUAAUGAAUGUUAAAGGGAUUGGUAGAUUUGAAAGCAUGUGUAGGUCGAGUAUAAGAGACGGAUUGAUUGAUAACAAGGCAUGGCUAACGUUUUUGAGUAAAAUUCAAUCAUAUCGCAUCUUAGAACUACCAAUUUGGACAUUGAUUUUAUUUGCUCUAACAUAUGCUUUGGUUCUGAGUCCCCGCCUUCAAACCUCUCCUUCAACUAUGUCUUCUUAUUUGCUUGAGGGCAAGCAAAGACUAAGUUUGGGGGAGUUGAUAUGUCUAUAAUUUGCAUGUUUUCAGUGUCCAUUCAUCAUCGUUUUGAGUCCAGUUUCGUAUCAUUCAUCACUAUUUUAUAUCAUUUCUCAUCAUUCUUGCAUACUUUGCAUGAUUAGGAUAACUUUGCAUACAUAUUGCAUUUCUGAGUUGUUUUCAGGUGAUUUGGAGCUGUUUGCGAGCAAAUUGGAAGAAACGAGCCAGAACCAGAAGACAUACUCGACCCCCAGGUCGAGUGACUUUGGAGUCAUUCUUCCCACCUACUCGACCACUUGGUCGAGUAUCCUCAGCUCAGGCUACUCAAUGACACUACUCGAUCCCCUGGUCGAGUAUCACUUCGCCACACCACCUGACAACACUCGACCGUUCACUCUACCACAUCACUCGACCCCAUGGUCGAGUAUCACUUCGCCACACCACCUGACAACACUCGACCGUUCACUCUACCACAUCACUCGACCCCAUGGUCGAGUAUCACUUCGCCACACCAUCACCAUCACUCGACCGGACACUCGAUCACGUCUUCACAGUCUACUCAAAUCCGCACUCAACCAGACAAGCUGAGCACAAGGAAGAGAAGAGGAGAAGACAAAGUGUUUAGAAGCGGCUUGGACCUCCAUCGGAUCACGAAGCCCAUCUCGGCCCAUUAUCUUUCUAUGGGCCGGGUAAUUAGGUUAUUGGCCUGUUUACCAUCAUUUUAUUUUGUUUUGUAUUAAUAGAUGUCUUAGGGUUCUGUCCUGAGACAUCCAGUCGACAUUGAGUUUUUGCUUCAGUUUUAUUUCUGUUUUACUUUGCUGCGCCGCUUUUGCUUCUACAACCUGUAAUUCGAGACUUUUCCAAGUUAUUCAGAUUCCGCUUUUGAUUUCAUCUGUCAUCUUGUUUCUAUACUCUUUAUCUCUUUACUUAUGCAAUAUUAUCGUUUACCUGCGUUUAUGUCUUUAAGCAUGUUGUCUGAGUAGUGACUUAGAAUUAUUAGGGAUGGGAUAGAGUAGUUGUGGAAUCCGUAGUCUGUAGAAUGGUUAAGUUUUAGAAUUGAUUGUAUCCCUUUAGAACUAGUUGUGUUUACUGCUUAUUUUUUUCUGAUCAACUGGAAUUCGAUCCCAAGCAUUCCCGCACCCAGAAGGUGUUCGAUGGAAUGCUUGAUCCACUAGUUCCUGAGAUAUGCGUCUCUAUCCCAAGGGAUUGGCCGUUUAGAGCGUUUAUUGACUUUAUCAGUCUGUUCUUAUUGCUUGCAUAGUUAGAUUCCGUUAAUGGGAAUUAGUCUAGGCUAGCUUUGCUUGAGGAUUUCUAUCACGGGAGUGAAUUAAUCUGUUGUUGAACCUGUUGUCUAGGGAUAGCUUGAUUGCGCUUGUUAACCAUUCUAAUAGGCUAGGAUACCACUCUACUCGAUUACCCCAUCCUUAGGAGUUUCUUGUCUAUCUUAUUUCUCUGUUUUAUCGUUAUCGCUUAAUCGUUCUCAUUGCCUGUUUCUUAGUUUUUGUAAUUACUCGACCAACAUACUCGACCACACCCAGUGUCUGGCAACAGACUGUGCAGUGGAGUGCAGUUGUUUCAUUUCCUGUUUGUUACUCGACCAGUAUACUCGACCACACCUAGUGUCUGGCAACAGACUGUGCAGUCGAGUAUAUCUGUUUCAUAUCCUGCCUGUUACUCGACCACAUCCUACUCCUGGCAUCAGCCUGUUGUGGUCGAGUGAUUUUAGUAAUUCUGUUAUUGUUUCUGUUUUCUACAUGUUCACUUAGGACUGUUAGAAACCCCAAAACCGUUAUUGAUUGGCUUGACUUAGUGACUUCUCAUCACAUCUCAUUUGUCUGCAUCACACCCAUUUGGAUUGACACCUAAAAUACUACAAUGACAUGAUUGGUGUUUUAGGAUAAUUGACCAUAAAAACCUAUUAUCAGAAACUUAUCCCAAAAUUUAAAGUAGUGUUUCCAUGCUAGAAGAUACAAAGCAAAAGAUUCAUAAGGACUUCGACAUCACCAUCAAAGCCUUAGGAAGCAUGAAGAAGCUUGGUUAUUGUUUUGGAGACAAAUAUGACUAGAUGACAUGUGUAUGAUUGAGUAUAAGAACUCGAACCGCAACCGGAUCUUGAAAGUCCAAGUAGUGUUUCCUUAUUAGAAGGUACAAAGACAAAGACUCAUACGGACUUUGGGUACACCAUCAAAACUUUGGGAAGCAAGAAGAAGCCUGGUUAUUGUUUUGGAGUCAAAUAUGACUUGAUGUCAUGUGUAUGAUGGAGUAUCAGGACAAGAAUUGCAAUCGGAUCUUUAAAGCCUAAGUAGUGUUUCCUUGUUAGAAGAUACAAGCCAAUGAAUCAUACGGACUUUAGCUACACCAUCAAAGCUUUGUGAAGCAAGAAGAAGCUUAGUUAGUGUUUUAGAGUCAAAUAUGACUUGAUGUCAUGUGUAUGAUUGAGUAUACGAACUAGAACCACAACCGGAUCUUAAAACCCAAAUUAGUGUUUCCUUGUUAGAAGAUACAAAGCUAAAGACUCAUGUGGACUUUGGUAAUACUAUUAAAGCGUUGAGAAUCAAUAAGAAGCUUGGUUAGUGUUUUGGAGUCAAAUAUGACUAGAUGUCAUGUGUAUGAUUGAGUAUAAAAACUGGAACUGCAACCCGAUCUUAAAACCUAGUUAGUGUUUCCCUUUUAGAAGAUACAAAGCCAAAGACUCAUACGGACUUCAGCUACACCAACAAAGCUUUGAGAAGCAAGAAGAAACUUGGUUAGUGUUUUCGAGUCAAAUAUGACUUGAUGUCAUGUGUAUGAUUGGGUAUAAGAACUAGAACCGCAACCGGAUCUUAAAAGCCUAAGUAGUAUUUAGAAGAUACAAAGCCAAACAUUCAUACGGACUUUGGUUACACCAUUAAAGCUUUGUGAAGCAAGAAGAAGCUUUGUUAGUGUUUUGGAGUCAAAUAUGACUAGAUGUCAUGUGUAUGAUUGAGUAUAAAAACUGGAACUGCAACCCGAUCUUAAAAGCCUAGUUAGUGUUUCCUUGUUAGAAGAUACAAAUCCAAAAACUCAUACGGACUUCAGCUACACCAACAAAGCUUUGCGAAGCAAGAAGAAACUUGGUUAGUGUUUUCGAGUCAAAUAUGACUUGAUGUCAUGUGUAUGAUUGGGUAUAAGAACUAGAACCGCAACCGGAUCUUAAAAGCCUAAGUAGUAUUUGUUUUUUAGAAGAUACAAAGCCAAACAUUCAUACGGACUUUGGUUACACCAUUAAAGCUUUGAGAAGCAAGAAAAAGCUUGGUUAUUGUUUUGGAGUCAAAUAUGCCUAGAUGUCAUGUGUAUGAUUGAGUACAAGAACUCGAACCGCAACUGGAUCUUGAAAGCCCAAGUAGUGUUUCCUUGUUAGAAGAUACAACGCCAAUGACUCAUACGGAUUUCGGCUACACCAUCAAAUCUUUGAGAAGGAACAAGAAUCUUGGUUUGUGUUUUGGAGUUAGAUAUAAAUUGAUGUCAUGUCUAUGGUUGAGUAUUAGAACUUGAACCGCAAACGGAUCCGAAAAGGAAAAGUAGAGUUUCCAUGCGAGAAGAUACAAAGCCAAAGACUCAUACGGACUUCGACAUCACCAUCAACGCCUUAGGAAGCCAGAAGAAGCUUGGUUAGCUUUUUGGAGUCAAAUAUGACUAGAUGACAUGUGUAUGAUUGAGUAUAAAAACUCAAAUCGCAACCGGAUCUUGAAAGCCCAACUAGUGUUUGUUUGUUAGAAGAUACAAAGCCAAAUACUCAUACGGACUUUGGCUACACUAUCAAAGCUUUGAAAAGCAAGAAGAGGCUUAGUUAGUGUUUUAGAGUCAAAUAUGACUUGAUGUCAUGUGUAUUAUUGAGUAUAAGAACUAGAACCACAACCGGAUCUUAAAAGCCUAAGUAGUGUUUCCUUGUUAGAAGAUACAAAGCCAAUAAAUCAUGCGGACUUUAGCUACACCAUCAAAGCUUUGUGAAGCAAGAAGAAGCUUAGUUAGUGUUUUAGAGUCAAAUAUGACUUGAUGUCAUGUGUAUGAUUGAGUAUAACUAGAACCACAACCGGAUCUUAAAACCCAAAGUAGUGUUUCUUUGUUAGAAGAUACAAAGCUAAAGAUUGUUGUGGACUUUGGUAACACUAUUAAAGCGUUGGGAAUCAAGAAGAAGCUUGGUUAGUGUUUUGGAGUCAAAUAUGACUAGAUUUCAUGUGUAUGAUUGAGUAUAAAAACUAGAACUGUAACCCGAUCUUAAAAUCCUAAGUAGUGUUUCCUUGUUAGAAGAUACAAAGCCAAAGACUCAUACGGACUUCAGCUACACCAACAAUGCUUUGAGAAGAAAGAAGAAGCUUGGUUAGUUUUUUGGAAUCAAAUAUGACUUGAUUUCAUGUUUUUGAUUGGGUAUAAGAAGUAGAACCGCAACCGGAUCUUAAAAGCCUAAGUAGUAUUUCUUUUUUAGAAGAUACUCUAGUUUAGAGAUGUGUUUCUAGUUUAGAGAUGUGUUUAAGAACUCAAAGUAAAGAAUAACUCUCUUUAAUCUCUUUAGGAAAAUUACUCAAAACCUAAAGCUAUUGAUCUCUUCACAAUCUCUAAAAACCCAUAAGGUUAACCACAACUUGGUAACUCUUAUAUAGAGAUCAAUAGAUAAUUCUAGAAUAAACAUUUAGAUUAAUAUUAGAUAACUCCUAAUAAUAUCUUUAGGUAAUGAUAUGUCUAUAAUUUGCAUGUUUUACACAUCUUUUUAUCACCAUUUUGAGUCUAGUUUCAUCCAUCUUUCAUAGCAUUUGAUAAUAGGUUUUUAAUUAAUUAAACCUAAAGCACUAUCAUGUCGUUGUAAUACUGAAGGUUGUCAAUCCAAAUGGGUGUGAUGCUAACAAUCAAGAUGUGAUCAGAAGUCACUAAGUCAAGCCAAGCAAUAACAGGUUGUGGUGUGUUCUAGCAGUUCUAAGUGAACAUGGAGAAAAUAGAAAUUCAAGCAGAAACAGUAAAACACUCGACCAACACAGCUCUUUGCAGAGCACUGGGUGAGGUCGAGUGACAGGUCGAGUAACAGACAGAAAAUAAAAUACAGAUACUCGACUGCACAGUCUGUUACCAGACAAUUGGGUGGUCGAGUAACAAGAAAGAACUGCAGAAAUUACGCGACAGAUAACAAGAUGCAGUAAAUAACAGUGGAGUAAACACAGAAUUCAAUCAGAUAAAGAAUUCCUGAGGAUGGGGUAAUUGAGUAGUUUCGUUUCCUCAGUUUACAGGUGAUUGACAUGCUCAAUAAAUUAACCCUAGACAACAAGUUCAUUAACCAAAUCUAAGUGCCACCGCAACAGAGACUCUCAAGUUAACCUAGUCCCAGACUCAAUCACCAUUGACGAGAGAUAACCUAACAGGCAUUACGAAUCAACAAGUUAAAGCCAAAACGCUCCUUGCAACCAAUACCUUGGUACAGGGUCACGAAACUCUGGAAUUAGUGGUUCAGACAUUUCAUCGAACACCUUUUGGGCGCGGAAAUGUCUGGGCUCAAAUUCCAGUUGAUCAGAAAGCAAUAGGGAUUAAGAACAACUAAUCCAGAAGGGAUAUAUCAACCAAUACUCAAUCACCUAGCAUAUUGAGAAUUCUACACUACUCUAACCCAUCCUCAGAAACCUAUUCACUACUCAGACAUCAUAACAGUAAGCAUAAACGUUGAACAAGUUGAAAACAUGAUAACAACUGUGUAACAACAAGAUGAUAACAGAAUGAACAACAGUAAACGAAAUCAAGAACAAAAGCUGAAUACUGAAUACUAAAUAGAUAAAGAGAAAUCUGGAUUACAAAAGGUCUAGAACACAAGGUCUACGGAAUAAAACUAGAUAAAAACUUGUCUGCCAAAAUGUGAAGUACAUGCUACUUACAGCCAAAUAUUCCGAAACCCUAAUACUUAAAACGACGCAGUAUUGGGACGGAUUAAGAACUGUACUCGACCCAUGUGGUCGAGUGGGAGGUCGAGUGAAUAGCUGGAGUCUUCUUUUCUUCCUUGUGCUCGAGUGUCUGGUUGAGUGCGGAAUGAAGAAGGCUCUGAAGCUUGUCAUCGAGUAUGUAGUCGAGUGGUGGUGAUGGUGAUACUCGACUUCCACGUAGAGUGAAGAGGUCAAGUAGUGGUCUGGCAAUGAAGGUGAAGACACUCGGCCUCAGGGUCGAGUGACGUGAUCGAGUGAUGGUCAGGUGAUGGGAUGAAGACACUCGACCUCGUGGUCGAGUGAUGUGGUGAAGUAGUGAUGUCCUCUACUCGACCAGGGGGUCGAGUGAUCUGUUGAGAUCUUGAAGCUCCUAAUCGACCUCGGGGUCAAGUCGUUUGAUAUGAUCAGGCCCGCUUCUUCCAGAUAGCUUGUCAACAGCUCCAAAUCACCUGAAAUCAACGCAAAUAUGCAACAUGCAUGCAAAUCUAUCCAAAAAUUGUAAAGUGAUGACAAAUGAUGAGAAAUUGUAUAAAACAGUGAUGAUAUGAUGCUAAAGUGAUGACAAAUGGAUGCUCAAAACAUGCAAAAUACACACUUAUCAGCAUUCACCAUCAUUUUCAUACAUUUUGCAUCUUAAGUCGAGUCUAGGACUAGUCUUGCAUACAUUCUGCAUUCUGGAGUUGUUUCAGGUGUUUUGGAGCUAUUGGUGCUCAGAAAGAGGGAAAACAAAACAGAAAGUCACACUUCCACCAAACAUACUCGAUCACCAGUAGCAGAGAGGGAAGCAGUCAGCUCAGUAGUCCAUCCAGACACUUCUACUCGAUCACAGAGGAGACCAGGCAGUCCAUUCUGCCAGAUAUACUCGACCGUAGAGGAGAGGAGGCAGUCCAUUCUGCAAUUCUACUCUAUCGCAGAGGCAACCAUGCAGUCCACUUUGCCAGUCCACCAGUUAUACUCGAUCGCAGAGGAGAAGAACCAGUACAUCCUGACAGCUGACACACUUACUCGAUCACAGAGGCCAAGAAGCAGCCCAGAUCAUUCUGUCAACCAACCUACUCGACCACCACCUCGACCCUCUGAUCAAUCCGCACUCAACCAGAUAACCUGAGCAUCGGAAAGAGAAGAGAAGAGAAGAGAAGGCCCAUUCGAAACCCAUUCAAAGCCCAUCAGGAAGCCCACUUUGAGCCGACACUCUUGAUCACGCCGUCCAUGGGCCGUUAAGUGGGCUCGAAGCCGAGUUAACAUCUACAGGUCACCAAGUUUACUCGACCAUGGAGGCAUCCCAACUGCCCGUUUUCACUCGAUCACCAAGGCGACACUUUAGACCAUUUCUCAGACCAAUAUACUCGACCGUCGGACCAAACGUCAUGUGAACCCUGCGAUCGAGUAUCAUGCACCAGAGGAGGAGGAACAACAACAAGGUCCCAGUAUUCCAUGGGAUUACACCAGAGAGGAGAUGGCACACACAACCAUCAUUGUAUAUACCAUUUUCUGUUUUCGUUUUGUUUUAGUGUCUCUUGAACUCUUCUUUAGACUUCUAUUACACAAGGGACUGUAUAGUUUAAGUUUGGGGGAGGAUUCAAGAAGUAUUUAACAUGUUUGCUAGUGAGUCUUAUUUGCAUCAUUUGAGUCUUAACUUCAUCUAAGACAUAGAAAAAAAAUAAAAAAAAAAUGAAAACAUUUCUGAAAAUGUAUUCCACAAAAACAGAGUGUUCAUAUAGUUGCAUCACAUUUAGGAUUGAGUCUAGGAUGUUUCAUAUAGGAUUGUCGCAUAUGCAUUGGGGAUUAUGAUGAGAUAGCCUUGUAAGCAUUUUUGUUCAUCGUUUCUAGUUGUCUGAUGUGUAGUCAAUGAAAUUGAAGUAAAACUGCACCAUGUCUUGAAUGCUCUACUCGAUCACACUGUUAUUAUCUGAUACCAUUCCCUAUCAAUUUGAACCUGAAUCUGACUUGCAAUUAUCAUGUCUUAGCAUCGAAUUUGAACUCAUGGAUACCAUAUACAUACUUGGGUUUUCUUUAAACUUUUCACCACCCUUGCUAACCCAAGUAGCUGCUUCCAUCAUUGAAGUAGUUUCCCUUGCCCUUAACCAAACCUUUCUUUCGAGCCCUGUUAUAUAUCGUGUGCGAUUGUGAGGCCUGUUUCAGGAUUGAGCUUGGAAGAAAGUGUUAGGUUUGAGCCGACAAGAGUAGUGUCUCAUGUAGUUCUAGUCCACGUUUUCUGGGCUAGAUAGGACAAGGUGGGUGUCUAUUCUUGAAGUGGGGAUCGAGUAUAUGAGAAAAUAAGAGAGAAAGGAAAUGUUGAUGUUCUUAGGAGAAGGAAGUUGAGAAACAAGUUAGUCUAGUAAUGGAUUUUGGGGAACUAAAAAAAAAAUAGGCUCACAACAAAAGAAAAAAAGUCUAGAAAAGUCUUGAUCACAAGAAGAUAACAUGAGCCAUAGUUGUCAAAGAAAACCAAAGUCCACUAGAUCCAACAAAGUAAAAGAAACUUCUCCUUAGAAUAAGAGUCAAAGAAAAGAAAGAGUGGUUUGAUCCAAGAUAAGAAUGAGAAAAAAAUGCCUUGAGUGCAAAGGGUAGAACUAGGAUCAUAUUCUGGGCUUAAGGGUAGUACCAUCUGCUGGUGUAUACACUGUGUAUGUUUUUGGGUAGAUGGGAUACUAUUCUUGUAUGCAUAGGUUGGCUCUUACCUUUAGCAUUCUCCUAAAGCUCAGUCCAUUUCUUUUCAGAGUCCCCUGUUACUAAACUUGAACCACCAGAAAGGGACCAUCUGUGUCUCUUGACCUUCACCUUAGCCAAAUGAGUUCAUUGAUGAUGCAUAGCUUGAUUCACGUUCCUAAUCUAAUGAAUGUUAAAGGGAUUGGUAGAUUUGAAAGCAUGUGUAGGUCGAGUAUAAGAGUGGGAUUGAACUAUAAUAAGGCAUGGCUAACGUUUUUGAGUAGAGUUCGAUAAUAUGGCAUCCUAGAACUGCCAACUUGGACAUUGAUUCUAUCUGAUUUAUUUGAUGCUUUGGUUCUGAAUCCCCACCUUCAAACCUCUCCUUCAGCUUAUGUCUACUUGUUUGCUUGAGGGCAAGCAAAGACUAAGUUUGGAGGAGUUGAUAUGUGUAUAAUUUGCAUGUUUUACACAUCCUUUAAUCACCAUUUUGAGUCUAGUUUCAUCCAUCUUUCAUAGCAUUCACCAUCAUUUUCGUACAUUUUGCAUCUUUAGUCGAGUCUAGGACUAAUCUUGCAUACAUUCUACAUUCUGGAGUUGUUUCAGGUGUUUUGGAGCUAUUGGUGCUCAGAAAGAGGGAAAACAGAACAGAAAGUCACACUUCCACCAAACAUACUCGAUCACCAGUAGCUGAGAGGGAAGUAGUCAGCUAAGCAGUCCAUCCAGACACUUCUACUCGAUCAUAGAGGAGACUAGGCAGUCCAUUCUGCCAGAUAUACUCGACCGCAGAGGAGAGGAGGCAAUCCAUUCUACAAUUCUACUCUAUCGCAGAGGCGACCAUGCAGUCCACUUUGCCAGUCCACCAGUUAUACUCGAUCGUAGAGGUGAAGAACCAGUACAUCCUGACUGCUGACACACUUACUCGAUCACAGAGGCCAAGAAGCAGCCCAGAUCAUUCUGUCAACCAACCUACUCGACCACCACCUUGACCCUCUUAUCAAUCCGCACUCAACCAGACAACCUGAGCAUCGAAAAGAGAAGAGAAGAGAAGGCCCAUUCGAAGCCCAUUCGAAACCCAUUCGAAGCCCAUCAAGAAGCCCACUUUGAGCCGACACUCUUGAUCACGCCGUUCAUGGGCCGUUAAGUGGGCUCGAAGCCCGCUUUCUUAUUUUAGUAUAAAUAAGUCUCUAAGGGUUUCGCCCUGGGACAUGCACUUUUAGAGACACGAAUUUUGCACUAUUAUUCAGCAGCCGCUUUUCAUUCCUGCAAUUUUAUAUUUCGAUUUUUCUUCUAAGUCAUUCAGAUUUUGCUUUCAUUUGCUUGUUCAUCUUUCGUUUCUAUGUUAUUGUCUUUAAGCAUGUUGUCAGAGUAGUGACUCAGAAUUCUUAAGGAUGGGUUAGAGUAGUUGUGGAAUCCGUAGUCUGUAGAAUGGUUAAGUCUUAGAAUUGAUUGAAUCCCUUCAGGACUAGUUGUGUUUACUGCUUAUUUCUUUCUAAUCAACUGGAAUUCGAUCCCAAGCAUUCCCGCACCCAGAAGGUGUUCUAUGGAAUGCUUGAUCCACUAGUUCCUGAGAUAUUCGUCUCUAUCCCAAGGGAUUGGCCGUUUAGAGCGUUUAUUGACUUUAUCAGUCUGUUCUUAUUGCCUGCAUAAUUAGAUUCCGUUAAUGGGAAUUAGUCUGGGCUAGCUUUGCUUGAGGAUUUCUAUCAAGGGAGUGAAUUGAUCUGUUGUUGAACCUGUUGUCUAGGGAUACCUUGAUUGCGCUUGUUAACCAUUCGGAUAGGCUAGGAUACCACUCUAUUCGAUUACCCCAUCCUUAGGAAUUUCUCGUCUAUCUGAUUUCUCUGUUUUAUCGUUAUCGCUUAUUCGUUCUCAUUGCCUGUUUCUUCGUUUUUGCAAUUACUCGAUCAACUUACUUGACCACACCCAGUGUCUGGUAACAGACUGUGCAGUCGAGUACAGUUGUCUCAUUUCCUGUCUGUUACUCGACCAGAAUACUCGACCACACCCAGUGUCUGGCAACAGACUAUGCAGUCAAGUAUAUCUGUUUCAUAUCCUGUCUGUUACUCGACCACAUCCUACUUCUGGCAUCAGCCUGUUGUGGUCGAGUGAUUUUAGUAAUUCUAUUAUUGUUUCUGUUUUCUGCAUGUUCGCUUAGGACUGUUAGAAACCCCAAAACUGUUAUUGCUUGGCUUGACUUAGUGACUUUUGAUCACAUCUCAUCUGUUUGCAUCACACCCAUUUGGAUUGACACCUAAAAUACUACAACGACAUGAUUGGUGUUUUAGGAUAAUUGACCAUAAAAAACUACUAUCAGAUAACUCCCAAAGAUUUAAUCUAAUCCUUCUCAAAACUAAAUAACUUAUUUCUUAAGUAAUACUCAAGCUUACUCCAACAAUCUCCCCUUUAAGCUUGAGAUCACUCCUCUUCACUUCUUGAACACCCAUAAGAUCUCUCAUCUCUUUAAACUUCAUUCUCCCAAGUGCUUUAGUUAGGAUGUCUGCCUUUUGCUCAUUCCCCGGAACAUGCUCUACUUCCACUUGUCCAUUUUCGACGCAUUCUCUUAUGAAGUGGUAACGCCUAUGAAUGUGCUUGCUUCAGCCAUGGAAGACCGGAUUCUUGGUAAGGGCGAUUGCUGAUUUGUUGUCGAUUCUUAUGAGCACCUUCUCGCUUGGUUCUCCUAUAACUUCACUAAGCAAGUCUUGAAGCCAAAUUGCUUGCCUAGCUGCUUCUGUUCCUGCCAUAAACUCUGCUUCACAUGAGGACAUUGCCAUUGUUUCUUGUUUCUGUGAACACCACGAGAUGGGACUCUCUCCAAGGUAGGAAAUGUGACCGGCUGUACUCUUGCCAUCAUCAGGAUCAACAUUGUGGUUGCUGUCACUAUAGCCUACUAGCUUUGGUAUCUUUUCACUUGAUCGUUUAAAUACCAAACCGAGUGUAGUCGUACCUUUCAAGUACCUCAAACAUUGUCUCAUUGCAGCACCAUGUGAUUCAUUUGGAUCUUGCAUGUAUCGACUUAACACUCCCACGCAAAAGGACAGAUCCGGUCUUGUAUGAAUUAAAUAGCGAAGGCAACCAACUUUUUUCCUGUAUCCGGUAGCAUCAAUUCCUUCUUCAUGAUGUGAUUUGGACAAUUGCAAACCAGAUUCCAUUGGUAUGUGCAUCAAGUUACAGUCCUUCAUCCCAGCGUCUUCUAAAAUCUUCAUUGCAUAUCGGUGUUGACUUAGUGUGAUUCCUUGCUCUUGUUGACAGACUUCUAUUCCAAGAUAGUACGUCAAUUUUCCAAGAUCACUCAUCUCGAACUUAGAAGCCAUCUCUCUCUUGAAUCCACUAAUACUUCUUUCAUCUGUUCCGGUUAUGAAAAGGUCAUCUACGUACACUACCACAAGAAGAAAAAUAUUCCCACUUACAGUUUUACGAUAUACUGAUGGUUCUUUGGAACACUUCUCGAAUUGUAGUUCUGUAAGAAUCUGAUUCAGCUUAUGGUUCCAUGCUCUCGGUGCUUGUCGUAAUCCAUACAAAGCUUUGUGAAGCCUAUAGACUUUCCCUUCCUAUCCUCUUUCUUCGAAUCCUUCUGGUUGUGUCACAUACACGGUUUCUCUUAGUUCUCCAAGGAGAAAUGCUGUCUUGACAUCAAGAUGGUGUAUCUCCCAACCAUUUGAUGCUGCAAGGUUCACAAGUAGUCGUUUGGUUUCAAGGCGAGCUACGGGAGCGAACACUUCUUCAAAGUCCACUCCAUAGCGCCAAAACGUAACCUUUCGCGACCAAUCGAGCCUUGUAUUUGUUGAUGCUCCCGUCCGAGUUGCGUUUGAGUUUAAAAACCCACUUUAGACCUAUACGUUUAACUCCAUGCGGCAGAUCUUCAAGACUCCAUGUCUUAUUCUUUGUUAUUGAAAACAUCUCUUCUUCACACGCAAGUGUCCACUCUCUGGACUCCUUAGCCUCACUGAAACUGCUCGGUUCGUUAUUCAAUAUUAGAAGUAGCCUUUCUCCUUCUUCUUCUACAAGUAAUGCAUAGUCUUCAAGGUACUUUGGUCUUAUGGUUUGUCUUUGCGAUCUUCUUAGAUUAGGUUGUUGACUUUCUGUUCCAAGAUCAGCAGAGACUUCUUCAUUUUCUGCAAAGGUUUCAUGAUCAUGUUGUUCUUCAUUCACGUGAAUAGGCUGUGUUUGCUCUGUCUCACCAUAUUCGUUGUCUUCUUCUUGUAGACCAUGAUUCCCGAAUUCUCCAAGUGUGACACUGAAGCUUCCAUCUUGUUUAGGUUCGUUGUGAUUCCAAUCCCAUCCUUUUUCUUCAUCGAAUACAACAUCUCUACUCACCACAAUUUUCCGAUUUACUGGGUCAAGUAGACGAUAUGCCUUUGAACCCGGCUCAGUACCUAGAUGAACUAGCUUUCUCGACCUGUCAUCUAGUUUCCUCAAGUGUGGUGUCUCCACUUCUGCGUAUCCAAUGCAGCCAAAUACUGUGAGAUGAUUCACGUUUGGUUUCUUUUGGUAGAAAGCUUCAUAUGGAGUGUUGUCAUUCAACGAUCUUGUAGCUAUCCGGUUCAGCAGGUAGGUGGCGUGUCAUACUGUUUCUCCCCAUAAGUAACUAGGUAUAUGCAUGUGUUUCAUGACACUCCUUGUCAUUUCCAUUAGAGUUCUGUUUCUUCUUUCAAAUACACCAUUCUGUUGUGGUGUAUAUGGAGCAGUAAGAUGUCUUUUAAUACCCGAUUCUUCACAAAACUUAGUGAACUCAUGUGAUACAAACUCUCCUCCUCUGUCUAUUCUGAAAGUCUGAAUUUUGCUUCCAGAUUCUUGUUCAACUAAGACCUUGAAGCGCUUGAAUUUAUUGAGAGCAUCACUUUUCUCCUUAAGUAGAGUUGUCCACAUGUAUCUAGAAUGAUCAUCAAUAAUGACAAAGAUGUACCUGUUUCCUGCAGCUGUGCUUGGUGUUAUAGGACCACAUAAGUCUCCAUGAACGAGUUCAAGUAUCUUGGUGGCUCUGUAUGAGGUUGCUUGCGGGAAAAAUUGCCUUGAUUGCUUCCCAAACAAACAUGAAUCACAAACUUCUUUUUCGAUCUUAACGUGUGGGAUCCCUCUUACUAGCUCCUUUUGUAUCAUUGACUUGAUUGUGUCGAGAUUUAUGUGUCCCAAUCUUGAAUGCCAUCUACUUGAUUCGCUGAGGUUUGUUAGAUAUAGACACAUUGUUCCUCUUUUUGCCAUCCGAACCUUAUUAAGUCGAUUCUUUGAUCUUGUUGCUUUGACAAGUAAUUUUCCCUCUCGGUCAUGCAUUGUUAGAAUGUCAUCCUUCAUUCUUAUGUCACAGCCUGAUUCUCUAGCUUGUCCCAAGCUAAUGAUGUUGCUUUUUAAAUCUGGAAUGAAAUAGACAUCUGACAUUUUUCUUUGUUCGCCAUUCCUGUCAAAAAACGAGAUCGUUCCUUUCCCUUUGAUAUCAAUCCGUGAAUCAUCGCCAAAGCGUACUUUCCCGGUGAUAGAAUUAUCUAUACUAGUGAAGUAUCUUUGAUCUCCUGUCAUGUGGUUACUUGCUCCGUUAUCGAGAUACCAAACAUCAUUCUCUCCAUUGUUAGUUUCAUAGUUGCUUGGAAUACAAUUCUUCUCAUUUAGAUACACAACUUCGUGAACCAUGAGUUCAUCUGCAGUUUGUGUAUCGUCUUUCUCGUUCUCUUGGGCUUCCUGCAACUUGAAAAGACGAUUCGGGCAGUCAGAGGCGUAGUGACCUAAUUUGUCACAUCUAUAGCAAGUUACUUUGGAUGUAUCUCUUCCACCAUUCGACCUUCCUUGUCCUCUUCCUCUGUAAUAAGAGCGUCCUCCUCGACCUCUUCCUCUGUAGCAGUUGUUGUACUCUUGAUUUGUUUGGUAAUCUUGAUUAGUAUACAACAACUUGCUUUGAUCUUCUUGUGGUUCUUCAUCAUCUACCACUCGUUCUUCAUAUACUUUCAUUCGUCCUACAAUGUCUUCAAAUCCGUUUGUGUUAAGAUCAAGAACUUGUUCGAGUGAUGCAACUAUGUGAAUGAAUUUCUUUCGAGGCAGACUUGAGAGAAACUUCUUCACUAGUUUUGGUUCUUCGAUUUGAACUCCUAAAGCUGCAGAUUUGGAUGCAAUUUCUGCUAACUUUCCUACAAAAUCAUCAAUCUUCUCAAUAUCCUUCAUCUUCAAGCGAUCAAAGUCAUUCAUUAGAGUCUGUAGUCUCGCUUCUCUAACUCGUUCUGCUCCCACGUUCCUCGACCGAAUAGCUUCCCAAACCUUCUUUGCUACUUUAAAUUCUCCAAUUUGCAAAGCUAGGGAUUCGGGUAUGGAUUGAAUCAUUAAAGCUAUAGCCAUGAUGUUCUUGUCUGCAUCAACGGGUUCUGUUGACUCUGUUUCAAUAGCUUCCCAGACUUUGUGUACUUGAAGAGCAAUCUCCAUCUUCAUAGCCCAUGCCGUGUAAUUUGUUUGAGUUAGCAUAGGGCAUUGGAUCGAAGAAGUUCCUCCUCCUUCUUUUGGUUUCGUUCCCGACGUAACUAUUUUGCUCAUAUCUUCUCCUUACAAAUUCUUCUUUAUGGUCUCAAGAUUUGUAAGCUCUGAUACCAAUUGUAGUUUAGAGAUGUGUUUAAGAACUCAAAGUAAAGAAUAACUCUCUUUAAUCUCUUUAGGAAAAUUACUCAAAACCUAAAGCUAUUGAUCUCUUCACAAUCUCUAAAAAACGAUAAGGUUAACCACAACUUUGGUAACUCUUAUAUAGAGAUCAAUAGAUAAUUCUAGAAUAAACAUUUAGAUUAAUAUUAGAUAACUCCUAAUAAUAUCUUUAGAUAACUCCCAAAGAUUUAAUCUAAUCCUUCUCAAAACUAAAUAACUUAUUUCUUAAGUAAUACUCAAGCUUACUCCAACAGAUACAAAGCCAGACAUUCAUACGGACUUUGGUUACACCAUUAAAGCUUUGAGAGGCAAGAAGAAGCUUGGUUAGUUUUGGAGUCAAAUAUGCCUAGAUGGCAUGUGUAUGAUUGAGUACAAGAACUCGAACCGCAACUGGAUCUUGAAAGCCCAAGUAGUGUUUCUUUGUUAGAAGAUACAACGCCAAUGACUCAUACGGACUUCGGCUACACCAUCAAAGCUUUGAAAAAUCUUGGUUUAUGUUUUGGAGUUAAAUAUAAAUUGAUGUCCUGUCUGUGGUUGAAUAUUAGAACUUGAACCGCAAACGGAUCUGAAAAGGAAAAGUAGUGUUUCCAUGCUAGAAGAUACAAAGCCAAAGACUCAUACGAACUUCGACAUCCCCAUCAAAGCCUUAGGAAGCCAAAAGAAGCUUAGUUAGUUUUUUGGAGUCCAAUAUGACUAGAUUGCAUGUGUAUGAUUGAGUAUAAAAACUCAAACCGUAACCAGAUCUUGAAAGCCCAAGUAGUGUUUCUUUGUUAGAAGAUACAAAGCCAAAUACUCAUACGGACUUCGGCUACACCAUCAAGAAGCAAGAUGAAGCUUGGUUAGUGUUUUGGAGUCAAAUAUGAAUUGAUGUCCUGUGUAUGAUUUAGUAUAAGAACUAGAUUGGCAACCGGAUAUUGAAAGCCCAAAUAGUGUUUUCUUGUUAGAACAGACAAAGCUAAUGACUCAUACGGACUUCGGCUUCACUAUCAAAGCUUUGAGAAACAAGAAGGGGCUUAGUUAGUGUUUUAGAGUCAAAUAUGACUUGAUGUAAUCUGUAUGAUUGAGUAUAAGAACUAGAACCACAACCGGAUCUUAAAAGUCUAAGUAGUGUUUCCUUGUUAGAAGAUACAAACCAAAGACUCAUACAGAUUUUCGAUUACACCAUUAAAACUUUGAGAAGCAAGAAGAAUCUUGGUUAGUGUUUUGGAGUCAAAUAUGACCAGACGACAUUUGUAUGAUUUAGUAUAAGAACUCGAACUACAACCUAAUCCCGAAAGCCCAAAUAGUGUUUCCUUGUUAGAACAUACAAAGCCAAUGACUAAUACAGAUUUUGAUUACACCAUUAAAACUUUGAGAAGCAAGAAGAAUCUUGGUUAGUGUUUUGGAGUCAAAUAUGACAAGAUGGCAUGUCUAUGAUUUAGUAUAAAAACUCGAACUACAACCAGAUCUUGAAAGCCCAAGUAGUGUUUCCUUGUUAGAAGAUACAAAGCCAAAUUCUCAUACGGACUUUGGUUAAACCAUCAAAGCUUUGAGAAGCAAGAAGAAGCUUGGUUAGUGUUUUGGAUCAAAUAUCACUUGAUGUCAUGUGUAUGGUUAAGUAUUUGGACUAGAUCUUGAAACUUAUCCCAAAAGCAAAAGUAGUGUUUCCAUGCUAGAAGAUACAAAACAAAAGAUUCAUACGGACUUUGACAUCACCAUCAAAGCCUUAGGAAGCAUGAAGAAGCUUGGUUAUUGUUUUGGAGUCAAAUAUGACUAGAUGACAUGUGUAUGAUUGAGUAUAAAUACUCAAACCGCAAUCGGAUCUUGAAUGCCCAAGUAGUGUUUCCUUGUUAGAAGAUACAAAUCCAAAGACUCAUAUGGACUUCGGCUACACCAUCAAAACUUUGAGAAUCAAGAAGAAGUUCUGUUAGUGUUUUGGAGUCAAAUAUGACUGGAUGUCAUGUUUAUGAUGGCGUGUAAAACUAGAACCACAACGCGAUAUUAAAAGCCUAAGUAGUGUUUCGAUGUUAGAAGAUACAAAGCCAAUGACUCAAACGAACUUCAGCUAGACCAUCAAAGCUUUGAGAAGCAAGAAGAAGCUUAGUUAGUGUUUCUGAGUUAAAUAUGACUUAAUGUAAUAUGUAUAAUUGAGAAUAAGAACUAGAACCACAACUAUAUCUUAAAAGCCUGAGUAGUGUUUGCUUAUUAGAAGAUACAAAGCUAAAGACUCAUGUGGACUUUGGUUACACUAUUAAAGCUUUGAGAAGCAAGAAUAAGCUUGGUUAGUGUUUUGGAGUAAAAUAUGACUACAGGUCAUGUGUAUGAUUGAGUAUAAAAACUCGAACCGCAACCUCAUCUUGAAAGCCCAAGUUGUAUUUCCUUGUUGGAAGAUACAAAGCCAUAGAGUCUUACGGACUUCGGCUACACCAUAAAGACCUUGAGAAGCAUGAAUAAGCUUGGUUAGUGUUUUGGAGUCAAAUAUGACUUGAUGUGAUGUGUAUGAUGGAGUAUAAGUACAAGAACCACAACCUGAUCUUAAAAAUCUAAGUAGUGUUUCGUUGUUUGAAGAUAUAAACCCAAAGACUCAUACGGACUUCGACAUCACCAUCAAAGUUUUAGGAAGCAUGAAGAAGCUUGGUUAGUGUUUUGGAGUCAAAUAUGACUAGAUGGCAUGUGUAUGAUUGAAUAUAAAAACUAAAACCGCAAUCGGAUCUUGAAAGCCCAAGUAGUGUUUCCUUAUUAGAAGAUACAAAGCCAAAUACUCAUACAGACUUCGGCUACACCAUCGAGAAGCAAGAAGAAGCUUGAUUAGUGUUUUGGAGUCAAAUAUUAAUUGAUGUCCUGUGUAUGAUUGAGUAUAAGAACUAGAUUGGCAACCGGAUCUUGAAAGCCCAAAUAGUGUUUCCUUGUUAGAAGAUACAAAGCCAAUGACUCAUACGGACUUCAGCUACACUAUCAAAGCUUUCAGAAGCAAGAAGAGGCUUAGUUAGUGUUUUAGAGUCAAAUAUGACUUGAUGUCAUGUGUAUGAUUGCGUAUAAGAACUAUGAUAAUAGGUUCUUACUCAAUUAAUCCUAAAACACUAAUCUUGUCGUUGUAGUAUUUUAGGUGUCAAUCCAAAUGGGUGUGAUGCAGACAUAUGAGAUAUAAUCAGAAGUUUCUAAGUCAUGCCAAGCACAAUUUGGUUGGUUUUCUAACAGUCCUAGUGUUGAUGCAGUAAACAGUAAAAAGUCGCAGAAAUGACUGAUAUACUCGAUUGCAGGGUCGACUCCCAGAAAGGACCCUGUGAUCGAGUACAAUAGAAUGACAGAGAGUAAAAAUGCAGAAAUGGACCAGUUUACUCUAUCACACAGUCUCACUGUCAGUAGCAGGGUGUGAUCGAGUAGGAUGGUUGAAAACACGAAAAUACUAAAAUUCAAUAGCAAGUGAAUGAAGUAGGUAAGUAAACAAAGAAAUCAAUUGGAUGAGAAACUCAUAAGGAUGGGGUAAUCGAAUAGUGUGGUCUCCCUAAUCAAUUCAGUUGGUUAACAAAUCUCAAUUAAGCUAUCCCUAGACAACAGGUUCAACAACAGAUUAAUACACUCCCGUGAUAUAAAUUCUCAAGCAUAGCUAGACACUGACCUAAUUCCCAUUAGCGAUCUCUAACUAAGCAGGCAAUAAGAACCGACUGUUAAAGCCAAUAACCGCUCUAAACGGCCAAUCCCUUGGGAUAGAGACGAUUAUCACUGGAAUUAGUAGAUGCAACGUUCUAUAAAACGCCUUCUAAGCGCUGGAACGUCUGGGAUCGGAUUCCAGUUGAUCAUAAAGGAAUAAACAGUAAACACAACUAAUCCAGAAGGGAUUCAAUAAAUCUACACUUAACCAACAGAUUCGACCAGGGGUUCCACAGCUACCCUAUCCCAUCCUUAGAAACUCUAAUCACUACUCAGACAACAUGCUUAAAGACAACAACAUAGAAACGAUUGAAUAUUGCAUACUAAAAAUAUUAAAGGGAAUGAAACAAAGAUGAACAAGCAAAUGAAAUCAAAAUCUGAAUAACUUAGAAGAAAAAUCGAAAUACAAAGUUGCAGGAAUGAAAAGUGGCUGCUGAAUACUAGUGCAAAAUUCGUGUCUCUCAAAGUGUAUGUCUCAAGGCGAAACCCUUUGAGACUUAUUUAUACUAAGAUAAGAAAGCGGGUUUCGAGCCCACUUAACGGCCCAUGGACGAUGUGAUCAAGAGUGUCGACUCAAAGUGGGCUUCCUGAUGGACUUCGAAUGGGCUUCGAAUGGGCCUUCUCUUCUCUUCUCUUUCCGUUGCUCAGGUUGUCUGGUUGAGUGCGGAUUGAUCAAAGGGUCGAGGUGGUGGUUGAGUAGGUUGGUUGACAGAAUGGUCUGGGCUGCUUCUUGGCCUCUGUGACCGAGUAUGUGUGUUAGCUGUCAGGAUGGAUUGGUUCUUCUCCUCUGCGAUCGAGUAGAAUUGGUGGACUGGCAAAGUGGACUGCAUGGUCGCCUCUGCGAUUGAGUAGAAUUUUCAGGAUGGACUCCUUCAACUCUGUGAUCGAGUAGAACUGCAGUUGGGAUUGACUCCUCUCCUCUGCGAUCGAGUAUAAGUGUCUGGAUGGACUGUUGAGCUAACUGCUUCCCUCUCUCCUACUGGUGAUUGAGUAUGUUGGUGGAAAUGUGACUUUCUGUUCUGUUUUUCCUCUUUCUGAGCACCAAUAGACGCAAGACUAGUCCUAGACUCGACUAAAGACGCAAAAUGUACAAGAAUGAUGAUGAAUGCUAUGAAAGAUGGAUGAAACUAGACUCAAAGUGGUGAAAACAGGAUGUGUAAAACAUGCAAAUUAUAGACAUAUCAACUCCCCCAAACUUAGUCUUUGCUUGCCCUCAAGCAAACAAGUAGACAUAAGCUGAAGGAGAGGUUUGAAGGUGGGGAUCCAGAACCAAAUCAUCAAAUAAAUCAGAUAAAAUCAAUGUCCAAAAUGACAGUUCUAGGAUACGAUAUGAUGGAAUUCUACUCAAAAACGUUAGCCAUGCCUUAUUAUAGUUAAAUCUCACUCUUAUACUCGACCUACACAUGAUUUCAAAUCUACCAAUCCCUUUAACAUUCAUUAGUUUAGGAACGUGAAUCAGGCAAUGCACCAUCAAUGAACUCAUUUGGCUAAGGUGAAGGUCAGGAGACAAAGAUGAUCCCUUUCUGGUUGUUCAAGUUUAGUAACAGGGGACUCUCAAAAGAAAUGGACUGAGGUUUUGGAGAAUGCUAAAGGUAAGAGCCAACCUAUGCAUACAAAAAUAGUAUCCCAUCUACCCAAUAACAUAGACAGUGUAUACACCAGCAGAUGGUACUACCAUCAAGCCCAAAAUAUGAUCCUAGUUCUACCCUUUGCACUCAAGGUAUUUUUUUUUCUCAUUCUUAUCUUGGAUCAAACCACUCUUUCUUUUCUUUGACUCUUAUUCUAAGGAGAAGUUUCUUUUACUUUGAUGGAUCUAGUGGACUUUUGGUUUUCUUUGACAACUCUGACUCUUGUCCUAACACUUUCUUCCAAGCUCAAUCCUGAAACAGGCCUCACAAUCGUGAUCUUUACUAUAUUACGGUGAGAAAAUUAUAGGUUCGGACAUUGUUUUCAAAUAUUUUGCAUGUAUCAAAGCUCUUAUAAACAAGAUAGGAUAUUCCUACAUAGCUGGUGGGACCCCAACAAAUGGAUCAUGAAGUCUUCAAAAAAGAAUAGAUACGAUUGCAUUGCAUGUAGUAACAGAUGCGAUCAUACCAGCACUAAUGCACCAGAUACCAUCAGAAAUCCGCAGUUAAGCGUGCUUGGGCGAGAGUAGUACUACGACGUGUGACCUCCAGGAAAGUCCUUGUGUUGCAUAACUCUUUUGUUUUCGAUUUUUCUCAUAUUUUUUGUUAAAAAUGUAUUACUCUAUAACUUUUAGACCGUGAGGCCAAACUUGGCAUGUGAUACCUUUUCGGAAAGCCGAAAGAGUGCUCUCAAACGAAUGAGGAAUGGGUUGUUUUUCUACUCCAAAUUUUGACCUAAAUGUACUUUUUAUGGCCUUUUCUUGAUCUUUGCUAUAUUACGGGACAAAAAUUAUAUGUUCGGACAUUGUUUUUGAAUAUUUUGCAUGUAUCAAAGCUCUUAUAAACAAGAUAGGGUAUUCCUACAUAUCUGGUGGGACCUGAUAAUAUGUUUUUAGUCAAUUAUUCUAAAACACCAAGCAUGUCGUUGUAGUAUUUUAGGUGUCAAUCCAAAUGAGUGUGAUGCAAACAGAUGAGAUGUGAUCAGAAGUUACUAAGUCAAGCCAAGCAAUAACAGUUUUGGGGUUUCUACAGUCCUAAGUGAACAUGCAGAAAACAGAAACAAUAACAAAAUUACUAAAAUCACUCGACCACAACAGGCUGAUGCCAGAAGUAGGAUGUGGUCGAGUAACAGGUAGGAUAUGAAACAGAUAUACUCAACUGCACAGUCUGUUGCCAGACACUGGGUGUGGUCGAGUAUACUGGUCGAGUAACAGACAGGAAAUGAGACAACUGUACUCGACUGCACAGUCUGUUGCCAGACACUGGGUGUGGUCGAGUAAGUUGGUCGAGUAAUUGUAAAAACUAAGAAACAGGCAAUGAGAACGAUUAAGCGAUAACGAUAAAACAGAGAAAUAGUAUAGACGAGAAAUUCCUAAGGAUGGGGUAAUCGAGUAGAGUGGUAUCCUGAUAGGUUACGGGUGACGUUGGCUGGUGUGAGAAGAAGGGCGAGAUCAAAUGGAAGGAAAGGCAGAGCUCGUGAGAAGUUCCUGAGGAAGCUUCUAUUUAAAAGUGGCUAAGGCACAAAAAGACAGCUCGCCAGCUCGGCACAGAAAGACAGCUCGCCAGCUCGCCAACUGUGUCGUUUUACUUUUGGGUUAUCGAAAUGCUGCGUUUUGUAUUGAGUCUCAGUAGAUGCUAUUUAAGGAACCUUCCCUUUUAGGGUUUUGUUAUCAAAAUAAACAAUCAACAACAUUAAUCUUGAAAUUCUCUCUCUCAUCUACACUCUCCGCCGUUCAAGGUGCAUUUCCUAUUGUCUUGUUAUUUUAUCAGUCUUAGUCUUUUUCUUGUCUUCGAUAGGGUCAGACCUUAUCAUUGGUGCUUCUUCAUUGGAGAGACCGAUGGCUCCACCGUUACCUAAAGCCACCGCAUCUGAUACCGCCGUCGAGUCACCUGAACUCGGCUCGACAACAACACCACCACCUGAGGAACCUCCGCCAGCUCCACAUUUGGACACACGAGUAGACAAAGUGGAGAAAGAGAUGACUUAUGUCAGAGAGGCUCUAACCCAGAUCCUUAGAAAUCAGAUCUUUGGGGUUACGCGUGAGGGAAGUGCAGCUCCGAUAGGGUUCUCCACUCCGACACCGGCACUGCCUUUACAAGCUUCAUACCCACAACAUCUGGAAGGACCGAAUAGAGGAGUCCGUUUUUCUUCUCCAGCUCCGGCGUUACCAGUCUACACCUCUCAUCCUCAACACUUGGAGGUACAGAACAGAGAGACUCUGUUUUCCGGCACAAAUCAACGGGACACACACCCUCGGCCCUUACUCUUUGACCAGUCGCGAUACCAGGCGUCGACUUCAGAGAUACCUCGACUUCCAGCUUCACCCUUCGAACCGCGUCGCUUUCACUCGUCACCAUUAGAACCACCAGGGUUUCAGCUGAAUGCCUCCACGGGUCUUCCAUCAUCUUCAGGUUUUCCAUCUAAUCCUUCCACGGGGUUUCAGACUACUCCAACCUUCCAAACACAAACGUUUCCGCCUCAAUCUGCGCCACAUCAACCUCGGUUUGAAGCAGCCCCGCGUAGGACUGUGGAUUAUCCGGCUUAUGAAGGAGGCAAUGCCGACGAUUGGUUGUUCCGGCUAGAACAGUGCUUCUUAUCCAAUCGCACCCUAGAGGAAGAAAAACUGGAAAAGGCUGUGUCUUGUUUAACAGGAGCAUCAGUUACAUGGUGGCGCUGCUCUAAGGACAGAGAACAAAUCUAUACCUGGAGGGAAUUUCAAGAAAAGUUCAUGUUACGUUUUCGACCAAGCAGAGGCAGUUCUGCUGUGGAUCAUCUCCUCAACGUGAGACAAACAGGAACCGUGGAGGAAUACAGAGAACGUUUUGAAGAGCUCACAGUCGACUUACCCCAUGUCACAUCUGACAUAUUGGAAUCUGCAUUCCUCAAUGGACUGAGAAGAAGUCUUCGAGACCAGGUAGUUCGCUGUAGGCCAGUGAAUCUUGCAGAUAUUGUUGAGAUAGCUAAACUCAUUGAGUCACAAGAGCGGAAUGCUGUUAGUUACCAAGUGCGAAAUCAAGCUAGAACCAACACAGCUCCAUUCAACAAUCAGGUCUCCACAGGAUCUAGAGUGGUAGACCGUGCUCCAACGAGACAACCCUUCAUUCCUAGUAGGGAUACAACUCGUGCUUCAGGCAGUGGGGAAGCCAGGAACUCAAACCCGUGCCGCUACUGUGGAGAUAGAUGGUUUCAAGGCCAUAAAUGCAAACCACAAAAGCUCAAGGGUCUAGCCAUAACAGAAGAGGUUGAAGAGGAGAGUCCUCUAAUUGAAGAGUUGAAUGAACCACUGACAGAAGAAGAAGGGGAUCCAGAACCUGCAGAAGGUUUCAAGGUAAUGACACUCAGCUCCUUGAAUGAUGAGUCUCAAGAGCAGUCAAUGAAAAUGAGGGGAUACAUUGGCAACACCAAAGUGGUGUUAUUGGUUGAUUCAGGAGCAACUUGCAACUUCAUUAGUGAGGCUUUGGUAAGAGAGAAAGGAUGGUUAGUGACUCAAACUCGCAGUUUUGGAGUUAAAGUUGGUGGAGGCAGAAUCAUCAAAAGUAGUGGGAAGUGUGUCGAUAUACCACUAGAGGUCCAAGGAAUUGAGUUUGUACAAGACUACUACUUAUUUGACUUGGGAGAUUUGGAUUUGGUUCUGGGAUUUUCUUGGUUGGCAGGACUAGGAGAAACAAGAGCCAACUGGAGAGAUUUGAGGAUCAGUUGGCAGAUAGGUCGCACAUGGGUAUCCUUAUACGGCGACCCGGAUCUAUGUAGAGGACAAAUUUCGAUGAGGUCUAUGGAAAGAGUUAUCAAAUACACUGGAACUGCAUAUCUCUUGGAACUAGCAUCUUUGUUUGAAAGCAAGAAACAGGAAGAGCAAACAGCCUUGCAGCCUGCAAUCCAGAGGCUUUUGGAUCAGUACCAAGGGGUUUUUCAAACUCCACAGCUAUUGCCACCAGUUCGCAACAGAGAACACGCCAUUACCUUACAAGAAGGGUCUUCACCAGUCAAUAUCCGACCAUACAGGUAUUCUUUUGCUCAAAAGAAUGAGAUAGAGAAGCUUGUGCGUGAAAUGUUGAAUGCUCAGAUUAUAAGACCUAGCGUGAGUCCAUAUUCAAGUCCAGUUCUCCUAGUGAAAAAGAAAGAUGGAGGAUGGCGCUUCUGCGUUGAUUAUCGAGCAUUGAAUGAAGCUACAAUACCCGAUAAGUAUCCGAUUCCUGUUAUAGAAGAGCUAUUGGAUGAACUGAAAGGAGCCACAGUGUUUUCAAAGUUGGAUCUUAAAUCAGGCUAUUUCCAGAUAAGGAUGAAACUGAGUGAUGUGGAGAAGACUGCCUUCAAGACACAUGAGGGCCAUUAUGAAUUUCUGGUAAUGCCAUUUGGCUUGACCAACGCCCCCUCCACCUUUCAAAGCGUCAUGAAUGACCUAUUCAGGCCAUACUUGCGAAAGUUCGUCUUGGUUUUCUUCGAUGAUAUACUAGUUUAUAGUCCUGAUAUGAAGACACAUUUGAAGCAUUUGGAAACCGUCUUACAGCUACUGCAUCUUCAUCAGUUCUAUGCCAAUUUUAAAAAGUGCACAUUUGGAAGCACUAGGAUCUCAUAUUUGGGACACAUUAUCUCUGAGCAAGGAGUCGCAACAGAUCCAGAAAAGGUGGAAGCAAUGCUCCAGUGGCCUUUACCUAAAUCUGUGACUGAGUUAAGAGGCUUCCUAGGAUUCACUGGCUACUAUCGCCGAUUUGUCAAGAAUUACGGCCAAAUCGCCAGACCACUCAGAGAUCAGUUAAAAAAGAACAGUUUUGAUUGGAAUGAGGCAGCUACUUCUGCAUUUCAGGCUCUCAAAGCAGCUGUUUCAGCACUACCUGUGCUAGUGUUACCAGAUUUCCAGCAGGAGUUUACUGUGGAAACGGAUGCAUCAGGGAUGGGGAUUGGAGCAGUACUGUCACAGAAUAAGAGGCUUAUUGCAUUUCUCAGCCAAGCCUUCUCCAGUCAAGGCAGAAUAAGGUCAGUUUAUGAACGUGAACUGUUAGCCAUAGUGAAAGCUGUCACAAAGUGGAAGCAUUACCUAUCAAGUAAAGAAUUCAUUAUCAAGACAGAUCAACGCAGCCUCAGACAUUUGUUGGAACAGAAGUCGGUGUCCACAAUACAGCAGAGAUGGGCGUCUAAGUUGAGUGGACUGAAGUAUAGGAUCGAAUAUAAACCAGGAGUUGACAAUAAGGUAGCUGAUGCACUCUCAAGGAGACCUCCAACUGAGGCUCUCUCACAGCUCACUAUAACUGGUCCUCCUACUAUCGACUUGACUGCACUAAAGGCAGAAAUUCAGCAGGAUCAUGAGUUGAGCCAGAUACUUAAGAACUGGGCACAAGGGGACCACCAUGAUUCUGACUUCACUGUGGCAGAUGGCUUGAUUUACAGAAAAGGCUGUUUGGUAAUUCCUGUAGGAUCUCCCUUCAUUCCAAAGAUGCUAGAGAAGUUCCACACCAGUCCUAUUGGAGGUCAUGAAGGUGCCCUUAAGACAUUCAAACGACUCACAAGUGAAGUAUACUGGAGAGGGUUGCGGAAAGACGUGGUUAACUACAUCAAGGGAUGCCAAAUCUGUCAAGAGAAUAAAUACUCUACCCUCUCUCCAGCCGGUUUACUAUCACCUCUCCCUAUUCCACAACAGAUUUGGAGUGAUGUCAGCUUGGACUUUGUAGAAGGGUUGCCAAGCUCUAACAGGUUUAACUGUAUAUUGGUAGUGGUGGAUAGAUUAAGUAAGUAUAGUCAUUUCAUUCCACUUAAACAUCCAUUCACUGCCAAGACUGUAGUUGAGGCCUUCAUAAGAGAUGUAGUCAAGCUACAUGGCUUCCCAAACACACUGGUUUCGGACAGGGACAGGAUUUUCCUGAGCGGAUUCUGGUCUGAGUUGUUUAAGCUGCAGGGCACGGGGCUACAGAAGAGUACAGCCUAUCACCCACAAACUGAUGGGCAGACCGAGGUUGUUAACAGAUGUCUUGAGUCUUAUUUGCGAUGCUUUGCAGGGAGGAGGCCUACAUCGUGGUUUCAGUGGUUACCUUGGGCAGAAUACUGGUACAACACCUCGUACCAUUCAGCCACCAAAACCACUCCCUUUCAAGCAGUCUAUGGUAGAGAACCACCAGUUCUGCUCAGGUAUGGCGAUAUUCCAACCAAUAAUGCGAAUGUAGAGGAGUUACUUAAGGAUAGGGAUGGAAUGCUGGUUGAAUUAAGAGAGAACUUGGAGAUAGCUCAAGCUCAAAUGAAAAAGGCUGCUGAUAAAAGUCGACGUGAUGUAGCGUUUGAAAUUGAUGAAUGGGUUUACUUGAAGCUGCGUCCUUAUAGGCAAAGUUCUGUGGCUCAUAGGAAGAAUGAAAAGCUGUCCCAGCGCUACUUCGGUCCAUUUAAAGUGCUGCACCGCAUAGGUCAGGUCGCUUACAAGCUCCAACUACCCGAACACAGCACAAUUCACCCGGUGUUCCAUGUCUCUCAACUGAAAAGGGCUGUACCUCCGUCAUUCACCCCGCAGGAACUUCCCAAGAUACUAUCACCCACACUGGAAUGGAACACAGGACCUGAGAAGCUGCUAGAUAUCCGACAGAGCAACACAAAUUCAGGACCAGAGGUGCUGGUACAGUGGUCUGGAUUAUCAACCUUGGAAUCAACUUGGGAGCCGCUCCUCACUUUGGUGCAGCAGUACCCGGACUUCGACCUUGAGGACAAGGUCAGUCUUCUGCGCGGGAGCAUUGAUAGGUUACAGGUGACGUUGGCUGGUGUGAGAAGAAGGGCGAAAUCAAAUGGAAGGAAAGGCAGAGCUCGUGAGAAGUUCCUGAGGAAGCUUCUAUUUAAAAGUGGCUAAGGCACAGAAAGACAGCUCGCCAGCUCGGCACAGAAAGACAGCUCGCCAACUGUGUCGUUUUACUUUUGGGUUAUCGAAAUGCUGCGUUUUGUAUUGAGUCUCAGUAGAUGCUAUUUAAGGAACCUUCCCUUUUAGGGUUUUGUUAUCAAAAUAAACAAUCAACAACAUUAAUCUUGAAAUUCUCUCUCUCAUCUACACUCUCCGCCGUUCAAGGUGCAUUUCCUAUUAUCUUGUUAUUUUAUCACUCUUAGUCUUUUUCUUGUCUUCGAUAGGGUCAGACCUUAUCAUAUCCUAGCAUAUUCGAAUGGUUAACAAGCGCAAUCAAGCUAUCCCUAGACAAUAGGUUCAACAACAAAUCAAUUCACUUCUGUGAUAGAAAUCCUCAAGCAAAGCUAGCCCAGACUAAUUCCCAUUAACGCAAUCUAACUAUGCAGGCAAUAAGAACAGACUGAUAAAGUCAAUAAACGCUCUAAACGCCCAAUCCCUUGGGAUAGAGACGAAUAUCUCAGGAACUAGUGGAUCAAGCAUUCCAUCGAACACCUUCUGGGUGCGAGAAUGCUUGGGAUCGAAUUCCAGUUGAUCAGAAAGAAAUAAGCAGUAAACGCAACUAGUCCUGAAGGGAUUCAAUCAAUUCUAAAACUUAACCAUUCUACAGACUACGGAUUCCACAACUACUCUAUCCCAUCCCUAAGAAUUCUAUGUCACUACUCAGACAACAUGCUCAAAGACAUAAACGCAGAUAAAUGAUAAUAUUGCAUAAGUAAAGAGAUAAAGAGUAGAGAAACAGGAUGAUAGAUAAAAUCAAAUGCAGAAUCUGAAUAACUUGGAAAAAUCUCGAAUUAUAGGUUGUAGAAGCAAAAGCGGCGCAGAAGAGUAAAAUAGAAAAUAAAACUGAAACAAAAACUCAAUGUCGACUAGAUGUCUCAGGAAAGAACCCUAAGACAUCUAUUUAUACAAAACAAAAUGAUAGUAGACGGGCCAAUAACCUAAUCGCCCGACCAAUAGAGUGAUAAUGGGCCGAGAUGGGCUUUGUGAUCCGAUGGAGGUCCAGGCCGCUUCCAAACACUUUGUCUUCUCCUCUUCUCUUCCUUGUGCUCAGCUUGUCUGGUUGAGUGCGGAUUUGAGUAGACUGUGAAGACGUGAUCGAGUGUCCGGUCGAGUGAUGGUGAUGGUGGUGAGUGAUGAUACUCGACCAGGGGGUCGACUAACUUGGUAGAGUGAAUGGCCGAGUGUGGUCAGGUGGUGUGGCGAAGUGAUACUCGACCAGGGGGUCGAUGGCGUCAUCGAGUAGCCUGAGCUGAGGAUACUCGACUAGGGGGUCGAGUAGAUGGGAAGAAUGGCUCCAAAGUCACUCGACCAGGGGGUCGAGUAUGGUGCUGGAUGCACACGACCUGGUGGUCGAGUAUGUCUUCUGGUUCUGGCUCGUUUCUUCCAAUUUGCUCGCAAACAGCUCCAAAUCACCUGAAAACAACUUAGAAAUGCAAUAUGUAUGCAAAACUAUCCUAAUCAUGCAAAGUAUGCAAGAAUGAUGAGAAAUGAUAUAAAACAGCGAUGAAUGAUACAAAACUGGACUCAAAACGGUGAUGAAUGGACACUGAAAAGAUGUAAAUUAUAGACAUAUCAGGACCCACAGCAAAUGGAUCAUAAAGUCUUCAAAAAAGAAUAGAUACGAUUGCAUUGCAUGUAGUAACGGAUGCGAUCAUAGCAGCACUAAUGCACCAGAUCCCAUAAGAACUCCGCAGUUAAGUGUGCUUGGGCGAGAGUAGUACUAGGAUGGGUGACCUCCCGGAAAGUCCUCGUGUUUCAUCCCUCUUUUUUUUUUUGGUUUUUCUCUAUUUUUUUUUUUAAAAUGAAUGACUCUAUAACUUUUAGACCGUGAGGCCAAACUUGGCAUGUGAUACCUUUUCAAAAAGCCAAAAGAGAGCUCUCUGGUGAAUGAUGAAGGAAAAUGGAAUUCUUCUAUUGGGUUUUUUUUCUACUCCAAAUUUUGACCUUAAUGUACUCUUUUGGCGUUUUCGCGAUCUUUGCUAUAUUACGGGGCGAAAAUUAUAUGUUCGGACAUUGUUUUUGAAUAUUUUGCAUGUAUCAAAGCUCUUAUAAACAAGAUAGGGUAUUCCUACAUAGCUGGUGGGACCCACGACAAAUGGAUCAUAAAGUCUUCAAGAAGAAAAGAUAUUAUUGCAUUGCAUGUAGUAACGGAUGCGAUCAUACCAUCACUAAUGCACUGGAUCCCAUCAGAACUCCACAGUUAAGCGCGCUUGGGUGAGAGUAGUACUAGAAUGGGUGACCUCCCGGAAAGUCCUUGUGUUCCAUCCCUCUUUUUUCGGUUUUUCUCUUUUUUUUUUGUUAAAAAUGUAUGACUCUAUAAAUUUUAGACCGUGAGGCCAAACUUGGCAUGUGAUACCUUUUCGGAAAGCCCAAAGAGAACUCUCCGAUGAAUGAGGAAGGACAAUGGAAUUUUUCUAUUGUUUUUUUUUCUACUCAAAAUUUUGACCUUAAUGUACUUUUUCUGGCCUUUUCAUGAUCUAUGCUAUAUUACGGGGCAAAAAGCAUACGUUCUGACAUUGUUUUCGAAUAUUUUGCAUGUAUCAAAGCUCUUAUAAACAAGAUAGGGUAUUCUUACAUAGUUGGUGGGACCCACGACAAAUGGAUCAUAAAGUCUUCAAAAAAGAAUAGAUACGAUUGCAUUGCAUGUAGUAACAGAUGCGAUCAUACCAGCACUAAUGCACCGGAUCCCAUCAAAACUCUGCAGUUAAGCGUGAUUGGGCGAGAGUAGUACUAGGAUGGUUGACCUCAUGGAAAGUCCUUGUGUUGCAUUCUUCUUUUUUUCGGUUUUUCUCUUUUUUUUUUGUUAAGAAUGUAUGAUUCUAUAAGUUUUAGACCGUGAGGCCAAACUUGGCAUGUGAUACCUUUUCGGAAAGCCCAAAGAGAACUCUCCGAUGAAUGAGGAAGGACAAUGGAAUUUUUCUAUUGUUUUUUUUUCUACUCAAAAUUUUGACCUUAAUGUACUUUUUCUGGCCUUUUCAUGAUCUAUGCUAUAUUACGGGGCAAAAAGCAUACGUUCUGACAUUGUUUUCGAAUAUUUUGCAUGUAUCAAAGCUCUUACAAACAAGAUAGGGUAUUCCUACAUAGCUGGUGAGACCCACGGCAAAUGGAUCAUAAAGUCUUCAAAAAAAAUAUAUACGAUUGCAUUGCAUGUAGUAACGGAUGUGAUCAUACCCGCACUAAUGCACUGGAUCCUAUCAGAACUCCGCAGUUAAGUGUGCUUGGGCGAGAGUAGUAAUAGGAUGAGUGACCUCCCAGAAAGUCCUCGUGUUGAAUCCCUCUUUUUUUUGGUAAAAAUGUAUACCUCUAUAACUUUUAGACCGCGAGGCCAAACUUUGCAUGUGAUACCUUUUCGGAAAGCCCAAAGAGAGCUAUAUGAAUGAGGAAGGAAAUUGGAAUCCUUCUAUUGAUUUUUUUUCUACUCAAAAUUUUGACCUUAAUGUACUUUUUCUAUCCUUUUCGUGAUCUUUGCUAUAUUACGGGACAAAAAUUAUAUGUUCAGACAUUGUUUUCCAAUUUUUUGCAUGUAUCAAAGCUCUUAUAAACAAGAUAGGGUAUUCCUACAUAGCUGGUGGGACCCACGGCAAAUGGAUCAUAAAGUCUUCAAAAACGAAUAGAUACGAUUGCAUUGCUUGUAGUAACGGAUGCGAUCAUAUCAGCCCUUAUGCAUCAGAUCCCAUCAAUACUCUGCAGUUAAGCUUGCUUGGGCGAGAAUAGUAUUAGGAUGGGUGACCUCCGGGAAAGUCCUUGUGUUGGAUCAUUCUUUUUUUCGGUUUUUCUCUAUUUGUUUUGUUAAAAAUGUAUGACUAUAUAACUUUUAGAUUGUGAGGCCAAACUUCGCAUGUGAUACCUUUUCGGAAAGCCCAAAGAGAGCUCUCCAAUGAAUGAGGAAGGAAAUUGGAAUUCUUCUAUUGGUUUUUAUUUCUACUCCAAAUUUUGACCUUAAUGUACUUUUUCGGGCCUUUUCGUGAUCUUCGCUAUAUUACGGGGCGAAACUUAUACGUUUAGACAUUGUAUUCGAAUAUUUUGCAUGUAUCAAAGCUCUUAUAAACAAGAUAGGGUAUUCCUACAUAGCUGGUGGGACCCACGGCAAAUGGAUCAUAAAGUCUUCAAAAAAGAAUAGAUACGAUUGCAUUGCAUGUAGUAACAGAUACGAUUGCAUUGCAUGUAGUAACAGAUACGAUUGCAUUGCAUGUAGUAACAGAUGCGAUCAUACCAGCACUAAUGCACCGGAUCCCAUCAGAACUCUGCAGUUAAGCGUGAUUGGGCGAGAGUACUACUAGGAUGGUUGACCUCCUGGAAAGUCCUUGUGUUAAAUUCUUCUUUUUUUCGGUUUUUCUCUUUUUUUUUUGUUAAGAAUGUAUGAUUCUAUAAGUUUUAGACCGUGAGGCCAAACUUGGCAUGUGAUACCUUUUCGGAAAGCCCAAAGAGAACUCUCCGAUGAAUGAGGAAGGACAAUGGAAUUUUUCUAUUGUUUAUUUUUCUACUCAAAAUUUUGAUCUUAAUGUACUUUUUCUAGCCUUUUAGUGAUCUUUGCUAUAUUACGGGACGAAGAUUAUACGUUCGGACAUUGUUUUCAAAUAUUUUGCAUGUAUCAAAGCUCUUAUAAACAAGAUAGGGUAUUCCUAUAUAGCUGGUGAGACCCACGGCAAAUGGAUCAUAAAGUCUUCAAAAAAAAUAUAUACGAUUGCAUUGCAUGUAGUAACGGAUGUGAUCAUACCCGCACUAAUGCACUGGAUCCUAUCAGAACUCCGCAGUUAAGCGUGCUUGGGCGAGAGUAGUAAUAGGAUG
rnacentral:lncRNA from 1 species